AAAACAAAGAUUACAUGAAUUAGACAUUGAAAUAUAAGAUAGAAAACACCUAAAAUCGUUCAACAACUCAGAUUGAAAAGCCAAACAAUUGUAGAGAAUCUGUCCCCUUUGUUGCUUGCGGCAGAUUGUAUGGUGAUGCUUCUUGGAUUGUUUUGAUGACGUAGAAUGGAAUUUGGGGGUUGUAGAGGCACGGCAAGGGGUGUAGGAUGAGUGUGGAUGAGUGUUUGAUGGGUGGAAGAUGGUGGAAAGCUCGGCAAGAAUGGUGGAGGGGUGCGGCAGAUUAUAGAACUAGGGUUUCUGGAAUUUUGAAUGAAUGUAGCAGCUGGUAGUUCGGCCUAGGGGUUAAAACACAUAUAUAUAAGCACUACAAACCCUAGGGCAAACAGAUUAGGGCCUCUAAAACCCAAAUCCAUCAGAAAUUAGGUUAAAACAAUUAGAAUUUAAGUGGGAAAAGGGCCUAGGGUGCGGCUGGUUACUAGGGUAAAGGAAUGGGCCUUCUAGAAUGCCUUGCAAGGCAAGGAAAUCAGAUUUCUAAAGCCCUAGGUGCGGCAAGGGUUAGGGGGGAAAGGCUAGGUCAUCUAAAAGCCCAAAGCCAAGAAUAGAAACUCUCGAAAAUGGAAACCUCCAAGAAUAGAAACUUCCAACUUUAGAAACUUUGGUUUCCAAUUCCGAAUUCUUUGUUCUUCACUUUCAUUUCUUCCUUUCUUAAGCUCCUUUGACCUUCAAACUCGUCCAUUCCUUGUGCUCCAUAAGCAUACACAACAUUCCAGCUCAAUUUUGCUCUAAAAUGCUCCAUUUCGCACUUAUUUGCAUUCUUUGUCUCUAAACCUGAAAUUGCAUGAAACUGACUUUAAACAUUGAAAUAACUCAAGAAAAACAACAUAAGUGCAUGAGAACAAGCCCACUAAGUCGCAUAAAUAUGCUCCUAUCACCCAUGGCUGCGCAAUGUAAGACCGAAGAGUUCGAGUUAAAGUCAAGUUUGCUCCACCACAUUCCAAAAUACCAUGGGCUGUCCAUGGAGGAUCCGAACAAGCAUUUAAAAGAAUUUGAAGUGGUGUGUUCAAGCAUGACUCCGGUUAACGUCGACGGAAGUAUUUUGAAGAUGAAGGAUUUUCCAUUCUCUUUAAUGGAUAAAGCCAAAGAUUGGUUGUAUGAGUUAGCUCCCGGAACUGCCACAUCUUGGGAGAGUAUGAAGAGGGCAUUUUUGGAGAAAUUUUUCCCAACUUCUCGAAUCAUUCUCCUACGUAAAAAGAUUAGUGGUAUUCAGCAAGAGGAAGGUGAGUCUUUUCCCACUUAUUAUGAACGUUUUAAAUCACUUGUUGCUUCUGGUCCACAGCAUCAGAUGAAGGAGGAGUUACUUCUACAAUACUUUUACGAGGGGCUCCUACCACUUGAACGUCAAAUGCUCGAUGCCUCGGCGGGUGGAGCAUUGGUGGACAAAACACCCAUGGCUGCCAAGAUCUUGAUCGCUAAUCGAGCAUUGAACGCUCAACAAUACGAAGUCGUUGGCCAAAGAGGACCCCCAUGGCAACAAGUGCAUGAGGUAAGUUCCACAUCCGACAUUCAUUCACAAUUAGCUAAUCUUACUUCCAUUGUGUCUCAGAUGGCCGAAGGAAUGAGAAUGCAAGGGCCAAUGGUGUGUGGCGUAUGUUCUAUCCAAGGACAUGCCUCGGAAAAGUGCCCUCAACUCAUUGAGAAUGGUGGAUGGGAGAGCGCUAACGCAAUUGGAUUUCAAGGCCAAAACCAACCGAGGAAUGAUCCAUAUUCAACCACAUAUAAACCAGGUUGGAGAGACCAUCCAAACUUCAAGUGGAGGGAGGCCCAACAACCCCAACAACAAGGAGGCUUUAGGCAACAACCCCCGGGGUUUUUCACCAAGCCAUACGUACCCCCACAUUUUCCACAACAAUCUACCCCAAUUGCUUCAGGUACAUCUCUAGACAAUGAUACACUCCUUAAGUUACUAACUAACUUGUCUCAGGGGCAAGAAAAUCAAACCAAAGCUAUACAAAGCCAAGACAAAAGGGUGGAUCAAUUGGAGAAACAAAUUGGGCAGAUUGCAGAUUUUGUAGGGAAGUUUCGAGACCAAUGCCAACUUCCUAGUUCUACCAUUCCAAAUCCAAAAGGAGGUUUCGAAAGUGCAAAAGCCAUAUUGUUGAGAAGUGGAAAAGAAGUUGGGGCAGGUCCUAUACCAUCAAAAUCAGGUCUCAAAGAAGAUGAAAACUUGCAAAUUGAAGAGGAAGAAGCAAGCCUACCCACGACAAAGGUGGUUCCACCUUUGCCGCAAGCUUCUAGUACCCCAAAUCUGUCCAAAUCGUCCAAUAAGGGUAAGAAUGUGUCAAAUUCAGUUCCUACAAAUGUUUUUCCUUCGAAUGUUCCUUUUCCUAGUAGGUUUAUGCAAACAAAGAAGGAGGAAGCUGAAAAGGACAUCCUUGAGACAUUUAGGAAAGUUCAAGUUAACAUACCCCUUUUGGAUGCAAUCAAGCAAGUCCCGAGAAAUGCCAAGUUUCUAAAGGAAUUACUAGGAAGAGGAUGUCGACCAAGGAGGUUGUCAAGGUAGGUGAAAAUGUAUCCGCCAUCUUGCAACGCAAACUACCCCCCAAAUGCAAAGAUCCGGGUAGUUUUACAAUUCCUUGUGUCAUUGGAAACACUCGCUUUGAAUCUGCCAUGUUAGAUUUAGGUGCUUCUAUAAAUGUUAUGCCAUACUCAAUUUAUGCAUCUAUGAAUUUAGGAGUGUUGAAAAAUGAUGGUGUAAUCAUACAAUUGGCCGAUAGAUCUAACGCCUAUCCAAAGGGAGUUUUGGAAGAUGUUCUUGUGCAGGUAAAUCACUUAAUCUUUCCGGCGAAUUUCUAUGUUCUCGAAAUGGAUGAAUCGGACCAUACCCCUUCAUUGCCCAUCCUCCUUGGAAGGCCAUUCAUGAAGACGGCCCGGACUAAAAUUGACGUGUUUAAUGGAACUUUGUCCAUGGAAUUUGAUGGGGAAGUUGUUAAUUUCAAUCUUUCAGAUUCUAUUAAGUACCCUAGUGAGGACCAUUCAUGUUUCUCUAUUGAUAUAAUUGACUCUUUGGCGCAGGGAUAUCUUGAAGAUUUGAAUGACGAUGUGCUUGAAAAAGUCAUUACAAGAGGCAUGAAACUCAAAACCAUGGAUGCAAACCAUAUGCUAACCCACGGCAUGCAUGAACCAUUCCAUGCCGUGGCUUAUAGUGAGGAAUUCAUUGAGUUGGUUGCUGCCCUUGAGUCAUUACCUAAGCAUGGUGGUAAGUCUCCUAACUUCGAUUCCAUUCCCAUUUCAACUAACAAGUUGCUUCCAUCAAUAAUUCAGGCACCUGUCCUUGAACUCAAACCAUUACCAAGCCAUUUGAAGUACAUUUUCUUGGGAGAAAAUGAGACCCUACCUGCCAUCAUAUCCUCAUUCCUCACGGCACAGGAAGAAGAGAAACUAGUUCGAGUCUUGAAGGAGUUCAAAUCUGCCCUAGGAUGGACCUUGGCCGAUAUCAAGGGUAUAAGCCCUACAACGUGCAUGCAUCACAUAUUUCUUGAGGGGGGCCAAACCAACUAGAGAGGCUCAACGCUGUCUCAACCUUCCAAUGGUGGAAGUUGUGAAAAAGGAGAUAAUCAAGCUCCUUGAUUGUGGAGUGAUCUAUCCUAGCUCCGAUAGCCGUUGGGUUUCACCUAUUCAAUGCGUGCCCAAGAAAUCUGGAGUGACGGUUGUGGAGAAUGUGGAGAAUAAGCUUGUAUCCACACGAAUCCAAACCGGUUGGCGAGUAUGCAUUGAUUAUAGGAAGCUAAACGCCACCACAAGGAAGGAUCAUUUCCCAUUGCCGUUUCUAGAUCAAAUGCUUGAAAGGUUAGCGGGUCAUUCCUUUUAUUUUUUUCUUGAUGGAUACUCUGGUUAUAAUCAAAUUUUCAUUGCCCCGGAUGAUCAAGAAAAGACCACUUUUACUUGUCCCUUUGGAACGUUUGCAUAUCGACGCAUGCCAUUCGGUUUGUGCAAUGCUCUUGCCACGUUUCAAAGGUGUAUGGUUAGCAUAUUUUCUGAUUAUGUUGAAAGGAUUAUUGAGAUAUUCAUGGAUGAUUUUAGUGUGUUUGGUAGUUCAUUUGAUAAUUGCUUAGAUAAUCUCACUUUAAUCUUGAAACGUUGUGUUGAAACAAUCCUUAUGUUAAAUUGGGAGAAAUGCCAUUUUAUGGUUAAACAAGGUAUUGUUUUGGGUCAUAUAAUAUCUGAAAAAGGAAUUGAAGUUGAUAAGUCUAAGAUAGAUCUUGUACGCUACUUACCCUCUCCUACUUCGGUGAGAGAGGUUCGUUCUUUUCUUGGUCAUGCAGGAUUCUAUCGACGAUUUAUCAAGGACUUUUCCAAGAUUGCACAACCUCUAUGCCGUCUCCUACAAAAGGAAGUGUCGUUUGAGUUCAACGAGGCGUGUGAGCAAGCAUUCAACCAUCUCAAGGACCUACUCACUACGGCACCAAUCAUUGUCCCACCGGAUUGGAGCCUACCGUUCGAGCUUAUGUGUGAUGCGUCCGAUUAUGCGUUAGGAGUUGUUUUAGGACAAAGGAAGGACAAGAGGCCGCAUGUCGUCUACUAUGCCUCACGGACAUUGAAUGAUGCGCAGUUGAACUAUUCCACUACGGAAAAAGAACUUCUUGCCGUUGUUUUUGCUUUAGAUAAGUUUAGAUCAUAUUUAAUUGGGACUAAAGUAAUUGUUUUCACUGACCAUGCAGCUUUGAAGUACUUGCUCACUAAAAAGGAAGCCAAACCGCGGCUAAUUCGUUGGAUGUUGCUACUUCAAGAGUUCGAUAUUGAGAUUCGUGACAAGAAGGGAAGUGAGAACGUGGUGGCUGACCACCUAAGCCGCAUGGUGCAUAAUGAGGAGUCCCUACCCAUUGUCGAGACAUUCCCCGAUGAACAAUUGCUGUCCAUAAUGAGAUCAAACAAAUUCUAGAGAAGACCGUUGGGCCUAUAAGGAAGGAUUGGAGCUUACGGUUAGAUGAUGCACUUUGGGCAUAUCGUACGGCAUACAAGACACCCAUUGGAAUGUCCCCAUUUCGGCUCAUAUAUGGCAAGCCGUGCCAUCUCCCUGUUGAAUUGGAACACAAAGCUCAUUGGGCCGUCAAGAAGUUCAAUAUGGACCUAAAUGCCGCAGGGAGUCAUAGGAAGUUGCAACUAAAUGAACUUGAUGAGAUAAGGCAUGAAGCGUACGAGAAUGCUAGCAUUUACAAGGAAAAGACCAAAGUUUUCCAUGAUAAGAUGAUUCGAGGCAAAACAUUCUCCGUAGGGCAGAAAGUGCUAUUGUUCAAUUCCCGUUUACGGUUAUUUCCCGGUAAGUUACGUUCUAAGUGGAUUGGACCGUUUGUUAUUACUAAUGUUUUUAUUCAUGGUGCAGUCCAGAUCCAAAGCUUGAAAACGGGACAUGAAUUCAAGGUGAAUGGGCAUCGAUUGAAGCCCUAUUAUGAGCAUUUUGAGGAGCAUGCCGUGGAGGACAUUCCCUUGCAUGCCGUGGGCUCCAAUGGGGAGUAAUUGCGUUCUUCGUCCGGCUGCACGACGUUAAAGCAAGCGCUUCUUGGGAGGCAACCCAUGUAUUCAAAUAAGGAAGAUUAUUGAAUCGCUCCACAAUCAGUUUUGCGUUAAAAACCUUCCCUUUUCUGCAGUUUUAUUUUGCCUUGAUUAUCAUUUUUAUUUGUUGCUUGUUUAAUUGUUUUUUGUGUGGGUUUAUUUUUGAAACACUGACAGUUAUGCAAGGUAAUUUUACAUUCAUAAAAAAAGAAAGGAACAUUAAGCAUAUAAAUACAAGAGGGAGCCUUCACAAAGGCUGCUUAGGAGAAGUCUCAGUAGUCGGCGGAGCCUCAGCAGUCGGUGGGGCCACAGAAGGAGGAGGUAUCGGAGGUUGAUCAUUUGGAGCUUCACUACGCGGUACAGCCCCAGAAGACGAAGGCAAAUGCUGUUGGAACAAACCCACAAACCUCCGAUGAUCAAGUAAAAUCUGACCAUCAGAGUCCUGCAUCUGGUCAAUUUUCCUCUUCAUGUUUGUGGCAUAGUUGUGUGCGAGCUUGUGCAACUGUUUAUUCUCAUGCUUGAGUCCUCUAAUCUCCUGUUUGAGACUCAUUACUUCAGCCGCCAACGAUUCAACUAGACGGGUUCGAGCAAAUAGGCGUUGGGCCAUGUUGGACACAGAACCCGCACACUGCACACUAAGAGCCAGAAACUCCUUAACAGCCAAUUCAUCAGACCGUCUGGAAAGCAGUCUGUUAUCUUUAGGAGUGACAAGGUUCCGGGCCACCACCGCAGCGGUCAUGUCAUUCUUCAUCACCGAAUCCCCAACGGUAAGAGGGCUAGUAGGGGAUAUGUAGGAUGGGCGCGAUAUAUUGUCUGGAGAAGACGGGACUGCCUCUUCACCAAGGUUCAAGUCAAAACGACGGUCGGAAGGGCCAGACAUUUUUAGAGGUGUUAAAGAAAGAAGAGGUCGGACAGGUUAAGAUCGUAGAAGUGCAAGAAUGGAGUUUUUACAGGUUGAAAUUCAAGUGUGCUUUGAACGUCCUGCGUACCUCUAUAAAAAUCAACAUGUGAUGGGAUUUCAGAGAUUGAAGAGGCGAGCUCAGAAUUCAAAGAGGCCAAUUCAAAAGUUGGGCUUACUCACAAACCAUCGAUUCCAGAUAUCGAAGAGUGUCAGCUUUCUCAGCCUCGUCAGCACCCGUCACACGCAAACUCAGCUUUACGAAAAUCACGGAAAAUUUGUCGAAGCAUCGAUCUCAGAUAGCAAAGAUGCGCCUGUCUCUCUCAGCCUCGUCAGCACCGGUCACACACAAACUCAACUUUGCGAAAAUCACAGAAAGUUUGUCGAAUCGCCGAUUCCAACCAUCUAUCUUUCUCAGCCCCGUCAGCUUUGAGGAAAUCACGGGCAAUCUGUCGACGAUUUCUGUUGAAGUAGAAAACACGUGAAGUUUACUGUUCAAUCAUCCAACGGUUGCCGACAGGAGUGAAAUAACAGUACCGGUUAUUAUUUCCUAUAAAUGUCGACCUUUACCCUCCAUGGCAAGGCAGACAUACAUAACCUUCCGUCAUCUCCGAGAAUGCCUUUCCAACAAACCCUCUCGAGUCACUCAGUGUUCCUUAUUCCUUGGGGUACCUCUGCAAAUAACCCAUCCAAAGAAAAAGUAUUUCAUAUCAUGAAGGUUGAAAGCAAGAGUAUCUCAUAUCAUGCUUUCUCCCUGUGCUUCUCCUUGUCGUUGAUUUAGGACAAGGAGAAAGUGACUAAUUAGACAACACUUGGUAUCAAUCUUCCGAUCUAGAACUGACUGCCUGGAACCCCUUCCUGAUUGGUUACCUAGCCUUGCUCUCGAGUACUCAUCUUCAUCAUCUUAUGCUUCCGCUUCGUCUACCACAUCUGCCUGGGAACAUAUAAGGGAAGUGAAAAUGAUAACUCGAAGCAUGUGGAGACAAUUUACCAAUUCAUCCUCAGCUAGGGACAAGGAGAAAGAAAGCAAGAGGUGGCCACUUGGAAAGAUUGAAGAAAGAAACAGACCAACACCUCUACCUCGUGUCUGCUUGCCGUGCAGAAGAAACAAGCAGAGAAGAAUGCAGACUGCACAAUCAAAUCAACCCAGCAGAAGGAGUCUGAUUUGAAACCAAGGAACUCUGAUAUUCCUCGCUCAGAAUUCCAAACCAGUUUGAGAUCAAAGCUGUGGAAAGUCAACAAGAUCAUCUAUCUCCAAAACCAGAUUUGCGUUCUUAAACUCUACUCUGUCUAUUUUUUGUUUACUUUGCUAUACUUGUCAUGUUUAUUCGUUGUUUGUUUAUUUGCUUAUUUUUGUGUGAGUUUAUGCUUGAAACAUUGAGGACAAUGUUUGAUUUAAGUGUGGGGGGUAAGCAUUGUUUUGCAUGAAAUUCGUAGGAGUUUAUCACCCAUUACUUCUAAUGUUGUUCCUUGCUCUUUUAAGUGUUUCAAGCUGUUUUGGAGUGUUUUAGUGUGUUUUGACAUAAAAAUCCGAAAAUCUCAUAAAAAUUGUUUUGAAAAAAAAAAAUACCAAAAAGAGUUGUUUUUUUUUUUUUGUAUGUGUCUUAGGGUACCUUCCAACACAAUGAUGAGGAUUUGGUUUUUAAUUACAUGACUGUUAAAGAGAGUUAUAAACAUGGAUGAACAUUUGAUUUACUCUUUGGUGUAUGCUUGGUUGUGGUUAUAAUUUAUGAAUUCACAUGCAAUCAUAAAGGAAAAAUUAGUUUUUGUAACAUGCUUGAAGGAAGGAACUCAAACAAACGCUACAACCUUGUGAGACUUGAGCCUAAAUGUUAUUUGGAGAGUUGAUAAUCUGUGCAUUAUUGUUUUCUAAGUCGUUGCAUGAUCUCAUUAUUCUUUGCUUGGUUACUACUUAGAAGGCGUUUCAUCAUUUAGUUCCAAAUGCUAGAACUCAUGCCCAUUUCAUUCAAAGCAUGCUAUUGAAUUGCAUAACACAUAUUCAAGAAGAAGUUGUGUAGUGACCACCACCUUAGCCAAAUUGCCAUGUAUACUACUUCAUUAUAUGUUCAAGUGUAAACCCCGUUGAGCCUUGUUUAGCCUGUUUUUCUUUGUUAAAUCACAUCAUCUCCACCUAGCCUAGAUUAGGACCAUCCAUACCCUUAUUCUUAAAGCAUAGUAAAGCAUGAUUCAAAUUGAAUUCCUUUUGAGUAAUGUUUGGCAGAAAACAAGUGUGGGGGAAAUGUUUCUCAUGUAAGUAGUGAGCCAUAGGCACGGGUGGAAAGAAAAGAAAAGAAAAAUAUGUCCAAAAAAAAAAAAAAAAAAGAGAAGAAAAAGAAAAGUUGUGAAAAUGUUUGAAAAAGAGUUCUAAAGUGUUGUUGUUGAAGAAGGGGUCCAAAACAUUGAAUUCGGCCCUAAGUGUUGCUCAAAUCUUCCCUUUGUGUUAAAAGUUGAUUUAUGCAUUCUAAAGUGAAUUCUAAGUUUCGAUUUCAUUACUUUGCUUGCUAUUGCCUUAGGAACGUUUGUUAUCCCUAUCUUUCCUUUGUUAACCAUUACCCCAAGCCCCGUUACAACCCUUGACUUCUAUCUUGAGUGUUAUGUGUUUCAAUUUGUGGAGUUUGAAUUUGGUAUGAGCAUAUGGUGUCACUGGUUCUCGCAUCUAAGUAGUAGCAUUCCAUUCAUGAGAUCAUAUCUAAACAUGCUUAUAACUCCAGAAAUUGCGUUCUUUGUGAUACAUAUAUGUGAGUGUUCGUUUUCAUAUCUACAGCAAUCUUCUCACAUAUGACUAGUAUAGGGUGUGUAGUUAGAAAAUCUGAGUGAAAAUUGAGUGCAUACUUUGUAAGGAAUUGAGUAAAUUCUCUAAGGCAUGUUACUACAUCAAAAACAUUGUUUUAAUCGAUUAAUUGUGAACAAGUAAAUGGUGACUAUGAUUAAGUAUGUGCUUAAGUGUAAGAUGUGAUGUGAAAAUUAACUUAACACACAAAUUAAACCCUAUUUGUGACAAUUGUAGUAAUGAUGUAAGUAGGGAUCGUUCUAACCGGGGAUUAACUAGGGGUGCUAAUCUAAUACAAAUCGACUUAGAAACACAAAUACUAAACUUAAAGACUCUAAUUAGACUACUAAGAUUCAAAACAGAUUUGAAACACUCAAAUCUGCCCAAAACUGACUAAAACAAAAUAAUUGACUCAAACAGCAACUAAGACAAGAUUUGGACGAAUUUGACAAAACUUAUGACUCAAAAUACUUAAAAACACCAAAGAGGACAGAUUAUGAAGACUCAAACUUAACAAAAUAUGGGGGAAUUGUGUUUGGACGAAUUUGAACUAAAUGCACAGAUUGUAAAUUAAAACAAAUUGUGAACUAAAUGUGAUGAAUCAAUGGGUGAUGGAAUGGCUAAGGGGUUCUUCUCCACACAUGAAAUUAAUGCAACGUAAUCGAUUUCCAGUUAUCAAUUCAAUAAGUUAUGAACCUCGACACUCCAAGUUAAUUAGGUCCGCUUAAAUUAACUUUCAGAUUUCCCUAGAAUCAUUGAAUUGGAUGAAUAUGCAUCGCAAACAAAUUAUUCCUAACAAGUUCUCUAUAUGAACAGCAUGAUAAAGAUACAAGUUAGAAUCAUUAAGUUCUUUGGAAAUCAUAAGCAUCGACAAGGCAAUUGUAACUAUGAAAAGCAUGAUACUCCUGCCAUGAAUUUACUUAACACGAUCGUGACUAGCGAUCUUCACUACUUGCGAAUAUAAAUUCAUAACGAUUAGGUGUAACAAACUUAUAUUCUAGCACCAAAUUCCAGCAUGCAAAUCAAGCGUGCACUCUCAAUCAACAUACAAGAAUAAGUUUUGAAUUAAACGGUUAAGCAAAUUGUAUUCACGACUUAUGCAACGAUAACUGGAAGUAAUCAACUUAUUUCACAUAAAUAAACAUGGUUUUGAAUACACCCUUAGCCAAAACGAAUUUAGCCAAUCAUACUCAAUGAAAAACAAAGAUUACAAGAAGUAGACAUUGAAAUAUAAGAUAGAAUACACCUAAAAUUGUUCAACAACUCAGAUUGAAGAGCCAAACAAUUUUCAUGAACUGUCUCCUUCUCUUCUCCUUGCGGCAGAUUGGGGGAGGAUGAUUUCUGGGGGGUUUUUGUGAUGUAGAAUGGAUUAUGGAUGGUGUAGGGGCACGGCAAGGCUUGGGGGUAGUGUAUGGGUGUUGUGUGGAAGGUGUGGAGAUGAAGAAUGGUGGUGGAAAUCGGCAGAGAUGGAGGAGGACUGGUUUCUGAGGUUGUGGAUGGGUUUUGACGAAUUUGGGAGAGUGUGUGGCUGAAUGGAGAUGUUUGUGGCUGCACAAACAUGUUUAUUUAAAGGGAUUAGGAAAUUAAAAACCCUAGACUAAUUAGGUAAUCAGGAAUUAAGUUUAAAGCUUCUAGAAUUAAGGAAACAAAUCAGAAAAUUAAAGGAAAUAGCAAGGGAAAUUCGGCUAGGGUUAAAAACACAAAAGGAAAGUGUUUUAAAGCCUAGAAUCAGGAAAUAAGAAAGAGGAAAUACCAAGGGGGGUGCGGCAAGGGUUCAAAAGGUGCAAGAAAUGUGUAUUUGAUGUCCUAGAAUGCUUAGGAAGUCUUCAUAAUUGCUGGAACUUUUAGGGACAAUUAGGAAAAAUCAAACCAAAGUAGGAAACCUUGGCUUAACUUUCCUACUUCAAGUAGGAAUCCUUGUUGGAGGAGGAAUCCUUGUUCUUCUAGGAAUCCUCAUGUGAUUAGGAAUCCAUCUUCAAUUAGGAAUCCUUCGUUGAUUAGGAAUCCUUCGUUGAUUAGGAAUCCUUCGUCGAUUAGGAAUCCUCCUUCAUGUAAGCACUUUCCUACUUCAACUAGGAAACCUUGUUCAAGUAGGAAUCAUCAUCUUCAAGUCUUCAAAUUCGUCCAAACCUUGGCUCCAAUUAUGUGAUAAUCAUUCCAAGCCCAAUUUUGCUCCAAAAAGCUCCAAAAUGCAUCUUCUUGCAUCCUUUGGCCUUAAAACCUGAAAACACAUAAAACUAGCUUAAAAGACUACUUUAACUAAGAAAACACCAUGGAAAUGCAUAAGAACUAGCUAACUAAGGCGCAUAAAUAUGCUCCUAUCAAAUUCCCCCACACUUAGCUUUUGCUAGUCCUCGAGCAAAACAAACAAAAGAAAGGAAACAAAACGAAACAAACUAACCAAAACAAAACCUAAACCUUCCAACAUUUGCUUAGGGAUUUCCAAUGCACAUGACAUGUUAAAGAUUGUUAUCCCCACAGAUUUGAGUUCUCUUUACUCGUAAGCACAUACUUAAUUAAAGCCACUACUUACUAGUUCACAAGUAAUCAAUUAAAACAAUGCUUUGAAUGUGGUAACAUGCCUUAGAGAAUUCCCUCAAUUCCUUACAAGAUAUAUACUCUAUUUUCACUCAGAUUUUCUAACUCCACACCCUACACUAGUCAUAUGUGAGAAGAUUGAUGUAGAUAUGAAAACGAAUGCUCACAUAUAUGUUUCACAAAGAACGCAAUUUCUAGAGUUAAGAAGCAUGUUUAGAUAUGAUCUCAUGAAUGGAAUGCUACUACUUAGAUGCAAGAGCCAGUGACACCAUAUGCUCAUACCAAAUUCAAACUCCACAAAUUGAAACACAUAACACUCAAGAUAGAAGUUAAGGGUUGUAAUGGGGCUUGGGGUGUUGGUUAACAAGGAAAGGAUAGGGAAACAAACGUUCUUAAAGCAUAAUAAGCAAAGUAAUGAAAUCUAGACUUAGAAUCACUUAUGAUUGCAGAAACUCACUUAGACCCUUUCUUCAACUACCAUAAACAUGUGAACUUAUUUUCACUUAUUUCAUACUCUUUUUUUUUUUCUUUCUUUCCACAACUUUUUCUUUUCUUUUUCCACGAAUUUUUUUUUUUUCUUUUUAUUUUCACUCAUGCCUUAUUUCUUUUCUUGGCAUAUCAACACACACAUACAAAUUCCCCCACACUUGUUUUCUGCCAUACAUUAAUCAAAAGGGAUUCAAUUUGAAUCAUGCUUUACUAUGCUUCAAGAACAAGGGUAUGGAUGGUCCUAAUCUAGGCUAGGUAGGUGUAAUGUGGGUUAACAAAGACAAUGGCUAAACAAGGCUCAACGGGGUUAAACCUAAACAUAUAAUGGAGCAGGGCACACGGCUUUUUGGCUAAGGUGGUGGUCACUACACAACUUCAUCUUGAAUAUGUGUUAUGCAAAUCAAUAACAUGCUUUGAAUGAAAUGGGCAUGAGUUCUAGCAUUUGGAACUAAAUGAUGAAACGCCUUUUAAGUAGCAACCAAGCAAGGAAUAAUGAGAUCAUGCAACGACUUAGAAAACAAAGAAUGCACAGAAUUUAACUCUCCAAAUAAACGUUUAGGCUCAAGUCUCACAAGGUUGUAGCGUUAGUUUGAGUUCCUUCCUUCAAGCAUGUUACAAAAACUGAUUUUUUCUUUUAUGAUUGCAUGUGAAUUCAUAAGUUAUAACCACAACCAAGCAUAAACAAAGAGUAAAUCAAACUUUCAUCCAUGUUAAUCACUCUUCUUUAACAGCCAUGUAAUUACAAACCGAAUCCUCGUCAUUGUGUUGGAAGGUACCCUAAGACACAAACAAACACACAAAAACAACUCUUUUUGGGUUUUUCAAAACAAAUUUUUCAAAUUUUUAUGAGAUUUUCGGAUUUCUAUGUCUAAACACACCAAAAUGCUUCAAAACAUACUAAAAACACUUAAAACAGCAAGAAACAACAUUGUAAGUGAUAGGUGAAUAAAACCCACGAAUUUUCAUGCAAACAUAUUGUUUACCCCCCCACACUUAAAUCAAACAUUGUCCUCAAUGUUUCAAGCAUAAACUAACAUAAACAAAAAUCAAACAAACAAACAGCAACUAAACACACUAAUCAUGGCAGAUGGUAAACAACAAAGAGAAGGGUUUGAGAAAUUCAAAUCUGGAAUUGGAGUGCUCUCUAGGUCUUCCUUUGUCGAAUGCAUGGGUUGCCUCCCACGAAGCGCUUUCUUUUACAUCUUGCAGCCGGACGAAGAACAUGAUCAUGCCCCAUUGGAGCCCACGGCAUGGAGUGGGAUCUCCUCCACAACCUGCCCCACAAAGUUCUUGUACAUUGCAUCCUUGAACGGAAAUGGAUAGUGAUGUUUGUUGAUGGGUGCGUUGUGUUGCCUAAGGUUCAUGUUCAUGCGCCCACCAUCGGGGAUUUGCUUGGGUACCUGCACCAAAGAAGGGAACCAACUAUCAACUUUAAUGGGAAUUGGAUUUGGACUAGGUGCCUUACCUUGGUGUUGUGAUGAAGUGGCAGCAACAUGAACUUUUUUCCUCAUGGUGUUCUCGGCCACAUUGGGUAUCUUAAGGGCAGUGGCCGUGGGGUCCUUAUGCUCUACUUUAAUUCCCUCGUCUUGCAUGGCUCUUGAUGCAACCUUUGUGUUAGGGGCUGAAUGGUCCGUCCCUAUCUUUUCUAUUGUAUCAAUAACACAACAAGAAUGAACAACGUUAGGCGUCUCAAUGGAUUCAGAAAUUUUAAAACAAAUCAUAUCACCACCAAAUGCCAUAGUUACUUCUCCUUUGGCUACAUCAAUCUUGGUUUGAGCCGUUUUCAUGAAAGGCCGUCCAAGGAGAAUGGGCAAUGAAGGAGCAUGAUCCGAUUCAUCCAUCUCAAGAACAUAGAAAUCCGCCGGAAGAUCAAAUGAUUAACCUGCACCAAAACAUCUUCCACAACUCCCUUUGGAUAUGCAUUAGAUCUAUCGGCCAAUUGUAUGAUUACACCAUCAUUUUUUAACUUGCCUAGGUUCAUAGAUGCAUAAAUUGAAUAUGGCAUAACAUUUAUGGAUGCACCUAAGUCUAACAUGGCAGAUUUGAACCUAGUAUUACCAAUGACACAAGGAAUGGUGAAACUACCCGGAUCUUUGCAUUUAGGAGGUAGUUUACGUUGUAUCAUGGCAGACACAUUCUCACUUACCUGUACCACUUCUUUCUCCCGAAAACGUUUCUUUGUUGUACAAAGCUUCUUCAAACACUUGGCGUACUUCGGGAUUUGCUUGAUUGCAUCCAAGAGAGGUAUGUUAACUUGAACCUUCCUAAAUGUCUCUAGAACAUCUUUUUCCUCCUCUUCAUUCUUGAAUUGCGCAAAUCUGCGAGGGAAAGGAACAUUGGGCAGAUUAGUGUUUGAAUUCACAACAUUUGGAACAACAUUACCUGAGGUGGACGGAUGGGAGGGCUUAGGUGGCUGCGGCAUAGGUGGUACCACCCUUGCCGUGGGGUGUGAUGGCUCUUCCUCCUUGUUUUGGGCAGAUUCAUGUGCUUUGCUUCCUACUUCUUUUCCACUUCUUAGGGUGAUAGCUUUUGCAGAUUCAAACCCACCCUUAGGAUUGACUACCGUAGUGCUUGGUAACUUACCAUUCUCACGAAUUUGCCCCAAAAAUUCUGCCAUUUGGCCCAUUUGCUUCUUGAGCUCAUUAACUUCCUUUGCUUGGGUCUGCAAUCCCUGCGCCAUUGUGGUCAGUAAUUGAUAAGUUUUAUCAUCAUUCAUAGAAGUACCUGAGUUGUUUUGUGAUGAUUGUGCUUGAGGAGGUGGUUGUGGUGCCAUUGGCCUUGGAAUGAAACCCGGAGGUUGUCGGAAUCCACCUUGUUGGGCAGGUUGUUGUGCAUCUCUCCAUCUGAAAUUUGGGUGGUCACGCCAUCCUUGAUUGUAUGUAUUAGAGAAAGGAUCACCCCUUGGUUGGUUUUGAUUCCCAUAACCCACGGCAUGGGCAGAUUCCCACCCUCCAUUUUCAAUUAAUUGAGGGCAUUGAUCCGAUUGGUGUCCUUGAAUGGAGCAUACACCACAGAUUGUAGUUCCUUGCGUUUUGGGGCCUUCAACAAACUGCGAUAACAUAGAAGUAAGGUUAGCCAUUUGGGAUUGUAACUCAGAAAUAGAACUUACCUCAUUUACAUGAUGUGACCGUGGGGUAUCUCUCUGCCCAACACCUUCAUAUUGUUGUGCGUUGUGUGCUCGGUUCGCAAUGAGAGUCUUGGCAGCCACCGGAGUCAUGUCCACCAAUGCACCACCCGCCGAGGCAUCUAGCAUUUGGCGUUCCAUGGGAAGGAGUCCUUCGUAGAAGUAUUGAAGGAGCAACUCCUCCUUCAUUUGAUGCUGUGGACAAGAAGCAACAAGAGUUUUAAAACGUUCAUAAUAUGUUGGAAAUGACUCACCUUGGCUUUGUUGGAUGCCACUAAUGCGUUUCCUCAAAAGAAUGACUCUUGAGGUUGGAAAGAAUUUUUCCAAAAACGCUCGUUUCAUGCUCUCCCACGAGGUAACCGUCCCCGGGGCCAAUUCAUACAACCAAUCUUUAGCUUUAUCCAUUAGAGAGAAUGGAAAAGCUUUCAUCUUCAAAAAUGUUGCCAUCAACAUUUACCGGCGUCAUGCUUGAACAAACAACUUCAAACUCCUUCAAGUGUUUGUUUGGGUCUUCCAUGGACAGCCCAUGGUACUUUGGAACAUGAUGUAACAAGCUCGACUUCAAUUCGAACUCCUCGGUUUUCCCUUGGGCUGCCGCGGGGUAUUGGAUGCAAAGAGGGGCUGCAUUAUCCAAACCCGAGGCAGAAAGCUCCUUAAUGGUUCGGUUGUCCGCUGCCAUCUCUUGGUUCUCCUCUACAACUCUAGCCGUGGGCUCUUCUUCCUCUUCAAAUUCGUUUUCUUCGCAAUGAGGUUCCGGGCUAGGUGGAUUGGAUGCUUGUUGCCUUCUUGUUCUUCUCAAAGUUCGCUCAAAAUCGUCGUCGAACUCCAAAAUGUUUGCUUGGACAGAUUUGGAACUUCGAGUCAUACACUUGUACCUAAAACAAGAAAACAAGAAACCAAGUCAGAAACUGAAUUUAAAACAAACAAAAAUAACACAAAAAUAAAUAACGAGGGAUUAGCAACUUUGCUAAUCCCCGGCAACGGCGCCAAAAUUUGAUGUGAAAAUUAACUUAACACACAAAUUAAACCCUAUUUGUGACAAUUGUAGUAAUGAUGUAAGUAGGGAUCGUUCUAACCGGGGAUUAACUAGGGGUGCUAAUCUAAUACAAAUCGACUUAGAAACACAAAAACUAAACUUAAAGACUCUAAUUAGACUACUAAGAUUCAAAACAGAUUUGAAACACUCAAAUCUGCCCAAAACUGACUAAAACAAAAUAAUUGACUCAAACAGCAACUAAGACAAGAUUUGGACGAAUUUGACAAAACUUAUGACUCAAAAUACUUAAAAAACACCAAAGAGGACAGAUUAUGAAGACUCAAACUUAACAAAAUAUGGGGGAAUUGUGUUUGGACGAAUUUGAACUAAAUGCACAGAUUGUAAAUUAAAACAAAUUGUGAACUAAAUGUGAUGAAUCAAUGGGUGAUGGAAUGGCUAAGGGGUUCUUCUCCACACAUGAAAUUUAUGCAACGUAAUCGAUUUCCAGUUAUCAAAUUCAAUAAGUUAUGAACCUCGACACUCCAAGUUAAUUAGGUCCGCUUAAAUUAACUUUCAGAUUUCCCUAGAAUCAUUGAAUUGGAUGAAUAUGCAUCGCAAACAAAUUAUUCCUAACAAGUUCUCUAUAUGAACAGCAUGAUAAAGAUACAAGUUAGAAUCAUUAAGUUCUUUGGAAAUCAUAAGCAUCGACAAGGCAAUUGUUAACUAUGAAAAGCAUGAUACUCCUGCCAUGAAUUUACUUAACACGAUCGUGACUAGCGAUCUUCACUACUUGCGAAUAUAAAUUCAUAACGAUUAGGUGUAACAAACUUAUAUUCUAGCAACCAAAUUCCAGCAUGCAAAUCAAGCGUGCACUCUCAAUCAACAUACAAGAAUAAGUUUUGAAUUAAACGGUUAAGCAAAUUGUAUUCACGACUUAUGCAACGAUAACUGGAAGUAAUCAACUUAUUUCACAUAAAUAAACAUGGUUUUGAAUACACCCUUAGCCAAAACGAAUUUAGCCAAUCAUACUCAAUGAAAAACAAAGAUUACAAGAAGUAGACAUUGAAAUAUAAGAUAGAAAUACACCUAAAAUUGUUCAACAACUCAGAUUGAAGAGCCAAACAAUUUUCAUGAACUGUCUCCUUCUCUUCUCCUUGCGGCAGAUUGGGGGGAGGAUGAUUUCUGGGGGGUUUUUGUGAUGUAGAAUGGAUUAUGGAUGGUGUAGGGGCACGGCAAGGCUUGGGGGUAGUGUAUGGGUGUUGUUGUGGAAGGUGUGGAGAUGAAGAAUGGUGGUGGAAAUCGGCAGAGAUGGAGGAGGACUGGUUUCUGAGGUUGUGGAUGGGUUUUUGACGAAUUUGGGAGAGUGUGUGGCUGAAUGGAGAUGUUUGUGGCUGCACAAACAUGUUUAUUUAAAGGGAUUAGGAAAUUAAAACCCUAGACUAAUUAGGUAAUCAGGAAUUAAGUUUUAAAGCUUCUAGAAUUAAGGAAACAAAUCAGAAAAUUAAAGGAAAUAGCAAGGGAAAUUCGGCUAGGGUUAAAAACACAAAAGGAAAGUGUUUUAAAGCCUAGAAUCAGGAAAUAAGAAAGAGGAAAUACCAAGGGGGGUGCGGCAAGGGUUCAAAAGGUGCAAGAAAUGUGUAUUUGAUGUCCUAGAAUGCUUAGGAAGUCUUCAUAAUUGCUGGAAACUUUUAGGGACAAUUAGGAAAAAUCAAACCAAAGUAGGAAACCUUGGCUUAACUUUCCUACUUCAAGUAGGAAUCCUUGUUGGAGGAGGAAUCCUUGUUCUUCUAGGAAUCCUCAUGUGAUUAGGAAUCCAUCUUCAAUUAGGAAUCCUUCGUUGAUUAGGAAUCCUUCGUUGAUUAGGAAUCCUUCGUCGAUUAGGAAUCCUCCUUCAUGUAAGCACUUUCCUACUUCAACUAGGAAACCUUGUUCAAGUAGGAAUCAUCAUCUUCAAGUCUUCAAAUUCGUCCAAACCUUGGCUCCAAUUAUGUGAUAAUCAUUCCAAGCCCAAUUUUGCUCCAAAAAGCUCCAAAAUGCAUCUUCUUGCAUCCUUUGGCCUUAAAACCUGAAAACACAUAAAACUAGCUUAAAAGACUACUUUAACUAAGAAAACACCAUGGAAAUGCAUAAGAACUAGCUAACUAAGGCGCAUAAAUAUGCUCCUAUCAAGAUGAUUCAAAUCUGUGGGGAUAAUGAUUUUUAACAUGUCAUGUGCAUUGGAAAUCCCUGAGGCAAAUGUUGGAAGGUUUAGGUUGUGUUUUAUUUGUUUUGUUUCGUUUUAUUUCUUUGUUUUGCUCGAGGACUAGCAAAAGCUAAGUGUGGGGGAAUUUGAUAGGAGCAUAUUUAUGCGACUUAAUUGGCUUCUUCUCGUGCGUUUACGUUGUGUUUCCUUAGUUAUUUUAGCAUUUAAAGUCAUUUUCGUAUGUUUGUAGGUCUUAAUAACAACGUUGGCAAGAAAAGUGCAUUUUGGUGCAUUUUGGAUCAAAAUUGGGCUGAAAUGGAUUGCAUGCAUGAGGAUGGACGUUUUGGGCAUAUGUGUGUGCAAGUGUGUGUGUGCAAAUGCAAGGGUAAACAAUGACAACUCAUACACAUGCAAACUCACGGCAAUGGGAAGGAAUUGUGUUUGUUUUGUGGCUGAAAUGAUGUGUGUGCAAGUGUAACAACUAGGAUGAAACAUGGCAGCACACACAUGCAAAGAGGAGCUGGAAUCAUCCUUCACACAAAUGCAGCAACAACCCCUCAUCAUUACACAACAUUUCUGCCACAAAACACAUGCAAAAGACACCCACAUGCAAAGUGGAAGAAAGGCACGGCAAAGGGGAAGGAAUUGUGCUUGUUUUGUGGCUGAAAUGAUGCAAAGAACAUGUGUGUGUGCAAGUGUAAUAGCUAGGAUGAUAACAUGGCAGCAAACACAUGGCAAAGAAAAGAACAUGGCAGCAAACACAUGGAGCACACGGCAUGGGCAGAAAAUGUGGGUGUUUGGUGGUUGAAAUGAUGAAGCAUGUGUGUGUAAAUGUAAAGGGGAAACAUGACAGCUCACACCCACACAAGCUGCACAUGCAAAGGAAAUGAAGUGGUCCUCUCUCAAGCCUAUAAAUACCACCUCCCAUAUUCAUCAAAGAAUAGAUUGGGAUCCUUGUCUUUGCUGUGAGUUUUCCACCACCAUUCUCUCCAAAUUCAGCCAAAAAUCACCCCUAGCCACACCACCCAUCAACCCUAAACCUUUCCAUACCAUUCCCCAUCCAUUCUACACCAUAAAAACCACCCAAACCCUGUCCAAAACCUCUCUGCCGCAGCAAGGAAGAAGGAGGAACUUUGGAUGCACCUGCUGCCAAGUUGGAGUGUUUUAGGUGUUGUCUUUCUUUGAAUUUUAAUGUCUAAUUUUAUGUAUCUUUGCUUUGCAAAUAUGAGGAACUAAACCCCCCUUGGCUAGGGGGGGAUUCAAAACCAUGUUUAUGCUUGCUAUAUGAUUUGAUUACUUCCGAUUGCGUUUCAUGAAUUGUGAAUUUAAUUUACUUAUCUCUAUGAAUUAAAACUAAUUUGUGUAUGUUGGUUGAGAGUGCACGCUUAAUUUUCAUGCAUAAGUUUGUUGCUAGGAUAUAAGGGAGUUUCACCUAAUCGUUAUGAACUUAUAUUCAUAAGUAGUAAAGGUUGUUGAUCACAAUCAUGUUAAGUAAAUUCUUGGCAUAAGUUUCAUGCAAUUCAUAGUAACAAGUGCCUCGCCAAUGCUUAUGGUUUUCAUAGAACUUAAUGAUUCUUGCUUGUAUCUCUAUUAUACAAUUCAUGUAGGGGACUUGUGAGGAAUGCUUUGGGUUGUCGUAUGCAAUUCAUCCAAUUCAAUAACUUUAGGGAAAUCUGAGGGUUAAUUAGUGCAAUUCACAGUUAAUCUGGGGUGUUGGGAAUUCAUGGUGUGUUGAAGAGCAAUUGGAAAUCAUUUUGUAUGCAAGUAUAACAUGUGUGGAGAAGAACCCCUUAGCUAGCUUCUCAUCCAUUCAAUUUAAUCAAUCUCGUUUUACAAUCUGCUAGUUCUUAAAGUUUUUGUUUAGUUUUAAAUUUCGUCAAGAACCAAUCUCCCAUUUAUUUCAAAGUGUUAGAUUAGUUAGUAAUCACUUUAGUUUGUGUUUUUAAAUGUUUUGAUUCAAGUGGUAAACCAAUUUCGUCCAAAUUUGUGUUUGUGCUCAAAACUGCCCAGAAGGUGUUUUUAAGGCAGUUUUGAGUCUUUUGGUUGCUGUUUUGAAUCUUUUUGUUUAUCUUAGUGUUUUAAACUUUAGUUUUGCAUUCUUCGAGUCUAGUUUAGUGUUUUAAACUUUGUUUUUAAGUUUUGAGUCAGUUUUCAAGUGAUUUGGCAAUCCCUCCUAAUCCCGGCCUAGAACGAUCCCUACUUACAUACUUGCUACAAUUGAUGAAAAGAGGGUUUAAUUUGUCUGCUUAUAUAAAUCGCAUCAAUAAGCUCGAAAGGAAUGCUCCAAUCUGAUGGCAUAAUGAUGGGGGCCGAAGUUAGCAUCUCUUUGAGGUGUUUGAACGCCUUCUCACAUUCCUCGUUGAAUUCAAAGGGCACAUCCUUUUGGAGAAGUCGGCACAAGGGUGUUGAAAUCUUUGAAAAAUCCUUGAUGAAUCGCCUAUAGAAUCUUGCAUGUCCAAGAAAAGAACGAACCUCUCUAACCGAAGUAGGAGAGGGUAAGUAGUGUACAAGAUCUAUUUUCAAUUUAUCAACCUCAAUUCCCCUUUCAGAAACGAUAUGCCCUAAACCUAUGCCUUGUUUUACCAUAAAGUGACAUUUUUCCCAAUUUAGAACAAGGUUAGUUUCAACGCAUUGUUUUAACAUUAAUGUGAGAUUUUCCAAACAACCAUCAAACGAAUCACCAAAGACAUUAAAAUCAUCCACGAAUACCUCAAUAAUCUUCUCAACAAAAUCUGAAAAGAUACUUACCAUGCAUCUUUGAAAAGUGGCAGGUGCAUUGCAUAAACCGAAUGGCAUGCGACGAUAAACAAAAGUACCAAAGGGGCACGUGAAAGUGGUCUUUUCUUGGUCCUCCGGAGCUAUGACAAUUUGAUUAUAUCCCGAAUAACCAUCAAGAAAACAAUAAAAAGAAUGAACGGCUAACCUUUCAAGCAUUUGAUCAAUGAACGGCAAGGGAAAGUGGUCAUUCCUUGUUGUGUUGUUGGGCUUUCUAUAAUCGAUGCACACUCUCCAACCUGUUUGGAUACAGGUUGGCACAAGCUCAUUCUCGGCAUUCUUCACCACAGUAACUCUGGACUUCUUUGGAACAACUUGAACUGGUGAAACCCAACGGCUAUCCGAAAUUGGAUAAAUCACUCCACAAUCGAGAAGCUUAGCCCCUCGAAUGGCAUUCUUCACAACUUCCAUCAUUAAAGGGUUAAGUCGGUGUUGAGCCUCUCGAGUUGGCUUAGCCCCCUCCUCUAGAAGUAUGCGAUGCAUUCAUGUUGUAGGGCUAAUCCCCUUAAUAUCGACCAAGGUCCAUCCAAUGGCUGUUUUGUGCUCUUUCAACACCUGAAUUAACUUCUCCUCCUCUAUUACUGUGAGUGAUGAAGAGACAAUGACGAGCAACAUCUCUUCAUCUCCCAAAAAGACGUACUUUAAAUGAUCCUGCAAUGGUUUAAGUUCAAGAACGGGGGCCUGAAUCACUGAAGGUAACAACGUAUUAGUAGAAACGGGAAUUGGAAUUGAGUUUGGAGGCUUACCAUGAUGUUGUGGCAGUGAUUCAAAAGCAACCACAAUCUUGGCAUGUGCUACAUUAGGUACGGCCAGAUUGGGCUUCAAUCCAAUUCCUUGUGCAAUUGUUGUUUCAAGGGGAUCUUCUUCCAACAAGUCAAGAUAAUCCUGCGCCAAUUCAUCAAAUACAUCAAUAGAAAAACAAGAAUGAUCAUCUCUGGGAAAUUUAUUAGCUUCAGAAAUGUUAAAAUCAAUAAUCUCCCCAUCAAAUUCCAUUGUUAACGUCCCCUUGAACACAUCUAUCUUGGUGCGUGCUGUUUUCAUGAAGGGCCUUGAUGCGUAAAAUAACUAAACACACAAAUUAACCCUCUUGUUGACAAUUGUAGUAUGGAUAAGUAGGGAUCGUUCUUAAACCGGGGAUUAGGAGGGAUUGCUAAAACACUCUAAACUGACUCAAAUCUGUAAAACAAAGUUUAAAAUACUAAACUAGACUCAAAGAAUGCAAAACUAAAAUCUAAAACACUAAACAAACCAAAAGACUCAAAACAGCAAACAGACACUCAAAACUGCCUUAAAACCACUUUCUGGGCAGUUUUGGGACUCUAACACAACUUGGACGAAUUUUGGUUUCCUAAUGACCUAAAACACCUAAAAACAUAUUCUAAGACAAGUUCUAAGUAAUAUGACUUAAAGGAAUAAGGUGGGAUUGAUUUUGGACGAAAAUAAUUAAAUGGGCAGAUUGAAAAAGAAAAUAGAUUGUAAAACAAAAUUGUGAUGAAUCAAUGGAUGAUGGAAUAGCUAAGGGGUUCUUCUCCACACAUGAAAUAUAUGCAACGUAAAUCAAUUUCCAGUUAUCAAUUUAAUAAGUUGUGAACCUCGACACUCCAAGUUAAUUAGGUCCGCUUAAAUUAACCUUCAGAUUUCCCUAGAAUCAUUGAAUUGGAUGAAUAUGCAUCGCAAACAAAUUAUUCCUAACAAGUUCUCUAUACGAACAGCAUGAUAAAGACACAAGUUAGAAUCAUUACGUUCUUUGGAAAUCAUAAGCAUCGACAAGGCAUUUGUAACUAUGAAAAGCAUGAUACUCUUGCCAGGAAUCUACUUAACACGAUCGUGACUAGCGACCUUCACUACUUGCGAAUAUAAAUUCAUAACGAUUAGGUGAAACAAACUUAUAUCCUAGCACCAAAUUCAAGCAUGCAAAUUAAGCGUGCACUCUCAAUCAACAUACAAGAAUAAGUUCUAAAUCAAACGGUUAAGCAAAUUGUAUUCACGACUUAUGCAACGAUAACUGAAAGUAAUCAACUUAUUUCACAUAUAUAAUCAUGGUUUUGAAUACACCCUUAGCCAAAAAGAAUUUAGCCAAUCACUCAAAGCAAAACAAAGAUUACAUGAAUUAGACAUUGAAAUAUAAGAUAGAAUACACCUAAAAUUGUUCCAACAACUCAGAAUGAAGAGCCAAACAAUUAAGUGAAUCUGUCCCCUUUCCUUGCUUGCGGCAGAUUGGAUGUUGGUGGUUUCUUGGGUUAUUGAAUGAUGUAGAAUGGAUGGAGGACGUAUGGAAGUGUUUAGGGUUGAUGGGUGGUGCGGCUAGGGUGGUUUUGGGUCAGAAAAUAUGGUGAAUGGUGAAGGAAUGGGGCUGUUGAAGAUGGAGUUCAGUUUCUGGCGUGAAUGGUCAGUUUCUGGAUGAAUGGGGAUGUUUUUGGCUGCACCAGGAUGAGUUUAUUUAAAGGGAUUAGGAAAUUAAAAACCCUAGACUAUUUUGGUAAACAGAAAUUAAGUCAAAAGCUUCUAGAAAUAGGAAAUUAAAUAAGAAACUUAAGGGAAAGUCAAGGGAUAUGCGGCAACACCUUGAAACACAUUAGGAAUGUGUUUUAAUGCAUAAAAUCAGGAAAGAACCCUCUCCCUUGCACGGCAAGGAAGAGGAAAGGGCAAGGAACCUUCACAAGGUGCGGCAAGGCUUUAGGAAAGGUCUAAGUGUCCUAAAACUAAUGGAAAAAGGGAUCCCUUGCAAGGCAAGGAAAGGGAAAAUUGGGAAAGGUGCGGCAAGGCUUUACAAUGUGCAAGAGAGGUGUAUUUGAUGUCCUAGAAUGCUUAGGAUGCCUUCAAAGUUGAUAAAUCUUAGGAACAUUUAGGAAAGGUCAAACCAAAGUAGGAAACCUUGGCUUAACUUUCCUAUUUCAAGUAGGAAUCCUUCUUGGAGUAGGAAUCCUUGUUCUUCUAGGAAUCCUCAUGUGAUUAGGAAUCCAUCUUCAAUUAGGAAUCCUUCGUCGAUUAGGAAUCCUUCUUCGAUUAGGAAUCCUUGAUUGAUUAGGAAUCCUAAUUUCUUCAAGUCUUUAAUUCAUCCAUUCCUUUUGCUCCAAGCAUUUGAUAAUCAUUCCAAGCUCCAUUUUGCUCCAAAAGGCUCCAAAAUGCGUACUUUGCCUUUAGAAUCUGAAAACACACAAAAGUAACUUUAAACACUAAAAUAGCUAACGAAACAUAACAUAAAUGCACGAGAACAAGCCAAUUAAGUCGCAUAAAUAUGCUCCUAUCAAAUUCCCCCACACAUAGCUUUCGCUAGUCCUCGAGCAAAACAAAGAAAUACAACAAAACAAAACAAAUAAAACACAACCUAAACCUUCCAACAUUUGCCUCAGGGAUUUCCAAUGCACAUGACAUGUUAAAAAUCGUUAUUCCCCACAGAUUUUAGUCAUCUUUACACUUAAGCACAUACUUAAUCAUAGUCACCACUUACUUGUUCACAAUUAACCAAUUAAAACAAUGUUUUUGAUGUAGUAACAUGCCUUAGAGAAUUUACUCAAUUCCUUACAAGAUAUGCACUCAAUUUUCAGUCAGAUUUUCUAACUACACACCCUAUACUAGUUAUAUGUGAGAAGAUUGAUGUAGAUAUGGAAACGACCGCUCACAUAUAUGUAUAACAAAGAACGCAAUUUCUAGAGUUAAUAAGCAUGUUAAGAUAUGAUCUCAUGAAUGGAAUGCUACGACUUAGAUGCGAGAACCAGUGACACCAUAUGCUCAUACCAAAUUCAAACUCCACAAAUUGAAACAUAUAACACUCAAGAUUGAAGUCAAGGGUUGUAACCGGGCUUGGGGUGUUGGCUAACAAAUGAAGGAUAGGGAUAACAAACGUUCUUAAAGCAAUAGUAAGCAAAGUAAUGAAAUUGAAACUUAGAAUUCACUUAGAUUGCAGAAAUCAACUUUUAAACACAAAGGGAAGAUUCAAGCAAAAUUUAGGGCCGAAUUCAAAGUUUUGGACCCCUUCUUCAACAAACAAUACUUUAGAACUCUUUUUUCACAUCUUUUCAACUCUUUUUCAGUCUUUUCACACAUUUUUCUUUUUCCACGAAUUUCAUUUUUUUCUUCUUUUCUUUUCUUGCCGUGUUCUAUGGCACCCAAAAUACCCAAAUUGAAACCUUUCCCCCACACUUGUUUUCUGCCAUAUAUAAAUCAAAAGGAAUUCAAUUUGAAUCAUGCUUUACUAUGCUUCAAGAACAAGGGUAAGGAUGAUCCUAAUCUAGGCUAGGUGAGGUUAAUGUGGGUUAACAAAGAAUGAAGGCUAACAAGGCUCAAUGGGGUUAACUUAAACAUAAACAUGAAGUAGGGUACAAGGCAUUUUGGCUAAGGUGGGGGUAACUACACAACUUCAUCUUGAAUAUGUGUUAUGCAAUUCAAUAACAUGCUUUGAAUGAAAUGGGCAUGAGUUCUAGCAUUUGGAACUAAAUGAUGGAACGCCUUCUAAGUAGUAACCAAGCAAAGAAUGAUGAGAUCAUGCAACGACUUAGAAAACAAUAAUGCACAGAUUUUAACUCUCCUAAUAAACGUUUAGGCUCAAGUCUCACAAGGUUGUAGUGUUUGUUUGAGUUCCUUCCUUCAAGCAUGUUACAAAAACUAAUUUUUUUCUUUAUGAUUGCAUGUGAAUUCCUAAGCUAUAACCACAACCAAGCAUAACAAAGAGUAAUUCAAACUUUCAUCAUGUUCAUAACUUUCUUUAACAGCCAUGCAAUUACAAACCGAAUCCUCAUCAUUGUGUUGGAAGGUACCCUAAGACACAACACAAAAACGACUCAAAACACUCUUUUUAGGUUUUUCAAAACACUUUUUUCAAAUUUUUAUGUGAUUUUCGGAGUUUUAUGUUAACACAUACCAAAACACACCAAAACUGCUCAAAAACACUUAAAAACAGCAAAGAACAAGUCUCUAAGUAAUGGGUGGUACAAUCCCACGAAUUUGAAUAAAAAAAAACACUUAGUUACCCCCCCACACUUAAAUCAAACAUUGUCCUCAAUGUUUCAAGCAUAAAAUCACACCAAAUAAAAUUAAACACACAAACAGCAAGUAAACAAAUAAACUGGCAGAUUAUAAACAACAACAAAGAGAAGGGUUUUAGGAAUGCAAAUCUGGAAUUGGAGUGCUCUCUAGGUCUUCCUUUGUCGAAUGCAUGGGUUGCCUCCCAAGUAGCGCUUUCUUUAACGUCUUGCAGCGGAACGAAGAGCUCAUUCAGCUCUCAUUGGAGCCCACGGCAUGCAGUGGGAUCUCCUCCACAUCAUGCUCAACAAAGUUCGCAUACAUUGCAUCCUUGAAUGGAAAUGGAUAGUGAUGUUUGUUGAUGGGUGCGUUGUGUUGCCUAAGGUUCACGUUCAUGCGCCCACCAUCGGGGAUUUGCUUGGGUAUCUGCACAAAAGAAGGGAACCACCUAUCAACUUUAAUGGGAAUUGGAUUUGGAUUAAGUGGCUUACCUUUGUGUUGUGAUGAAGUGGCAGCAAUGUGAACAUUCUUCCCCAUGGUGCUUUCGGCCAAUUUGAGCACUUUGAGGGCAGUGGCCGUGUGGUCCUUGUACUCCAUUCCAAUUCCCACGUCUUGCAUAGUUCUUGAUGCAUCCUUUGUGCUUGGUGCUGAACGGUCCGGUCCUAUCUUUUCAAAUUUAUCAAUGGCACAACAAGAAUGAACAACAUUAGGAGUCUCAAUGGAUUCAGAAAUUUUAAAACUAAUCAUGUCACCAACAAAUGCCAUAGUUACUAAUCCUUUGGCCACAUCAAUCUUCGUUUGAGCCGUUUUCAUGAAUGGCCUUCCAAGGAGGAUGGGCAAUGAAGGGGCAUGGUCUGAUUCAUCCAUUUCGAGGACAUAGAAAUCUGCCGGGAAGAUUAAAUGAUCAACCUGCACUAAAACGUCUUCCAAAACUCCCUUUGGAUAAGCAUUAGAUCUAUCGGCCAAUUGUAUGAUUACACCAUCAUGUUUAAGUGCUCCUAGAUUCAUAGAUGCAUAAACAGAAUAUGGCAUAACAUUUAUAGAUGCUCCUAAAUCUAGCAUGGCAGAUUUGAAACGGGUAUUACCAAUGACACAUGGAAUUGUGAAACUACUUGGAUCUUUACAUUUUGGUGGCAGCUUUCUUUGCAACAUUGCGGAGACAUUCUCGCUUACAUGUACCACUUCUUUCUCCCGGGCACGUUUCUUUGUUGUACAAAGCUUCUUUAAACACUUGGCAUACUUCGGGAUUUGCUUUAUGGCAUCAAGGAGGGGAAUGUUGACAUGCACCUUUCUAAACGUCUCUAGAACAUCUUUUUCCUCCUCUUCGUUCUUGGAUUGCAAAAAUCUGCUAGGAAAGGGGACAUUCGAAGGAAAAACAUUAGUAGGAAUUGAAUUUAACACAUUUUUACCCUUAUUGGACAGAUUUGAAGGUUUAGGGGCCAUGGACACUUGCGGCAAAGGUACUUCCACCUUUGCCGUGGGUUGAUUUGAUUCCUCCUCUUCCAUUUGCAACAUUUCAUCCUCUUUGUGACCUGUUUUUGAUCAAGAACCUGCUCCAACCUCCUUACCACUUCUUAGGGUGAUUGCUUUGGCUGAUUCAAACCCUCCUUUUGGAUUUGGAAUGGUAGAACUAGGAAGCCUUUCUUGGUCUCUAAUCUGCCCAACAACUUCGGCAAUCUGCCCCAUUUGUUUUGAUUUUCUUGCCCCUGAGUCAAAGUGGUUAGUAACUUAACAAGUGUAUCAUUAUCCAAAGCAUUACCUGAAGUAUUUGGGGCAGAUUGUGGUUGGAUUUGAGGGGGUGCGUAUGGUUUGGUGUAGAAGCCCGGGGGUUGUUGCCUAAAGUCUCCUUGUGGUUGGGAUUGUUGUGGCUCUCUCCAUUUGAAGUUUGGAUGGUCUUUCCACCCCGGAUUAUACGUGUUGGAGUAUGGAUCAUGUCUUGGCUGAUUUUGGCUUUGAAACCCAAUUGCAUUAGCGCUCUCCCAUCCACCAUUCUCGAUGAGUUGAGGACACUUUUCGGAAGCAUGUCCUUGGAUAGAACAUACACCACACACCAUGGGUCCUUGAAUCUUCAUUCCCUCGGCCAUCUGUGAAACAAUAGAAGUAAGAUUAGCUAACUGAGAUUGAAUAUUGGAUGUGGAACUUACCUCAUGAACUUGUUGCCGUGGGGGUCCUCUUUGGCCUACGCCCUCGUAUUGUUGAGCGUUCAACGCUCAAAUUAACCCUCUUUUUAUCAAUUGUAGCAAAGUAUGUAAGUAGGGAUCGUUCUAAACCGGGAUUAGGAGGGAUUGCAAAAUCACUUGAAAACUGACUCGAAUACGUAAAAACAAGUUUAAAACACUAAACUAGACUCAAAGAAUGCAAAACUAAACUUUAAAACACCAAAACAAACCAAAAGACUCAAAACAGCAAACAAACACUCAAAACUGCCUUAAAACACUUGCUAGGCAGUUUCUGACACUCAGGAAGAAUUUGGACGAAAAUUGAUUAUAACUUGACUCAAGACACUUAAAAACACAAACUAAAUUGAUUUCUAACUAGUAUGACUCAACAAAGAAAAGGGGGAUUGAUUUUGGACGAAUUUAAAAACAAAACAAAACUUUGUAAACUAAAACAGAUUUUAAAACGAAUUUGGAUGAUUUGAAUGGAUGGAAGGCUAGCUAAGGGGUUCAUCUCCACACAUGUCACACUUGAUCUCUAAUUGCUUUUCAAUAAACCAUGAAUUCCCAACGCCCCAAGUUAAUUAGGUCCGCUUAAAUUAACCUUCAGAUUUUCCUAAUGUUAUUGAAUUGGAUGAUUGCAUACGACAACCCAAAGCAUUCCCCACAAGUCCCCUACAUGAUUGCAUAAUAGAGAUACAAGCAAGAAUCAUUAAGUUCUAUGAAAACCAUAAGCAUUGACGAAGCACUUGUUACUAUGAUUGCAUGAAACUUAUGCCAAGAAUUUACUUAACACGAUUGUGAUCAACAACCUUUACUACUUGUGAAUAUAAGUUCAUAACGAUUAGGUGAAAUUCCCUUAUAUCCUAGCAUCAAAUUCAUGCAUGCAAACUAAGUGUCGACCCUCAAUCAACAUACAAGAAUAAGUCUUAAUUCACAUAGAUAAGCAAAUUGAAAUCACAACUUAUGAAACGCAAUUAGAAGUAAUCAAAUCAUAUAGCAAGCAUAAUCAUGGCUUCGAAUCCCCCCCUAGCCAAGGGGGUUUAGUUCCUCAUACUUGCAAAUAAACAAAGAUAAAUAAAUUUAAACAUUAAAACAAAGAUAGAAAACACCUAGAAACGCUCCACAAUCCAAGCUCCUUGAAUGGCAUGCACGGCCCCAAGAGUUCUUCCUUCUUCUCCUUUGCAAACUCACGGCACAAGAGGUAUAUUUGGGUGAAUGGUGUAGUGAAAAUAUGGUAGAGGAUGGUGACUAAAUGGUGCAGCAAAGGAUGAUAUUUAUAGGCUGAAAUUCGCAGCCCCUAUGUAGCAAAGGAAAAGGAUUUAAAAGCCUAAUUUGUAUAGGAUAAUAACACACAAUCCUUGAAGGAAAAGGCUAAGGGUUUUAGAAACCAAGGGGGAAAGGAAUAAUCAGGUUUCUAGAAGUUCUAGAAAGGUUUGGGGCGUCACUUUUGUAGGACAAGGGAUAAGGCCUUCUAGAAAGGUUGUUUUGUGGCUGAUUUCUAGAAAAAACAAGGGAUAAGGUGUGGCACCUUUGUAGGAGUGGAUAAGGGCUUCUAGAAACCAAUUUUAAUGUGUCCUAAUCUGAAAAUAAAUCCCCCAUGCAGCUGGAAUUAAAUUAGGAUAGGAUUAGGAUAGGAUAAGAUAAGAUAGGAUUGGAUAGGAUAGGGUUUGGAUAAUGUUUUGGAUAAGGUUUCUUCACUUGAGCUGAUUCUUUGGCUUCAACUUCCCUUCUUCAAGUAGGAAACCUUGUUUGAGUAGGAAACUUCAAUCUUCUAGGAAUCCAACUUCAACUAGGAAUCCAUCUUCAACUAGGAUUUCAUCUUCAAUUAAGCACUUUCCCACUUCAAUUAGGAAUCUUUGUAUCUUCAAUUCUUCAACUUCAAAACACAUUCCUAGCUUCAUCAAUCCUUCAAAUUCGUCCAUCCCUUGUGCUUCAUGUGCAUGAACUCCAUUCUAGCCCAAUUUUGCUCCAAAAUGCUCCAAAUUGCAUCCUUUUGCUCACUUUGUCUCUAAAACCUGAAAACACAUGAAAAUAGCUUAAAAGACUAAUUUACUAAGAAAACACAACAUAAAUGCAUAAGAACUAGCUAACUAAGGUGCAUAAAUAUGCUCCUAUCAAAUUCCCCCACACUUUUUGCUAGUCCUCGAGCAAAACAACGAAACAAAACAUGACCUAAACCUUCCAACAAUCGCCUCAGGGAUUUCCAAUGGUACAUGACACGCCAAAGAUCACUACUCACAUAGAUUUUAGCCAUCUUUACACUUAAGCACAUACUGAAUCAUAGUCAUCACUUACUAGCUCACAGUUAAUCAAUUAAAACAAUGUUUGAAUGUAGUAACAUGCCUUAGAGAAUCCCUCAAUUCCUCACUAGAUAUACACUCAUUUUUCACUUUAGAUUUUCUGACUACACACUCUACACUAGUUAUAUGUGAGAAGAUUGAUGUAAAUAUGAAAACUAAUGCUCACAUAUGUUAUGACAAUAAAAGCAAUUUCUGGAAUUAUGAAUGUAUGUAUAUGAUCUCAUGAAUGGAAUGCUACUACUUAGAUGCGAGAACCAGGGAUAUCAUAUGCUCAUACCAAUUCCAAACUCCACAUAUUGAAACACAUAACAAUCAAGAUAGAAGCAAAGGGUUGUAACGGGGCUAAGGUAUUGGCUAACAAAGGAAGGUAAGGAUAAACAAACAUUCUUAAAGAAUAAUAAGCAAAGUAAUGAAAUUUACACUUAGAAUUCACUUUUGCAUGCAAAAAUCAAUGUUUAAACCCAAGGGGAAUACUCAUGCAAUACUUAGGGUCUAAUUCAACUUUUUGGACCCUUGCUUCAACAACCAAUAACUUAGAGCUCAUUUUAUGCUCUUUCAACUCCUUUUCAUACUUUUCUCACUUUUCUCUUUUUUUCUUUCUUUUUCUACGAAUUUUCUUUCUUUUUUUUUUCUUUUUCUUUUGCUAACCCGUGCCCUCCUUACUUCUUUUGGCACACAACUUUCCUUUCCCCCACACUUAGUUUUCUGCACAACAUUGAUCAAAAAGAAUUCCCUCUAAGUUAUGCUUUAUUAUCCCUUAAGAACAAGGGUAUGGAUAGUCCUAAUCUAGGCUAGGUAAGGAUAAUGUGGCUAACAACAAAAAUAGGCUAAACAAGGCUCAAAGGGGUUAAUCCUAUAAAACAAUAUGCAUGGGUUGACGGCUUUUUGGCUCUGGUGAUAACUACUAAACAACUUCAUCUUGUUAGUUAUGCUAAUCAAUUUUUAUGCUUUGAAUGAAAUAGGUAUGAGUUCUAAUAUUUGGAUCUAUAAUGAUGACACGCCUUCUAAGUAGCAACCAAGCAAAGAAUGAUGAGAUCAUGCAACGACUUUAGAAAACAACAAAUUCACAGAUUAUUAACUCUCCAAAUAAACGUUUAGGCUCAAGUCUCACAGGGUUGUAGCAUUAGUUUGAGUUCCUUCCUUCAAGCAUGUUACAAAAACUGAUUUUUUUCCUUUUUGAUUACAUGUGAAUUCAUAAGUUAUAACCACAACCAAGCAUAAACCAAAGAGUAAAUCAAACGUCCAUCCAUGUUUAUAACUCUCUUUAACAGUCAUGCAAUUAAAAACCGAAUCCUCAUCAUUGUGUUGGAAGGUACUCUACGACACAAACAAACAAAAACAACUUUAAAACGACUCUUUUUUUUUUUGGGUUUUGUGCAAAACUUUUUCUAUUUUUUUCUUGAAUUUUCGGAUUUUCUGGUAAAACCACAUCAAAACACAUCAAAACUUUCUAAAAAACACUUAAAAACAACCUUUGAAAUGUUAGGUGGUAAAACCCUACGAAUUUUGACAUAAAAACACUUUGUUUACCCCCCCACACUUAAACCAAACAUUGUCCUCAAUGUUUCAAACAUAGACUCACACAAAAGCACGCAAAUAACACAACUAGCAAACAUGACAAAUAUGGCAAAGUAAACGCAAUAAAGAGUAGGGUUUAGAAACGCAAAUCUGGUUGUGAUGCCGGAGCUUCUGAUAGGAGCAUAUUUAUGCGCCUUAGUUAGCUAGUUCUUAUGCAUUUUCGCUAUGUUUUCUUCGUUAGAGUAGUCUUUUGAGCUACUUUCAUGUGUUUUCAGGUUCAAAGGGGCAUAAUACAUAAAAGAUGGCAAAAUGGAGCAUGUUAGAGCAAAAGUGAGCUUGGAUUGAAAAGUACAUGCUUGGAGCACAAGGAAUGGACGAGUUUGAAGGUCAAGGGAGCUUAAGAAAUGAAGAAAUGAAAGUGAAGAACAAAGAAUUCAGAAUUAGAAACCAAAGUUUCUAAAGUUGGAAGUUUCUAUUCUCGGAGGUUUCCAUUUGUGAGAGUUUCUAUUCUUGGCUUUGGGCUUCUAGAUGACCCAUCCUUACCUCUUGGACAAGGCCGCACCUUCCUAGCCCAAUUCAUCUUGGAUCCUCACUUAAUGCCGCACCUAAACCCUAGCCCAUUGCAUAUUUCUGACUUCUAAGCCUUUGCCGCACCUAGGCCCCAAAAUAUCUGAUUUCCUUGCCUUGCAAGGCUUUCUAGAAGGCCUAUCCACACUCCCACCAAAUCUGCCGCACCCUAGCCCUUUUCCCAUGCAAUUCCUAUUGUGUUAACCUAAUUUCUGGUGGAUUUGGGUUUCUAGAAACCCUAAUCUGAUUGCUAGGGUUUUUAAGUGCCUAUAUAUAUUCAUUCUAACCCUUUUGGCCGAACUACCACUCCCCAUCUAAUUCAUUCACGCCAAAAACCCUAGUUACAUCCUUGCCGCAGCCUUUCACCCUAAAACUUCCAUAUUUCUGAUUUCUACACCAUUGCCGUGCCUCCCUAAUCCUUUUAACCCCUUCUACCCUCUUCCAUAACCAUCCAUCCACCACCUUGCGCAGCCACCAAAGGAGGAGAAAGAAGGAGUGUCGUGCAGUCCAAAGGAGGAAGACACCUUGCACAUGCAAUCUGCCAUUAGUGGAGUGUUUGGAGUUCUUUCUUUCUUUGUUUCUGUUUUCAUGUUUAAUUUAAAUUGUUGUUCAAUUAUGUUAGACAUGUGGAACUAAUUUCUUUAUAGUUAGAGGUGAAUUUGAAGCCAUGGACAUAUGUUUUAUAUGAUUUGAUUUCUUCCAAUUAUGAUUUCAGAAAUUGUGAAUGUGAUUUACUGAUGUGAAAAUUAAGUUGACACACAAAUUAAACCCUCUUUUUGUCAAAUUGUAGCAAAGAUGUAAGUAGGGAUCGUUCUAGACCGGGGAUUAGGAGGGAUUGCUAAACGCUUGGAAACUGACUUAAACACUCAAAAACAAAGUUAAAAACACUAAACUAGACUCAAAGAAUGCAAAACUAAAAGUUAAAACACUUAAACAAACCUAAAAACCAAAACAGCAACUAGAAGGCUCAAAACUGCCUAAAAACCACUUUCUGGGCAGUUUUGAGCACCUACACUAAUUUGGACGAAAUUUGAUGAAAACUUGAAUCAAAAUACUUAGAAACACAAAUCAAAACACUUUCUAACUAAUCUAAGACUUCAAAUUAAAGGGGGAUUUUGUUUUGACGAAAAUUAAACUAAAGAAAACAGAUUGGAAAUAGGGCAGAUUGUAAAAACGAUUUUGGUGAAAUAGAUGGUUAAAAGGCUAGUUAGGAGGUUCUUCUCCACACAUGUCACACUUGCAAACAAAACGAUUUUUCAGUUGUUCUUCCGAUAAACUACGAAUACUCAACGCCCCAAGUUAACCGUGAAUUGCACUAAUUAACCCUCAGUUUUUCCACAAGUUAUUAAGUUGGAUGAUUGCAUACGACAACCAAAACAUUCCUACAAGUUCCCUACAUGAAUUGCAUAAUAGAGAUACAAGCAAGAAUCAUUACGUUCUUAUGAAAAACAUAAGCAUUGACGAAGCAUUUGUUACUAUGAAUUGCAUGAAACUUAUGCUAAGAAUUCAUUCAACGCGAUCGUUUUCAAGCGAUCUUCACUACUUGUGAUUAUAAGAUUGUAACUAUUAGGUGAAACUCCCUCAUAAUCUAGCAUCAUAUUCAUGCAUGAAAACUAAGCGUGCACUCUCAAUCAACAUACACAAAUAAGUUAUCAAUCAAAUAGAUGAACGAAUUGAAUCCAUAACUUAUGAAAUAACAACUGAAUGUAAUCGAAUCAAAUUGCAAGCAUGUACAUGGUUUCGAAUCACCCCCCAACUAAGGGGGUUUAGUUCCUCAUACUCACAACACAAAGUUUAUUGAAUUGAAACAUCGAAGACAUAAGAAAGAUUACACCUAAAAUGCCAAAGAAUUCCACUUUGAAUUCUGCACAGCAAGCUCCUCUUUCUUCUUCUCCUUGCUGCGGCAGAGAGGGUUUAGGGGAUUUUUGGGUAGUUUUGGAUGAUUUUGGACGAGGGAGAAUGGUGGAAAAAUGUCUAGGAUGGGUGUAGGGCACGGCUAGGAAGGUUUGGGGUCAGAAAAUAUGGAGUUGGGUGAAGGUUGGGCUCGGCAAAGGUGAGGGACAGGUUCUGGCGUGAAUGGAGUUUUUCUGGAUGUGUUUUUGGGUUUUGAAAGGUAGAUAGGAUAGUAUGGUGGGUGCGGCAAGGUGUGGGAAUGGUUUAUGGAGGUGGAGAAUGGUGUAUGGAUGUGUGGAAAUGGUGCUGGAAUGGAUGGAAGCUGCGGCAAAAGGUGGGAAAGGUUGCUGGAAUGGGUGGUGGCUGCGGCAAGGAGAGGAUUAGGGUGAUGGUGAUUUUCUGAUUUGUGUAGAGGGAAUGAUGAUGUGCGGCUAGGGUUUAGAAAUAUAUAUAUAUAGGCAUUUAAAAAACCCUAGCAAAUCAGAUUAGGGCCUCUAAAACACAAUCCAUCAGAAAUUAGGUUGAAACAAUUAGACAUUUAGUGGGAAAAAGGGCCUAGGGUGCGGCUGGUAUGUGGGCUAAGGUUAGGGUUUCUAGAAACCCUAACAAGGCAAGGCAAAGUGAUUCUAGAGGGCCCAGGUGCGGCAUAGGAUGAAGGUCCAUAAGGAAUUUGGGUUUAGGUCAUCUAAAAGCCCAAAGCCAAGAAUAGAAACUCACGAAAAUGGAAACCUCCAAGAAUAGAAACUUCCAACUUUUAGAAACUUUGGUUGCCAAAUUCCGGUUUAGGAAAGAUCAACCCAAAAUGGAAACUUUUAGGCUUAGCUUUCCUACAUCAAGUAGGAAACCUCAAAUCUUCAACUCUUCAAUUCCAUCCCAACCUUGUGUUCCAAGCAUGUACUUUUCAAUCCAAGCUCACUUUCUUGCUCCAAAAGCUCCAACUUGCAUCAUUUCAUGUAAUACGUCCUUUAACCUGAAAACACAUGAAAGUAGCUUAAAAGACUACUUUAACGAAGAAAACAUAACAAAAAUGCAUAAGAACUAGUUAACUAAGGCGCAUAAAUAUGCUCCUAUCAUUUACUUAUCUAUUUGAUUGAUAACUUGUUUAUGUAUGUGGGUUGAGGGUCGACACUUAAUUUGCAUGCCUAAACUUGAUGCUAGGAUAUAAGGGAAUUUCACCUAAUCGUUAUUAACUUGUAUUCAUAAGUAGUGAAAGUCGCCAGUCACGAUUGUGUUAAGUAAAUCCUAGGCAAGAGUAACAUGCGUAUCCCAUAGUUAUGAAUGCCUCGUCAAUGCUUAUGAUUUCCAUUAAACUUAAUGAUCUUUGAUACGUGUCUCUAUCAUGCGUAUUCCAUAGUUAGGGUCCUUGAUAAGAAUAAUUUGGUUGUAAUGCGUAUUCCAUUCAAUUCAAUGAAUCUAGGGAAAUCUGAGAAUUAAUUGGGUGCAAUCUAGUUAAUUUGGGGCAUUGUCAUUCAUGGUUUGUUGAAAGAGUAAUUGGAGAUCGAGUUGUAUGCAUAUGUUCAUGUGUGGAUAAGGAACCCUCUAACUAGCUUCUCACCAUUCUACUUAAUCACAAUCUGUUUUGCUUUACAUUUGUUUUUAAAGUUUGAGUUUUAAAGUUUUAAUUUCGUCAAAGUCAUUCCCCCAUUUAUUUUAAAGUGUUAGAUUAGUUAGAAAUCCAUUUAGUUGUGUUUUUAAGUGUUUUGAGUCAAGUCAUAGUCCAAAUUCGUCCAAACUAGUGUUAGGUACUCAAAACUGCCCAGAAAGUGGUUUUAAGGCAGUUUUGAGCCUUUUAGUUGCUGUUUUGGGUUUUUAGUUUGUUUAGGUGUUUUAAACCCUAGUUUUGCAUUAAUUGAGUCUAGUUUAGUGUUCUACAUUAUAUUUUUAUGUUCUUGAGUCAGUUUUACAUUGAUUAGCAUCCCUAGUUAAUCCCCGGUUAGAACGAUCCCUAUUUGCUCAUAUACUACAAUUGUCAUCCAUAGGGUUUAAUUUGUGUGUCAAGUUAAUUUUCACAUCAGCUUCCUAGGUCUUCUUUAUUCGCAUGGGUUGCCUCCCACGAAGCGCUUGCUUUAACGUCUUCCAGCCGGACGAUACUUCCAUUCAAACUCCCCUAGGUCCCACGGCAUGGAAUUGAUCUUUAAAUGGGAGAUGAUACUUGAAAUGAUCCGGCACAGGUUUAAAUUCAAGAGUGGGUGCCUGAAUCAUUAACAACAUAUUAGUAUAAACCAAAAUUGAAAUUCGGGGAAGUGGCUUACCUGUGUGCUCCGACAUGAACUCAAUGACAAAUACCACUUCUUUGAAAGUUUUAGGGACUUUGAAUUUGGCUAGAUUUACUACCAUGGUUGUGAUUUGUCCCGUGUCAUCAAAUUCAACGUCUUUAGGCGUCGUUGUCUCAAAUACGUCCUCUUUGAUGAAUUCUUGAUAUUCUCGAGCCCCUACUUUCUCUUGAAUCAUUCUUCUUGGUGUACAAAGUCCCUUGAACAAUUCAACACAUCUAGAACUUGCUUUGUUGCACCAAGAAUUGGAAAAUCAUUUUGCACCUUUGGAAGAGCUUCCAUAAUUUCUUUUUCCCUCUCUUCUUGCUUGGGAAUCAAAAACCUGCGAGGAAAAGGGACAUUGGGUGGAAUGGGGUUAGAAUUAAUUGAAUUUGGAACCACCUUACCUGAGUUGGAUGGCAUAGGGACUCUAGGAGGCUGCGGCCAUGGUUGUUCUACCCUUGCCGUGGGUGUGUCUUCUUCCUCCUCCUCAAUUAGCAGCUGUUCGUCCUCCUCUUGGCUUGAUUUGCACGUUUUUGGACUUGUUCCAACCUCCAUGCUACUUUCCAAAAUGAUAGCAUCAUGGAUUUCAAAAUCUUCCUUCAAAUUUUCAAUAGUUGAGUUGGAGGGUUCACUUUGCUCUUGAAUUUGUGCCAUGAACUCCAUAAUCUCUCCAAUUUGAUUCUUCAAUUUACCCAACUUCUUGUCUUGAUUUUGUUGGUCCUGCGCCAAAGAGGUUAGUAAUUGAAGAAUUUGAUCACUAUCCAUGGACAUACUUGAAUUUGAUUGGAAUUGUUGUGGAGAAUGUUGUGGUGGCUGCAUAGGUCUUGAAUAGAACUCCUCAUAUGGAUGCCAAUAUGCUUCGUGUUGAACUUGUUGAGCUUCCCACCACAUAGAGUUUGAAUGAUCACUCCAAUUCGAAUUGUAAGUGUUGGGAAACAUGUUGUUGCUCGGUUGAUCAUAGCCUUGAUAACCCCAAGCAUCUCCGUUUGCAGUGAAUUGAGGACGUUGAUGAGUUGGAUAUCCGUGCCCAUAGGACACACCACAUGUAGGGACACUUUUCAUUGUGGUCCUUUCGAUAUAUUGCGUUAACUGAGAAGUAAGAUUCGUUAUUUGAACUUGAAGAUUAGCAAUUGCCAUGUCUUACUUCUCUAGUACCUAAAAUCAAAGAAAGAAAACUAAAUCAAAUAUCAAAAGUAAAAGACACGAACAAAAACAAAGGGGGAUUAGCAAUUUUGCUAAUCCCCGGCAACGGCGCCAAAAUUUGAUGUGAAAAUUAUGUUGACACUCAAAUUAACCCUCUUUUUAUCAAUUGUAGCAAAGUAUGUAAGUAGGGAUCGUUCUAAACCGGGGAUUAGGAGGGAUUGCAAAAUCACUUGAAAACUGACUCGAAUACGUAAAAACAAGUUUAAAACACUAAACUAGACUCAAAGAAUGCAAAACUAAACUUUAAAACACCAAAACAAACCAAAAGACUCAAAACAGCAAACAAACACUCAAAACUGCCUUAAAACACUUUCUAGGCAGUUUCUGACACUCAGGAAGAAUUUGGACGAAAAUUGAUUAUAACUUGACUCAAGACACUUAAAAACACAAACUAAAUUGAUUUCUAACUAGUAUGACUCAACAAAGAAAAGGGGGAUUGAUUUUGGACGAAUUUAAAAACAAAACAAAACUUUGUAAACUAAAACAGAUUUUAAAACGAAUUUGGAUGAUUUGAAUGGAUGGAAGGCUAGCUAAGGGGUUCAUCUCCACACAUGUCACACUUGCAUAUAAAACGAUCUCUAAUUGCUUUUCAAUAAACCAUGAAUUCCCAACGCCCCAAGUUAAUUAGGUCCGCUUAAAUUAACCUUCAGAUUUUCUUAAUGUUAUUGAAUUGGAUGAUUGCAUACGACAACCCAAAGCAUUCCCCACAAGUCCCCUACAUGAUUGCAUAAUAGAGAUACAAGCAAGAAUCAUUAAGUUCUAUGAAAACCAUAAGCAUUGACGAAGCACUUGUUACUAUGAUUGCAUGAAACUUAUGCCAAGAAUUUACUUAACACGAUUGUGAUCAACAACCUUUACUACUUGUGAAUAUAAGUUCAUAACGAUUAGGUGAAAUUCCCUUAUAUCCUAGCAUCAAAUUCAUGCAUGCAAACUAAGUGUCGACCCUCAAUCAACAUACAAGAAUAAGUUUUAAUCAAGGAAGAAAAAAUCGAUAAUAUCGGCGAAAUAUCGCCGAUAUUAUCGUUUUUUUGGAGUUCCGAAAUUUUUUUAACUAUCCAACCUAUUUUCGUUAAAAUAUCGCGAUAUUAUCGAUAAUAUCGAAAAUAUCGCGAUAUUUUCAAAACUAUCGAUAAUAUCGCAAUAUUUUAUUAAAAAAAUACUUAAAUAUGUUAAGUAAACUCAACACAUACUUCACUUGAUCAUGGCCCAAAGACCAAACAAGCUUUGGAUAUCUCAACAGGGGAGUGUGGCUUUUAUAGGAAAAAUGGCUUGCUCACUUCCUUGCAUGGGCGAUGUGGGACUCGCCCAAUGGAAGAAAAAAUCAAAAUUUCGGCCGAAAUUUUACACCCACUUUAAACGGUCAUAACUUUGUCAAAACUCAACGAAAUCAAGCAAGACAAAAACGAAAGUUGUAGCCCUUGAAGAGACGAAGAGAAUGGUACCUCACACGACAUCUGAAUCGUCGUGUUUUGGCCGGAAAAUUCCUCGAAAGUCACUGAGGUCGCCGGAAACUGGGUAAGAUUCAAAUGAGUAUAACUUUUUCAAUACUCAACGAAAUUGAGUGAAACAAAAAGGAAAGUUGUACUACUCGACGAGACGAAGAGAUUGAUACCUUGCACACCGGCCAACUCGCAGUGUUUUGGACGGAAAUUGCCUCGAAAGCUACUGAGGUCGCCGAAAACUGGGUAAGAUUCAAAUGAGUAUAACUUUUUCAAUACGCAACGAAAUUGAGUGAAAAACAAAAGGAAAGUUGUAGCCCUCGAAGAGACGAAGAGAAUGGUACCUCACACGACAUCUGACUCAUUGUGGUUUGGCCGUAAAUUGCCUCGAAAGCUACUGAGGUCGCCGGAAACUGGGUAAGAUUCAAAUGAGUAUAACUUUUUCAAUACGCAACGAAAUUGAGUGAAACAAAAAGGAAAGUUGUAGCCCUCGAAGAGAUGAAGAGAUUUGAUACCUUGCACGCCGCCCAAAAUUCAAUUGACACACUCCUGGCUUCCAAAAUUCAAUACUUUUACUUUAUAUCAACUUGAAAAAACAUAAUCGGCAUCCAAAUUAAAGUUUAGUCUUAUUUCAAUGUAUUGGAUUUUCAAUUGUUAAUUGAUAUACUAUAAUUUGGAACUUCAACGCCUAGACGCAUGCUUAUGUGUAAGAAAUUUAAAUUGUCAAAAUUCGGCACAUUAUUCUUCAUCAUUUUAUUCACUCCCUUUUUUUUUUUAAUAUCCUAAAUAAAACCUCCAAAUAUUGUACUAAUUAAUUAUAUAUAAAUGAUUAUGGUGUGUUUAAAACUUCUUUCAUUAAUUACUACAUAUUUUCUACACUCACAAUGUUUGCCAGCUCGCUAUAUAAUCAACUUAAAUCAGUUAAAUCCAUCAUGCAAUGCAUUUCCUUCCAAUUUUUUGUGAUAAACUAAUAGAUAAUUGACUAAAUAAACAUCCUACAAAGUUUCAUUAAAAAUUUCCAAGUUUUUCUUACAAUUUCCGUGGUUUCCAUGUAAUUUUUAUCGAUAUCGAUAUUAUCCCGAUAUUUCCAUCGAUAUUUCCGUGUUUUCGGACUACCGAUAUUUCCGAUAUUACCGAUAUUUUCUUCCUUGGUUUUAAUUCACAUAGAUAAGCAAAUUGAAAUCACAACUUAUGAAACGCAAUUAGAAGUAAUCAAAUCAUAUAGCAAGCAUAAUCAUGGUUUCGAAUCCCCCCCUAGCCAAGGGGGUUUAGUUCCUCAUACUUGCAAAUAAACAAAGAUAAAUAAAUUUAAACAUUAAAACAAAGAUAGAAAACACCUAGAAACGCUCCACAAUCCAAGCUCCUUGAAUGGCAUGCACGGCUCCAAGAGUUCUUCCUUCUUCUCCUUUGCAAACUCACGGCACAAGAGGUAUAUUUGGGUGAAUGGUGUAGUGAAAAUAUGGUAGAGGAUGGUGACUAAAUGGUGCAGCAAAGGAUGAUAUUUAUAGGCUGAAAUUCGCAGCCCCUAUGUAGCAAAGGAAAAGGAUUUAAAAGCCUAAUUUGUAUAGGAUAAUAACACACAAUCCUUGAAGGAAAAGGCUAAGGGUUUUAGAAACCAAGGGGGAAAGGAAUAAUCAGGUUUCUAGAAGUUCUAGAAAGGUUUGGGGCGUCACUUUUGUAGGACAAGCGAUAAGGCCUUCUAGAAAGGUUGUUUUGUGGCUGAUUUCUAGAAAAAACAAGGGAUAAGGUGUGGCACCUUUGUAGGAGUGGAUAAGGGCUUCUAGAAACCAAUUUUAAUGUGUCCUAAUCUGAAAAUAAAUCCCCCAUGCAGCUGGAAUUAAAUUAGGAUAAGAUUAGGAUAGGAUAAGAUAAGAUAGGAUAGGAUAGGAUAGGUUUUGGAUAAUGUUUUGGAUAAGGUUUCUUCACUUGAGCUGAUUCUUUGGCUUCAACUUCCCUUCUUCAAGUAGGAAACCUUGUUUGAGUAGGAAAACUUCAAUCUUCUAGGAAUCCAACUUCAACUAGGAAUCCAUCUUCAACUAGGAUUUCAUCUUCAAUUAAGCACUUUCCCACUUCAAUUAGGAAUCUUUGUAUCUUCAAUUCUUCAACUUCAAAACACAUUCCUAGCUUCAUCAAUCCUUCAAAUUCGUCCAUCCCUUGUGCUUCAUGUGCAUGAACUCCAUUCUAGCCCAAUUUUGCUCCAAAAUGCUCCAAAUUGCAUCCUUUUGCUCACUUUGUCUCUAAAACCUGAAAACACAUGAAAAAAUAGCUUAAAAGACUACUUUAACUAAGAAAACACAACAUAAAUGCAUAAGAACUAGCUAACUAAGGUGCAUAAAUAUGCUCCUAUCACGCUCUCCUAUCCACCAUUCUCGAUGAGUUGAGGACACUUUUCGGAAGCAUGUCCUUGGAUAGAACAUACACCACACACCAUGGGUCCUUGAAUCUUCAUUCCCUCGGCCAUCUGUGAAACAAUAGAAGUAAGAUUAGCUAACUGAGAUUGAAUAUUGGAUGUGGAACUUACCUCAUGAACUUGUUGCCGUGGGGGUCCUCUUUGGCCUACGCCCUCGUAUUGUUGAGCGUUCAACGCUCGAUUAGCAAUCAAGAUUUUUGCAGCCAUGGGCGUUUUCUCCACCAAUGCUCCACCCGCCGAAGCAUCGAGCAUAUGACGUUCUAGUGGUAGGAGCCCUUCGUAGAAGUAUUGCAAAAGCAACUCCUCAUUCAUCUGAUGUUGUGGACAAGAAGCAACAAGUGAUUUAAAUCGUUCAUAAUAUGUAGGAAAAGACUCACCUUCAUCUUGUUGAAUUCCACUUAUUUUUUUGCGAAGAAGAAUGAUGCGAGAAGUCGGGAAAAACUUCUCCAGAAACGCCCUCUUCAUACUCUCCCAAGACGUAACUGUUCCGGGAGCCAACUCGUAUAACCAAUCCUUGGCCUUGUCCAUUAAAGAGAAUGGAAAAGCCUUCAUCAUUAAAAUACUUCCAUCAACGUUAACCGGAGUCAUACUUGAGCACACCACUUCAAAUUCUUUCAAAUGUUUGUUUGGAUCCUGAUAGGAGCAUAUUUAUGCGCCUUAGUUAGCCAGUUCUUAUGCAUUUAUGUUGUGUUUUCUUAGUUAAGUUAGUCUUUUAAGCUAUUUUCAUGUGUUUUCAGGUUUUAAGGACAAAGUAAGCAAAAAGAUGCAAUUUGGAGCAUUUUGGAGCAAAAAUUAGCUAGAAUGGAGCUCAUGCAUGUGGAGCACAAAGAAUGGACGAAUUUGAAGGAUUGAAGAGCUAGGAAUGUGUUUCAAAGUUGAAGACUUGAAGAUGCAAAGUUUCCUAAUUGAAGUGGGAAAGUGCUUAAUUGAAGAUGGAUUCCUAGUUGAAGAUGGAUUCCUAGUUGAAGAAUGAUUCCUAGUUGAAGUUGGAUUCCUAGAAGAUUGAAGUUUCCUACUCAAACAAGGUUUCCUACUUGAAGAAGGGAAGUUAAAGCCAAAGAAUCAGCUCAAGUGAAGACACCUUAUCCAAAACAUUAUCCAAACCCUAUCCUAUCCAAUCUUAUCCUAUCUUAUCCUAAUCCUAAUCCACCUAUAUUUCAGCUACUUGGGAGGAUUCCUAGCUAUAUUAGGAUGCUUAAAAUCAGAUUUCUAGAAAACCUAAUCCUUUCCUACAAAAAUGGCGCAUAGGACCUUUCUAGAAGACCUUUGCCUUGCAUUGCAAGUCAGCCACUUUCCCUCCACUUUUAUGCCGUGAGUUUUUACCCAAAUCCCUUGGGAUUUUGGUUUCUAGAAGCCCUUAUCCCUUCCUAGAUAAGUGCCGCACCUUAUCCUCCCAUUCCCUUUGGGUUUCUGAUUUGUUUUCCUUCAAGGAUUGUGUUUUAUUUUCCUAUGCAACUUAGGCCUUUAAAUCCUUUUCCUUUGCUACCUAGGGGCUGUGAUUUUCAGCCUAUAAAUACAACCCUUUGCCGCACCAAUUGAACACCACCCUCUACCAUAUUUUCACUACAUCAUUCACCCAAUCAUCCCUCUUGUGCCGUGAGCUUGCAAAGGAGAAGGAAGGAGACUCUUGGAGCCGUGCAUGCCAUUCAAGGAGCUUGGAUUGUUGGAGCGUUUCUAGGUGUUUUCUAUCUUUAUGUCAAUGUUUAGAUUUAUUUAUCUUUGUUUAUUUGCGAACAUGAGGAACUAAUUUCUUUAUAGUUAGAGGGGAAUUCAAAGCCAUGAUCAUAUGUUUUAUAUGACUUGAUUUCCUCCAGUUAUGAUUUCAUGAAUCGUGAAUGUGGUUUACUUAUCUAUUUGAUUGAUAACAUGUUUAUGUAUGUUGAUUGAAGGAUGCAUACUUAGUUCGCAUGCAUGAAUUUGACGCUAGAGUAUAAGGGAAUUUCACCUAAUCGUUAUUAACUUAUAUUCAUAAGUAGUAAAAGUCGCUAGUCACGAUUGUGUUAAGUAAAUCCUUGGCAAGAGUAACAUGCGUAUUCCAUAGUUAUGAAUGCCUAGUCAAUGUUUAUGAUUUCCAUUGAACUUAAUGAUCUUUGAUAUGUGUCUCUAUCAUGCGUAUUCCAUAGUUAGGGUCCUUGAUAAGAAUAAUUUGGUUGUAAUGUGUAUUCCAUUCAAUUCAAUGAAUCUAGGGAAAUCUGAGAAUUAAUUGGUGCAAUCUAGUUAAUUUGGAACAUUGUCAUUCAUGGUUUGUUGGAAGAGUAACUGGAAAUCGAGUCGUAUGCAUAUGUUUCAUGUGUGGAGAAGGAACCCUCUAACUAGCCUUUCACCAUUCUUUUUCAUCCAAAAUCGUUUUUGUUAAGCUUGUUUUCAAAGUCCAAUUUCGUCAAAACCAACCCCCUUACUUUUAAGUCUUGUUUUUAGAGUCAAAACUUGUUUCUUUUAAGUCUUUUAAGUCUUUGAAGUUCUAUUUUCGUCCAAAUCACUUGUUAGGUCUAGAAUUGAGUCUUUUUGGUUGUUAUUUGCUGUUUUGAGUGUUUUGAGUCUAUAGAGUCUAGUUUAGUGUUUUUGAGUCUUAUUUGUGUUGAUUAGCAUCCCUAGUUAAUCCCCGGUCUAGAACGAUCCCUACUUGCAUCAUUACUACAAUUGUCAUCAAUAGGGUUUAAUUUGUGUGUCAACUUAAUUUUCACAUCAGAUCCUCCAUGGACAGCCCAUGGAACUUUGGAAUGUGGUGGAGCAAACUUGACUUAAGCUCGAACUCUUCGGUUUUACCUUGGGCAGCCAUGGGAUAUUGGAUACACAAUGGUGCGGCAUUAUCCAAACCCGAGGCGGAAAGCUCCUUGAGUGUACGGUUGUCCAUGGCCAUGCCUUGAACUUCUCCACCCACUUGUGCCGUGGGAUCCUCCUCUACUUCUAGAACUUGUUCUUCAAGGUCAGGUUCCGGGCUAGGUGGGUUAGACUCUUGUUGGUUCCUCCUUCUUCUCAAAGUUCACUCGAAAUCGUCGUCGAAGUCCAAAAUAUGCUCACGAACAGGUUUGGAACUUCGAGUCAUGCACUAGUACCUAAAAAACAAAGAAACAAAACAAGUUAGCAAUCUGCAAUAGGAAACAAACGAAAAUAAAAAAUAAACAAAAAGAACGAGGGAUUAGCAAAGUUGCUAAUCUCCGGCAACGGCGCCAAAUUUUGAUGCGUAAAAUAACUAAACACACAAAUUAACCCUCUUGUUGACAAUUGUAGUAUGGAUAAGUAGGGAUCGUUCUUAAACCGGGGAUUAUGAGGGAUUGCUAAAACACUCUAAACUGACUCAAAUCUGUAAAACAAAGUUUAAAAUACUAAACUAGACUCAAAGAAUGCAAAACUAAAAUCUAAAACACUAAAACAAACCAAAAGACUCAAAACAGCAAACAAACACUCAAAACUGCCUUAAAACCACUUUCUGGGCAGUUUUGGGACUCUAACACAACUUGGACGAAUUUUGGUUUCCUAAUGACCUAAAACACCUAAAAACAUAUUCUAAGACAAGUUCUAAGUAAUAUGACUUAAAGGAAUAAGGUGGGAUUGAUUUUGGACGAAAAUAAUUAAAUGGGCAGAUUGAAAAAGAAAACAGAUUGUAAGACAAAAUUGUGAUGAAUCAAUGGAUGAUGGAAUAGCUAAGGGGUUCUUCUCCACACAUGAAAUAUAUGCAACGUAAAUCAAUUUCCAGUUAUCAAUUUAAUAAGUUGUGAACGUCGACACUCCAAGUUAAUUAGGUCCGCUUAAAUUAACCUUCAGAUUUCCCUAGAAUCAUUGAAUUGGAUGAAUAUGCAUCGCAAACAAAUUAUUCCUAACAAGUUCUCUAUACGAACAGCAUGAUAAAGACACAAGUUAGAAUCAUUACGUUCUUUGGAAAUAAUAAGCAUCGACAAGGCAUUUGUAACUAUGAAAAGCAUGAUACUCUUGCCAGGAAUCUACUUAACACGAUCGUGACUAGCGACCUUCACUACUUGCGAAUAUAAAUUCAUAACGAUUAGGUGAAACAAACUUAUAUCCUAGCACCAAAUUCAAGCAUGCAAAUUAAGCGUGCACUCUCAAUCAACAUACAAGAAUAAGUUCUAAAUCAAACAGUUAAGCAAAUUGUAUUCACGACUUAUGCAACGAUAACUGAAAGUAAUCAACUUAUUUUACGUAUAUAAUCAUGGUUUUGAAUACACCCUUAGCCAAAACAAAUUUAUCCAAUCAUACUCAAAGCAAAACAAAGAUUACAUGAAUUAGACAUUGAAAUAUAAGAUAAAAUACACCUAAAAUUGUUCAACAACUCAGAAUGAAGAGCCAAACAAUUGAGUGAAUCUGUCCCCUUUCCUUGCUUGCGGCAGAUUGGAUGUUGGUGGUUUCUUGGGUUAUUGAAUGAUGUAGAAUGGAUGGAGGACGUAUGGAAGUGUUUAGGGUUGAUGGGUGGUGCGGCUAGGGUGGUUUUGGGUCAGAAAAUAUGGUGAAUGGUGAAGGAAUGGGGCUGUUGAAGAUGGAGUUCAAUUUCUGGCGUGAAUGGUCAGUUUCUGGAUGAAUGGGGAUGUUUUUAGCUGCACCAGGAUGAGUUUAUUUAAAGGGAUUAGGAAAUUAAAAACCCUAGACUAUUUUGGUAAACAGAAAUUAAGUCAAAAGCUUCUAGAAAUAGGAAAUUAAAUAAGAAACUUAAGGGAAAGUCAAGGGAUAUGCGGCAACACCUUGAAACACAUUAGGAAUGUGUUUUAAUGCAUAAAAUCAGGAAAGAACCCUCUCCCUUGCACGGCAAGGAAGAGGAAAGGGCAAGAAACCUUCACAAGGUGCGGCAAGGCUUUAGGAAAGGUCUAAGUGUCCUAAAACUAAUGGAAAAAGGGAUCCCUUGCAAGGCAAGGAAAGGGAAAAUUGGGAAAGGUGCGGCAAGGCUUUACAAUGUGCAAGAGAGGUGUAUUUGAUGUCCUAGAAUGCUUAGGAUGCCUUCAAAGUUGAUAAAUCUUAGGAACAUUUAGGAAAGGUCAAACCAAAGUAGGAAACCUUGGCUUAACUUUCCUAUUUCAAGUAGGAAUCCUUCUUGGAGUAGGAAUCCUUGUUCUUCUAGGAAUCCUCAUGUGAUUAGGAAUCCAUCUUCAAUUAGGAAUCCUUCGUCGAUUAGGAAUCCUUCUUCGAUUAGGAAUUCUUGGUUGAUUAGGAAUCCUAAUUUCUUCAAGUCUUUAAUUCAUCCAUUCCUUUUGCUCCAAGCAUGUGAUAAUCAUUCCAAGCUCCAUUUUGCUCCAAAAGGCUCCAAAAUGCAUACUUUGCCUUUAGAAUCUGAAAACACACAAAAGUAACUUUAAACACUAAAAUAGCUAACGAAACAUAACAUAAAUGCACGAGAACAAGCCAAUUAAGUCGCAUAAAUAUGCUCCUAUCAGGCCUCCCAAGUAGGAUCGACAAUGGGGUAACAUUGGGUGAAUCCUCAAUCUCUAAAACAUAGAAAUCUGUUGGGAAUAUCAAGUUAUCUACCUGCACCAAAACAUCUUCCAAAACUCCUUUCGGAUAUGCAUUAUAACGAUCGGCUAAUUGAAUUAUGACACCAUCGUUUUUAAGCUCUCCUAAGUUCAUAGAUGCAUAGUUGAGUAUGGCAUGACAUUAAUUGAAGCUCUUAAGUCUAAAAUAGCAUGUUCAAACUUAGUAUUGCAAAUAACACAAGGAAUUGUAAAACUACCUGGAUCUUUGCAUUUAGGGGGUAAUUUCCUUUGCACAACAGCAAAAACAUUUUCACUUACCUGGACAACCUCUUUGUUUGAAAUUCUCCUCCUUGUUGUACAAAGCACUUUCAAAAAUUUGGUGCGAAAAUUAACUUAACACACAAAUUAAACCCUCUUUUGACAUUUGUAGUAUAUGUAUAAGUAGGGAUUGUUCUUAAAUCGGGGAUUAUGAGGGAUUGCUAAUCGACUCUAAACUGACUCAAAGACACAAAAACAAACUAAAAAUGUUUAGAUAGACUCAAAAGAUUCAAAACAAGUUCACAAGACUCAAAAUAAGCUAAAAAAACUCAAAACUGCCUAAAAACACAAACUAGGUAGUGUUUGACACUAAACAUAAUUUUGGACGAAAAUUGGUUUUAUCUUAACUCCAAACACUUAAAAACACAACUAGGACAGAUUGUAACUAAUUAGACACACUAAAGUAAAGGGAGAUUGGGUUUUGGAUGGAAAUAAAGUAAAACUAAGCAGAAAUUAAAACUAGGCAGAUUUGCACGAAUUUGGCAAAAAAAUAUGGAUGAUGGGCUAGCUAGAAGGUUAUUCUCCACACAUGACACUUGCAUACAAAACGAUUUCCUGUUGCUUCUCAAUAAACCAUGAACCUCAAUACCCCAGGUUAAGUAGGUACGCUUAAAUUAACCCUCAGAUUUUCCUUAUGUCAUUGAAUUGGAUGGAAAUAGUGCAUCGCAAUCAAAUUAUUCUUCAAAAGUUCCCUACAUGAAAGCGCAUAAUAGAGAUACAAUCAAAGAUCAUUAAGUUAUAUGAAAAUCAUAAGUACUGACAAGGCAUUCGUUACUAUAAAAGCGCAUGAUACGUAUGCCAGGAAUUUACUUAACACGAUUGUGACUAGCAACCUCAUUUACUUAACACGAUUGUGACUUGCAACCUCCACUACUCAUGAAUAUAAGUUUGUAACGAUUAGGUGAAACUCCCUUAUAUCCUAGCAUCAGAUUUAUGCAUGUAAAUUAAGUGUGCACUCUCAACUCACAUACACAAACAAAUUUUAAUUCAAGCAGAUAAGUAAAUUGAAUUCACAAUUUAUGGAAUCACAACUGGAUGUAAUCAAAUUAUAUUGCAAGUAUAAUCAUGGUUUCAAAAUUCCCCCUAGCUAAGAGGGGUUUAGUUCCUCAUACUCACAAAAUGAUGUGAAAAUUAUGUUGACACACAAAUUAACCCUCUUGUUGACAAUUGUAGUAUGGAUAAGUAGGGAUCAUUCUUAAACCGGGGAUUAGGAGGGAUUGCUAAAACACUCAAACUGACUCAAAUAUGUAAAACAAGGUUUAAAACACUCGACUAGACUCAAAGAAUGCAAAACUAAACUUUAAAACACUAAAACAAAUCAAAAGACUCAAAACAGCACCAAAACACUCAAAACUGCCUUAAAACACUUUCUGGGCAGUUUUGGGACUCUAAUGCAAACUUGGACGAAUUUUGGUUUUCUAAUGACCUAAAACACUUAAAAACAUAAUCUAAGACAAGUUCUAACUAAUAUGACUCAAAGAAAUAAAGUGGGGUUGAUUUUGGACGAAUUUAAAUUAAAUGGCAGAUUGUAAAGAAAACAGAUUGUAGACAAAAUUGUGAUGAAUCAAUGGAUGAUGGAAUGGCUAAGGGGUUCUUCUCCACACAUGAAAUAUAUGCAACGUAAAUCAAUUUCCAGUUAUCAAUUCAAUAAGUUAUGAACCUCGACACUCCAAGUUAAUUAGGUCCGCUUAAAUUAACUUUCAGAUUUCCCUAGAAUCAUUGAAUUGGAUGAAUAUGCAUCGCAAACAAAUUAUUCCUAACAAGUUCUCUAUAUGAACAGCAUGAUAAAGAUACAAGUUAGAAUCAUUACGUUCUUUGGAAAUCAUAAGCAUCGACAAGGCAAUUGUAACUAUGAAAAGCAUGAUACUCUUGCCAGGAAUCUACUUAACACGAUCGUGACUAGCGACCUUCACUACUUGCAAAUAUAAAUUCAUAACGAUUAGGUGAAACAAACUUAUAUCCUAGCACCAAAUUCAAGCAUGCAAAUUAAGCGUGCAUUCUCAAUCAACAUACAAGAAUAAGUUCUAAAUCAAACGGUUAAGCAAAUUGUAUUCACGACUUAUGCAACGAUAACUGGAAGUAAUCAACUUAUUUCACAUAUAUAAUCAUGGUUUUGAAUACACCCUUAGCCAAAACGAAUUUAGCCAAUCAUACUCAAAGCAAAACAAAGAUUACAUGAAUUAGACAUUGAAAUAUAUAAGAUAGAAUACACCUAAAAUUGUUCAACAACUCAGAAUGAAGAGCCAAACAAUUGAGUGAAUCUGUCCCCUUUCCUUGCUUGCGGCAGAUUGGAUGUUGGUGGUUUCUUGGGUUAUUGAAUGAUGUAGAAUGGAUGGAAGACGUAUGGAAGUGUUUAGGGUUGAUGGGUGGUGCGGCUAGGGUGGUUUUGGGUCAGAAAAUAUGGUGAAUGGUGAAGGAAUGGGGCUGUUGAAGGUGGUGUUCACUUUCUGGCGUGAAUGGGUAUUUUCUGGGUGAAUGGGAGAUGAUGAUCUGAUCUAGGGGUUAUAAUGAGUAUAUAUAGGCAUCCAAAACCCUAGGGUAAUCAGAUUAGGGUUUCUAGAAGCCCAAAUCCACCAGAAAUUAGGUUAAAACAAUCAGAUUUUUAGUGGGAAUAAGGCCUAAGGUGCGGCUAGGGUUAGGGUUUAGAGAUGGGCCUUCUAGAAUGCCUUGCAAGGCAAGGAAAUCAGAUAUUUGAUAUGAAAAUUAACUUGACACACAAAUUAAACCCUAUGGAUGACAAUUGUAGUAUAUGAGCAAAUAGGGAUCGUUCUAGACCGGGGAUUAACUAGGGAUGCUAAUCUAUGUAAAACUGACUCAAGAACAUAAAAUUAUAAUGUAGGACACUAAACUAGACUCAAUUAAUGCAAAACUAGAAUUUAAAACACCUAAACAAACUAAAAACUCAAAACAGCAACUAGAAGGCUCAAAACUGCCUUAAAACCACUUUCUGGGCAGUUUUGAGUACCUAACACUAGUUUGGACGAAUUUGGACUAUGACUUGACUCAAAACACUUAAAAACACAACUAAAUGGAUCUCUAACUAAUCUAACACUUUAAAAUAAAUGGGGGAAUGAUUUUGACGAAAAUUGAAACUUUACAACUUAAACUUUGAAAACAAACUUAAAGCAAAACAGAUUGUGAUGAAAUAGAAUGGUGAGAAGCUAGUUAGAGGGUUCCUUAUCCACACAUGAACAUAUGCAUACAACUCAAUCUCCAAUUACUCUUUCAACAAACCAUGAAUGACAAUGCCCCAAAUUAACUAGAUUGCACCAAUUAAUUCUCAGAUUUCCCUAGAUUCAUUGAAUUGAAUGGAAUACGCAUUACAACCAAAUUAUUCUUAUCAAGGACCCUAACUAUGGAAUACGCAUGAUAGAGACACAUAUCAAAGAUCAUUAAGUUCAAUGGACAUCAUAAGCAUUGACGAGGCAUUCAUAACUAUGGGAUACGCAUGUUACUCUUGCCUAGGAUUUACUUAACACAAUCGUGACUAGCGACUUUCACUACUUACGAAUAUAAGUUAAUAACGAUUAGGUGAAAUUCCCUUAUACCCUAGCAUCAAGUUUAAGCAUGCAAAUUAAGUGUCGACCCUCAACCCACAUACAUAAACAAGUUAUCAAUCAAAUAGAUAAGUAAAUCACAUUCACAAUUUCUGAAAUCAUAAUUGGAAGAAAUCAAAUCAUAUAAAACAUAUGUCCAUGGCUUCAAAUUCACCUCUAACUAAAAAGAAAUUAGUUCCACAUGUUUAACAUAAUUGAACAGCAAGUUAAAUUAAACAUGAAAACAGAAGCAAGGGAAGAAAGAACUCUAGAAACUCCAAUGGUUGAAGAUUGCAUGCGGCAAAGCCUUCCUCCUCUCCUAAGGUCACGGCAAAGCUCCUCUCUUUGGUGGAAUGGAUGUGUUGCGGCAAAAGGAUGGGGGAAGGUUAGAAAAUAUGGAAGAAUGGUGGUAGAUGGCUUGCGGCAAGGAAGAAAAAUGGCUAGAAUUGUGUUUUUGGGAUUUUCCGAUGUGUAGAUGGUGUGGCUGAAAGUAUGGACGAAAAUUCUGAAUAUGGAGAGGGUCUCCCUGGCCAAGGGAGGUAAAACACAUAUAUAUAGGCAGCCAAACCCUAAAGAAAUCAGGUUAGACAAAUGGGCUAGGGUUUAGGUGCGGCUAGGGUUAGGAAAUCCACCAAAAACUAGGGUUUCUAGAACAUUAGGUGCGGCAUGGGCUUAGGGUAAGUAAUCAGAUUUUUUUCAUGUGAACAAGGCCUAAGUGCGGCUGAUUAAGUGGGCUAGGGUUAGGGUUAGGUGCGGCAUAGGUCCAAGAGGCAAAGAUGGGUCAUCCAAAAGCCCAAAGUCAAGAAUAGAAACUCUCGAAAAUGGAAACCUCCAAGAAUAGAAACUUCCAACUUUAGAAACUUUAGUUGCCAAUUCCGACUUCUUUGUUCUUUACUUUCAUUUCUUCAUUUCUUAAGCUCCCUCGACCUUCAAACUCGUCCAUUCUUCGUGCUCCAUUUGCAUACACCACAUUUCAGCUCACUUUUGCUCCAAAAACACCAAAUUGCAUCAUUUCGUGUAAUAUGUCUUUUAACCCUGAAAACACAUGAAAGUAGCUUAAAAGACUACUUUGACGAAGAAAACAUAACAACAAUGCAUAAGAACUAGCUAACUAAGGCGCAUAAAUAUGCUCCUAUCAAUAUUCUAGAGGCCUAGGUGCGGCUAGGGUUAGGGUCCACAAGGAAUUAGGGUUUAGGUCAUCUAAAAGCCCAAAGCCAAGAAUAGAAACUCUCGAAAAUGGAAACCUCCAAAAAUAGAAACUUCCAACUUUAGAAACUUUGGUUUCCAAAUCUGAAUUCUUUGUUCUUCACUUUCAUUUCUUCAUUUCUUAAGCUCCUUUGACCUUCAAACUCGUCCAUUUCUUGUGCUCCAUUAGCAUACACUUCAUUCCAGCUCAAUUUUGCUCUAAAAUGCUCCAUUUUGCACUUCUUUGCAUACUUCGUCUGUAAACCUGAAAUUGCACGAAAAUGACUUUAAACACUAAAAUAACUAAAGAAAAACAACAUAAACUUUGCCAACUAAGUCGCAUAAAUAUGCUCAUAUCACAAAACAAAGAUUAUUGAACUUAAACAUUGAAAACAAAAGAAAGAUUACACCUAAAACGUUCCAGCAACUCUAACUUGAAUGGCAAGCACGUCCAAGGGCUCUCCUUCUUCUUCUUUGCUGCGGCACAAGGUGUGGUUGAUGGUUUGAGGGGUGGUUUGUAUGAAAGAAUGGCUGAAAGUAUGUAUGGUGGUGAAUGGGUCAAUGGAAGGUGAUACGAAAAUUAACUUAACACACAAAUUAAAUCCUCUUGUUGACAAUUGUAGUAUGGAUAAGUAGGGAUUGUUCUUAAACCGGGGAUUAUGAGGGAUUGCUAAACACUCUAAACUGACUCAAAGACACAAAACAAACUAAAAACGUUUGGAUAGACUCAAAAGAUUCAAAACAAGUUCACAAGACUCAAAAUAAGCUAAAAACACUCAAAACUGCCUAAAAACACAAACUAGGCAGUUUCUGAUUCUAACACAACGUUGAUGCGAAAUAUAUAAGCACACAAAUUAAACCCUCUUUUUAUCAAUUGUAGCAAAGUAUGCAAGUAGGGAUCGUUCUAGGCCGGGGAUUAGGAGGGAUUGCUAAAUGAUGCGAAAUAGAUUAAGACACAAAUUAAACCCUCUUUUGUCAAAUUGUAGUAAAUAUGUAAGUAGGGAUCGUUCUAAACCGGGGAUUAGGAGGGAUUGCUAAUCUCUUGAAAACUGACUCAAUAAUGUAAAAACAAAGUUUAAAACACUAAACUAGACUCAAAGAAUGUAAAAUUAAAAGUUAAAACACCAAAACAAAGCAAAGGAACCAAAACAGCAAAUAAACACUCAAAACUGCCUUAGAAGCACAAUCUGGGCAGUUUUGAGUACUAACACAAAUUUGGACGAAUUUAUGUUAUAACUUGACUCAAAACACUAGAAAACAUAAACUAACACACUUUCUAACUAAUCUAGGACUCUAAAAUAAAGGGGGAUUUUGUUUUGACGAAAAUUAAAAUAAAGAAAACAGAUUGGAAAUAGGGCAGAUUGUAAAAACGAUUUUGGUGAAAUAGAUGGGUAGAAGGCUAGUUAGGAGGUUCUUCUCACACAUGACACACUUGCAAACAAAACGAUUUUCAGUUGUUCUUCCAAUAAAUUAUGAAACUCAACACCCCAAGUUAAUUAGAUACGCUUAAAUUAACCUUCAAGUUCUCCUUAAGUUAAUGAAUCGGAUGGGAAAGCGUAUACAACAAUUCAAAGCAUUCCUCAAAGGUUCCUUACGUGAUGAGCACAAUAAAGAUACAAUCAAGAAUCAUGGAGCACAAUGAGAACUAUAAGUGUUGACGAGGCAUUCGUUACUAUCAUGAGCAUGAAACUAGUGCCAAGAAUUCAUUCAACGCGAUCGUUUUCAAGCGACCUUCACUACUUGUGAUUAUAAGAUUGUAACUAUUAGGUGAAACUCCCUUAUAAUCUAGCGUCAUAUUCAUGCAUGAAAACUAAGCGUGCACUCUCAAUCAACAUACACAAAUAAGUUAUCAAUCAAGUAGAUGAACGAAUUGAAUCCACAACUUAUGAAAUAACAACUGAAUGUAAUCAAAUCAUAUUGCAAGCAUGUACAUGGUUUCGAAUCACCCCCCAACUAAGGGGGUUUAGUUCCUCAUACUCACAACACAAAGUUUGUUGAAUUGAAACAUUGAAAACAUAAGAAGAUCACACCUAAAAAUUCCAGCAAUCUAAAUUGCACAGCAGGAACGUCUAAGAACCUUCCUCCUCUUCCUUGGUUGCGGCCCAGGGGUUUGUGAUGGUUUUUGGGGGUUAUGGAUGGUGUAGAAUGGUGGAAAAGUGUGUAGGAUAGGUGUAUGGGACGGCUAGGGUGGUUUUGGGUCAGAAAAUAUGGUGAAUGAUGAAGGAUAGGUGCUGUUGAAGAUGGAGAAUGGUUUCUGGCGUGAAGGAUUAUUUUCUGGAUGAAUGGUCCCCUUUGUGGCUGCACAAGGAUGUUUAUUUAAAGGGAUUUAGGAAAUUAAAAACCCUAGGCUAAUUAGGUAAUCAGGAAUUAAGUUUAAAGCUUCUAGAAUUAAGGAAACAAAUCAGAAAAUUAAAAGGAAAGGUCAAGGAAAUUCGGCCAGGGUUUAUAGCAUAAAAAGGAAGGUGUUUUAAUGCUCCAAAACAGGAAAGAGCCGUCUCCCUUGCACGGCAAGGAAGAGGAAAGGGCAAGGGAGUGUGGCAAGGGGUCCAUAAGGGUUCUAGGCUUUUGUUUUGUGUCCUAGAAUGCUUAGAAAAUCUUCAUAAUUGCUGGAACUUUUAGGGACAAUUAGGAAAAAUCAAACCAAAGUAGGAAACCUUGGCUUAACUUUCCUACUUCAAGUAGGAAUCCUUGUUGGAGUAGGAAUCCUUGUUCUUCUAGGAAUCCACAUGUGAUUAGGAAUCCGUCUUCAAUUAGGAAUCCUUCGUUGAUUAGGAAUCCUCCUUCAUGUAAGCACUUUCCUACUUCAACUAGGAAACCUUGUUCAAGUAGGAAUCAUCAUCUUCAAGCCUUCAAAUUCGUCCAAACCUUGGCUCCAAAUAUGUGACAUGCAUUCCAAACUCCAUUUUGCUCCAAAAAGCUCCAUUUUGCUUCUUUUUGCACACUUUGACCUUAGAACCUGAAAACACACAAAAGUGACUUUAAACACUAAAAUAGCUAAGUAAACACAACCUAAAUGCACGAGAACAAGCCAAUUAAGUAGCAUAAAUAUGCUUUCUAUCACUAAAACACUUAAAACUGACUCAAAAACGUAAAACAAAGUUUAAAACACUGAACUAGACUCAAAGAAUGCAAAACAGCGCAUAAACACUCAAAACUGCCUUAAAAACACAAUCUGGGCAAUUUUGAACACCAAACACAAAAUUGGACGAAACUAGGUUAUAACUUGACUCAAGACACUUAAAAAACAAACUAAAUUGAUUUCUAACUAAUCUAACACUUUAAGAUAAAUGGGGAUUUGGUUUUGACGAAAUUGAAAACAAAACAAAAUUUUUUUAAACUAAAACAGAUUUGAAAACGAAAUUGAUUUAAAUGAAUGGAUGGAAAGCUAGCUAAGGGGUUCUUCUCCACACAGGUCACACUUGCAUACAAAACGAUUUCCAAUUGCUUUUCGAUAAACCAUGAAUUCCCAACACCCCAAGUUAAUUAGGUACACUUAAAUUAACUUUCAGAUUUCCCUUUAGUCAUUGAAUUGAAUGGAAAUAGCGCAUCGCAAUCAAAUUAUUCCUUAAAAGUUACCUACAUGAAAGCGCAUAAUAGAUAAACAAUCAAAGAUCAUUAAGUUCUAUGGAAAUCAUAAGCAUUGGCGAGGCACUUGUUACUAUGAAAGCGCAUGAAACUUAUGCUAAGAAUUUACUUAACACGAUUGUGAUCAGCAACCUUUACUACUUGUGAAUAUAAGUUUAUAACGAUUAGGUGAAACUCCCUUAUAUCCUAGCAUUAAACUUAUGCAUGAAAAUCAAGGGUGCACUCUCAACCAACAUACACAAAUCAGUUUUAAUUCUUAUAGAUAAGUAAAUUGAAUUCACAACUUAUGAAACGCAAUUAGAAGUAAUCAAAUCAUAUAGCAAGCAUCAUGGUUUCGAAUCCCCCCCUAGCCAAGGGGGGUUUAGUUCCUCGUACUCGCAAAACAAAGAUACAUAAAUUUAGACAUUAAAAUUCAAAGAAAGAAAACACCUAGCUGAUCCAACUUGGACAGCAGGUGCAUCCACGAAUCCUCCUUCCUCCUUGCUGGGGCACAAAGGUUAGUGACAGGUUUUGGGUGGUAUUUGUGGUGUAGAAUGGAUGGGGAAUGGUAUGGUAGGGUUUAGGAUUGGUGGGUGGUGCGGCAAGGGGUGUUUAUGGGCAGGAAUUAUGGUGAAUGGUGGUGGAAGGCUGCGGCAGAGAGUGGCUUUGUGUUUCUGGCGUGAAUGAUGUGAAUGAGAGGUGGUUAUUCAGCCAAGGGGUGAAUGAGAGUAUAUAUAGGCACUUAAAACCCUAGGGUAAUCAGAUAUGGACUUGGAUAACCCAAAUCCACAAGGAAAAAGGUUUAAACAAUCAGAAUUUUCAAGGGAAAAGGCCUAAAGGUGCGGCAGAUAAGGGAUAAGGAGGAUAAGGCUUCUAGAAUGCCUUGCAAGGCAAGGCAAAAGGUUCUAACAAGGGAGAUGUGCGGCAGGUUUAUGGGAGUAUAGAUAGGGCUUCAAGAAAGCCCAAAACCAAGAGGAAAUAAGCCCUAACGCACGGCAAGGAUAAGAAAAUAUUCUAGAACCUUUCUUUGUGUCUUCCAACGCUUAGGAACCUUCUAAUGUUGCUAAAACUCAAGGCCAUCUAGGUUUAGGAAAAAUCAACCCAAAAUAGGAAACUUUUAGGCUUGACUUUCCUACUUCAAGUAGGAAACCUUGUUUGAGUAGGAAUCUUCAUUCUUCUAGGAAUCCAUCUUCAACUAGGAAUCCCUCGUUGAUUAGGAAUCCUUCGUGGAUUAGGAAUCCUUCUUUAAUUAGGACUCCUCAAAACUUCAAUUUUGUCCCAACCUUGUGUUCCAAGCAUGUGCUAUUCAAUCCAAGCUCACUUUUGCUCCAAAAAGCUCCAAAUUGCAUCUUUUUAUGUAAUAUGCCCUUAAAACCUGAAAACACAUGAAAAUAGCUUAAAAGACUACUUUAACUAAGAAAACAUCACGAAAAUGCAUAAGAACUAGCUAACUAAGGCGCAUAAAUAUGGUCCUAUCAAACGUGUGGACGAAUUUCGGUUUUAUAUUGGCUUAAAACACAUAAAAACACAAACUAAAUAGAUUCUAACUAAUUAGACACUCUAAAGUAAAGGGGGAUUUGGUUUUGGACGAAAAUAAAGUAAAACAAGGCAAGAACUAAAACUAGACAGAUUUGCACGAAAUUGGUUGAAUUAGAUGGAUGAUGGGCUAGCUAGGUUCUUCUCCACACAUGACACACUUGCAUUUGAAUUGAUUUCCAAUUGUCUCUUUCAAUAGACCAUGAAACUCAAUAGCCCAGGUUAACCGUGACAACACUUUUUUAACCUUCAAGUUUUCCUUAAGUUCUUGAAUUGGAUGGGAAAGCACAUACAAUGAUUCAAAACAUUCUCUAAAAGUCCCCUACGGGAAAAGCACAAUAAAGGUACAAUCAAAUAUCAUUAAGCUUCAUGAAAACUAUAAGCAUUGACGACGCAUUCGUAACUAUGAUGAGCAUGAUAGUUUUGCCAAGAAUUCACUUAACGCGAUCAUUUAUAAGCGACUUCCACUACUUGUAAAUAUAAGUUUGUAACUAUUAGGAUAAACUCCCUUAUAUUUUAGCUUCAAAUUCCUGCAUGAAAACUAAGUGUGCAAUCUUAAUAAACAUACAAGAAUAAGUUAUCAAUCAAACGGUUAAGCAAAUUGAAUACACAACUUAUCAAAAUAACUACUGAAGGAAAUCAAUUCAUAAUGCAAGUAUAAUCAUGGUUUUGAAUAGCCCCCUAGCCAAGAAGGGCUUAGUUCCUCAUAAUCGCAAAACAAAGAUAAAUAGAUUUAUACAUUGGAAACAAAAGAAAGAAAACACCUAAAACGCUCCAAUGAUCCAACUUGGAAAGCAAGCACAUCUAGGCACUUUCCUUCCUUUCCUUUGCUGCGGCACAAGGUGUUGGUGAUGGUUUGAAGGGUUGUUUGUAUGGAAGAAUGGGUGGAAACAUGUAUGGUGGUGUUUUGGAUGGAUAAAGGUUGCGGCAAAGGUGUAUGGAAAGGUUUUUGAUGGUUUAUAGAUGCGGCUAGGGUGUAUGGAAGUAGAUGAUGAUGAAUGGUGAACGAUUGACUCUACUGGGGUGUAUAUUUAAGGACUUUAGGGUAAUUAAGGCUAGGAAAUAAUUUAGGUAACUGAGAGGAGCAUAUUUAUGCGACUUAGUUAGCUUGUUCUUGUGCAUUUUUGUUAUUAUUCUUUAGUUAUUUUAGCGUUUAAAGUCAUUUUCGUGCAAUUUUAGGUUUAUAUGGCAAAGAAGUGCAUUUGGAGCCUUUUUGGAGUAAAAGUGGGCUUGGAGUGGAUGACACAUGCUUGGAGCUAAAGGAAUGGACGAAAUUGAAGACCUAAAGAUAUGAAGAUUCCUAAUUAAAAGAGGAUUCCUAGAAGAAUAAGGAUUCCUACUUGAAGUAGGAAAGUUAAGCCAAGGUUUCCUAUUUUGGGUUAAUCUUUCCUAAUCCUAAAUGGCCCUAAGUUCCAGCAACAUUGAAAGUUCCUAUGCAUUGUAGGACAUAAACCAAAGGUUCCUUACACCAUUCAAAGCCUUGCGGCACCACCUUUCCCUUUCCCUUUUCAUUCCUCUUCCUUGCCGUGCAAGGGAGAGCCCUUCUUCCCUUUUCCUUGUUUCACAUACCCUUUUUCCUUCCCUCAACAUUCCAGCCGCAUAUCCCCUUACCUUUUCCUUAGGAUUUUGACUUUAAUUCCUAUUUCCCUUUAUGUUUUGGUUUAAUUUCUGUUAACUAAAUUAUUUCCUAGUCGUAAUUACCCUAAAGUCUUUAAAUAUUCACCCUAGCUGCAUCUAUGGAUUAUCAUUCACCAUUCUACACAUCUAUCCCCUUCCAGCCGCACCCAUUCACCACUCAUCACGCCAUUCACCCAUUAUUCAGCCAUACAUCCAUCUAUAUACAUCCAGCCUCACUUCCUACACAACCUUAAUCCAUCAUUCCGUACAUCUAACCAUCAAAACCGUCAUCCAUCCCUUGUGCCGCAGCAAAGGAUGGGAAGGAAAGUUCUUGGACGUAUUGCUGAAGCGUUUAGGUGUUUUCUUUCUUUUGUUUUCAAUGUAUAAAUCUGUUUACCUUUGUUUUGUGAACAUGAGUGGCUAAACCCGUUCUUGCUAGAGGGAAUUCAAAGCCAUGAACAUAUUUGCAAUAUGAAUUGAUUUUUCAAUUGUGAUUUCAUAAACCUUGAAUGCAAUUUACUUAACGGCUUGAUUGAUAACUUAUUCUUGUAUGUUGAUUGAGGGUUAACACUUAGUUUGCAUGCAUGAAUUUGAUGCUAGAAUAUAAGGGAGUUUCACCUAAUCGUUAUGAACUUAUAUAUUCACAAGUCGUGGAGGUUGCUGGUCACGAUCGUGUUAAGUAAAUUCCUGGCAUAAGUAUCAUGCAAUUCAUAGUUACAAGUGCCUUGCCAAUGCUUAUGAUUUUCAUAGAACUUAAUGAUCUUUGCUCGUAUCUUUAUCAUGCAAUUCAUGUAAGGAACUUGUGAGGAAUAAUUUGGGUUGUCGCAUGCAAUCAUCCAAUUCAAUGAAAAUAGGAAAAUCUGAGGGUUAAUUAGUGCAAUUCACGGUUAAUCUGGGGCGUUGAGGUUUAUGGUUUAUCGAAAGAACAAUUGAACAUCAAUUUGUAUGCAAGUAUGUCAUGUGUGGAGAAGGAACUCUAGCUAACAAAUCAUCCAUAGUUUUUCCCAAAUUUGUGCAAAUCUGUUAAGUCUAGUUUCUGCCUAGUUUUACUUAUUUUCGUCCAAAACAAACCCCCUCUUUACUUUCUUGUUUGAAAGUGUUUAAAAUUUGUUUUGUUUGUGUUUUUGAGUAUUUUGAGUCAAGCCAAAACCCUAAGUUCGUCCAAAGUUGUGUUUAGAGUUAGAAACUGCCUAGUUGGUGUUUUUAGGCAGUUUUGAGUGUUUUUAAGUUGUUUUUGAGUCUUUUGAGUCUAUUCAAACGUUUUUAACUUUGUUUUGAUGCUUUUGAGUCAGUUUAGAGGUUUUAGCAAGCCCUCCUAAUCCCCAGUUUAGAACGAUCCCUACUUGCAUUUAUACUACAAUUUGACAACAAGAGGGUUUAAUUUGUGUGCUUAUUUAUUCUGCAUCAGUAAUAGAAAUUUAAAUCAAAUCAUAAAGGGAAAUAGGAAUUAAAGUCAAAAUCCUCAGAAAAGGUAAAGGAGGUGCGGCUGAAGGGAAAUAGGAAAGGGAAAGGCUUUUAAUUGAAAAGGGAAUGUGAUUUAUGGCAGAAAAAUAGGAAAGAGAUGGCUCCCUUGCACGGCAAGGAAGAGAAAAGGGAGACAAGGUGCGGCAAGGCCUUGUAUGGUGCAAGGACCCUUUGGUUUGUGUCCUAAAAUGCAUAGGAGACCUUCAAUGUUGCUGGAACUUAGGGACAUUUAGGAUUAGGAAAGGUCAAACCAAAAUAGGAAACCUUGGCUUAACUUUCCUUCUUCAAUUAGGAAUCCUAGCAUCUUUAGGUCUUCAAUUUCGUCCAUCCCUUUAGCUCCAAGCAUGUGAUAUUCAUUCCAAGCCCAAAGUUGCUCCAAAAAGCUCCAACAUGCACUUCUUUGCUUCUUUAAUCGUUUAGGCCUACAAACACACGAAAAUGGCAUAAAGUGCAUGAAUAACUAAGAACUAACAACAUAAUUGCAAGAAAACAAGCUAACUAAGUCACAUCAAUAUGCUCCUAUCAAAUUCCCCCACACUUAGCUUUUGCUAGUCCUCGAGCAAAACAAACAAAAUAAACAACACAUAACCUAGACCUUCCAACAAUUUCCUCAGGGAUUUUCAAUGAAACAUGACAUGCCAAAGAUCGCCACUCACAUAGAUUUAAGCAAUUCUUACCCUUAAGCAUACUUAAUCAUAGUCACCAUUCACUAGCUCACAUUUAAUCAAUCAAAACAACAUUUUUAAUGGAGUAACAUGCCUUAGGGAUUUCCCUUAAUUCCUUACUAGAUAUGCACUCAAUUUUCACUCAGAUUUUCAGACUGCACACCCUACACUAGGUAUAUGUGAGAAGAUUGAUGUAAACAUGAAAACUAGUACUCACAUAUGUUUUUCAACAAAGAAGCAAUGUCUGGAAUUAUUAAUGCAUGUAUAUAUAUGAUCUCAUGAAUAGAAUGCUACUACUUAGAAGCGAGAACCAGUGAUAUCAUAUGCUCAUACCAAUUUCAAACUCCACAUAUUGAAACACACAACACUCAAGAUGGAAGUCAAGGGUUGUAACGGGGUUAAGGGUGUUGGCUAACAAAGAAAGGUAAAGGAAAACGAAUGUUCUUAAAGCAAUAGUGAGCAAAGUAAUGAGUUAGGCAUUUAUAAUUCGCUUUAGAAUGCAAAAAUCUACUUUUAAACACAAGGGAAGAUUCAUGCAACACCUUAGGGUCAAAUUCAAAUGAUGUGAAAAUUACUUGACACACAAAUUAAACCCUAUUGAUGACAAUUGUAGCAAAGAUGUAAGUAGGGAUCGUUCUAAACCGGGGAUUAACUAGGGCUGCUAAUCUACUCAAAUUAAACUCUAAAACACUAAACUAGACUUAAAAACACAAGAAUAGACUCUAUAGACUCUAAACUGACCUAAGACACUCAAAUCUGCAAAACUAAGUGAAAUUGACUCAAUUCUAAACCUAACAAGUGAAUUGGACGAACUUAAAACUUACUUUGACUCAAAAGAUUAAAAGAAAACAGAUUGUAACUUAACUAACUCAGAAAACACUUAAAAGACUCAAAACAGCACAAUACUAACAAUUAGACUCAAAACAGAUUCUAGAGAUGAAAUUGGACGAAUUUAAGACCAAACUAAGACCCAAACAAUGGUUAUGGACUAAACCUAACCUAUAUUGACUCAAAACACUCUAAAGAACCUAAUUAGGACAGAUUCUGACCUAAUAACAUAAAACAGAAAAGGGGGUUUGAUUUCUGACGAAAUUGAAUUAAAACUAAACAAAUUUCAAGUCAAAGUAAACUAAAACGAAAUUAAGAUAAAUUCAAGGGUGAAAAGCUAGUUAGAGGAUCCUUCUCCACACAUGAACAUAUGCAACAUAAAUCGAUUUCCAGUAUUGUUUCUUUAAACCAUGAACAACAAUGCCCCAAAUUAAUCGUGAAUGCACAAAUUAACUCUCAGAUUUCCCUAAAUUCAUUGAAUUGGAUGAAUGCAUGCAACAACCCAAAUUAUUCUUCUCAAGUUCCCUAUAUGAACAGCAUGAUAGAGAUACAUUCAAAGAUCAUUAAAUUCCAUGGAAAUCAUAAGCAUUGACAAGGCAAUUAUAACUAUGAACUGCAUGAUACUUUUGCCAAGAAUCUACUUAACACGAUUGUGACUAACAAUCUCCACUACUUAUAAUUAUAAGUUUCAAACGAUUAGGUGAAAGUCCCUUAUAAUUUAGCAUCAGAUUCAAGCAUGCAAACUAAGUAGGCCUCCUUAAUCAACACACAAGAAUAAGUUAUCAAUCAAAUAGAUAAGUAAAUCGCAUUCAUGUUUUACGAAACAAUAACUGAAAGGAAUCAAUUCAUAUUAACAUAUGUCCAUGGCUUCAAAUUCACCACUAACUAAUAAGAGUUUAGUUCCACAUGUUCAUAGGAAAAGCAAAUUAAAAUAAACAUCGAAACUGAAAGGAGGGAAGAAAGAACUCUUAAAACUCCCAAGGAUGCAGAUGGCUUGCGCACAAGGCCCUCCUUCAUCAAUGGAAUGCACGACAAGGCUCUCCUUCUUCUCCAAAAGGUGCGGCAAAGAUGUAUAUGGAUGUAGGAUGGUGUUUUGUGAUGUAGAAUGGUGAUUAGGGUUGCGGCAAGGUGUUUUUGAAUGGUGUGAAGGGUGAUGACGAAUUUAUGGCUGAAAACUUGUAUUUAUAGGCUAGGGUUUUCACAAAAUCUGAUGGAGAUAAAAGGCUUGGCCCAUCCAAAGGAGAAAAUAACUAGGGUUUUAUGCAGAUUUUUAGGCUUCUAGAACAUUAGGUGCGGCACAAACCCUAGGACUUUUGCCUAAUCCUUUCAUCACCCACACCAUACUCUAACCCCAUCCUAGCUCAAUACAAGCCGUACCUUAUAGCUUGGGGAAUGCCAAUGUGAUGAAGUCCAAAGGUAAAUUGAUUGAUAGAGCAAGAUUGUGGCGUGUACCAAAGGCACCUAUGUGAAGUGUGGUUCUAAAAAAAUUUGGGAGACUUAAAGAAAAGAAAAGAAAAGAAAAAAAAAAAGAGAAGAGAAUCAAGUGAAAACAAAUUCCAAAUCUCCUUAUUAUAAGACAUAGGGCUUGGACACCAAAAAUCAAGAAGAAAGAAGAUAAAUUCAAGUAAAAAGCUGGACCUCAAGGACACUUUGGUAUGCCCCAAGCUCUAGUAUUCCAUAUCACUUCUUUCAUAACCUAUAACCUAAGCCUUACAUUACAAUCUUGAGAAAGACCUAGUUGAUCAUUGAGGAUGUAUUCAUGAGUGAUGGUAAGUGUGUGUGUUAUCUAUAUUCUUAGCAUUUGAUUCAUUUCAUGAGAUCUACUCAGAAUUGUGCUUUCAUUUCAAGUUCAUAUGUGAGAAUUUUGAUUUCCUUUACAUAACUUCACUCACAUAUGUUAGUGGAGAGACUAAACCUUAGGAUCUGAGUGAGAACUUGAGUGAAAACCGUGAGGAAUAGAGUUGAGGCGAAUUCAUUCUUAAGCAUUUGGGUAUGGUGACCUUGAAGUUGUAAGACAUGGUGAAAUAUCUUUAUACAUUACAAUUGAUAUGAUUCUUUGGAAUGGCAAGGCUUUUGAGUUUGAGUGUAAAACAAAGUUUCAUGGGUUUUGAUUAGUUUGUUUAAAGCAUGUUAAACCAAAUUGUGUGCAGAUUUUGUAGAUGUUUGAGGGUGUCAUCUUUGUAAACCCUCAGGAGACACAACUCCUCCAACUAGGGACACCUAGGGGUUCAAAGGCUUGUUGCACAUGCUCAGUGCAAUCGUUUGGCCAGCGAAAGUGGUGUAGUUAGUUGUUAGUGUUUGUUAGAUGUUAGUGUUUUGUGUGUUUUAAUUCUAAGUUUGCUCGUGGACUAGCAAAAACCAGGUUUGGGGGUAUUUGUUAGUUCACAUUUCAUAUGCAUUUUAUAGCAUUCAUAUUUUGUGUCUUUGUGAUGUUUUUUGAUCAAACUUGUUGCAUUUUACAUUAUUUGGUGUUAGUGUGUAGUUAAGUUUGUUUUAGGAUCAAUUGGAAGGCAAUGAAGCAAAAACACCACAUUUUGUGACCGAGAGCUAGUUCAAGCAUGGAGAACAUCUUGUGAGUUAACUUGAAGUCCAAGUGAAGAAUUGAGGACAAGUUGGUUGCUAGAAUUUCAGGAAUUGACAAAGGGUGCAAUUCGGCCAGAUUGGGUGAUUUUAUGCAUGGCACAUGCAUUGGAUUCAGAUUGGGAGGUUUAACACACCUUGCCAUGCAUUUGGUUACCCUUUCAACCCCCUUUCUUCACCUAGAACAUUCACCCCCCAUUAGUUACACCAUUCAGCCACAUUUCACCCACUAAUUCACCCAUGCCGUGCAUUGUUAAUCCUUGACAGCCUGUCCUUGCAGAUUUCACAUGCUCCUCCAUUUAAAUGACCACAUGCUUGCCCAUUCAACCCCAUGCCGUGCACUAUCCAUUUCAGAAAGGAAUUACCCCAUCAUUACACACACUAGCACUCCAUAUUUUACAAUUGUUAAGAUCCAAUCUUGGAUCUGAAUCCAAAAGCUAUUCCAUCCAUUCCCUUUAAGUGAGCUCCUUCAAGAAAUCUGAAACUCUCGGAAUUCCAUCUUCAAUUAGACACCAACUCUACAUUCCAUUAUAUACACUACAUUCCAUAACCUACAUUCUAUCUAUCCCACUCCAGAUUCGACAUUCCUUACACAUUCAUUCUAUUCUUCUUACACACAAACUCUCCAUUUUCUGUCCAUCCUCUUCACCAUAUUACACCAACCAUUUCACCACAACCGUACCACCUUCAUUUAUACAUCAUUCUUGGAGGAGUUACACCACACUUGGAGAGCUAGCACCGAAGGCCAUUCUCAAGUGAUCUUCGAUUCCAGUUUUGCUUCAAGGGGUUUUUCUUCUCAAUUUUAUGUACACUCAUGUGUUAUAUUUAUAUGUCAAAUCUUUGUAAACAUGAAGUGUAACUAAUCUCUCUAUAGGGAUUCGAUGUAGCCUAGAAAGAUUGCCAUGUAGUUAAUUUGGAAUGCUCAGUUUAUCAUUCUAUUUCUUGUUUCAUUCUCUAAUUUAAUUGUGACUUUGUGUGUUGAUUUUAAUGCUUGAUCACCAUUUGAAUUAACCAUAAGUUGGUUUAGCCAAUCUUAGAGCACACAUCAUGCAUAACCUUGGCAGAUAUGGGAAUGAUUGAAGGGAAUGUUUGGCAAACAUCAUGCCAAGUGUUUCCUUUGGUUUUGUGAAAGUUUCUUAUGCUUAAUACAUUCUUGUUUAGGAACCAAAGUUGCACAUCACAAUUAGGUUCAUGACUAGGAAUAUUUGAUCAAAACCACACAUCAUAUGGAUGAUCAUAUCUAAGUGAAACAAACUCAAGAAAUAGAUAGAUUGAUGAGCAUAAUCUGAAUUAACAAUAUGGAAUUGAUUAGAAAAGGUGAAAUCGAAUCCCUAGCCUUCUCCAUAUUGUUACAUUCCCUAACCUCAACUCCCUUGGUUCUACCUCAUUACAUUACUUGUGAUUCAUUUACUUGUAUUCAUUUCAUUUCCGUGUAUUCAAGUUACAACCUCAAAACUGCCUAAAUUGUUUAGUUCUACUUUCUGUUAGGGUUCUUGCAAAACAAGUGGUUAUAUAGGUCUAAUUAGUCCCUGUGGAUUCGACACCCUUACUUGUGUUCUUAUACUCAACAUGUUUGUAGCACUAGGAAGGAAUAAUCUCAUCAAGCCUCCUUUGAUCUUCAAUUUCGUCCAUUUCUUUUGUUCCAAACAUGCGCCAUUCAAUCCAAGCUUCAUUUUGCUCCAAAAAGCUCCAAAAUGCAUCUUUUUGUGUAAUAUGCCCUUAAAACCUGAAAACACAUGAAACUAGCUUAAAAGACUACUUUAACUUAGAAAACAUAGUAAAAAUGCAUAAGAACUAGCUAACUAAGGUGCAUAAAUAUGCUCCUAUCAUCAAACUUUUGGACCCUUUCUUCAACAAUCAACACUUGUGAGUUCAUUCUCACUUAUUGUCAACUCUUUUUCUUUCUUUUAUUUCAUACCCGUGCCUUUCCUUUCUUUUAUUUCAUACCCAUGCCUUUCCUUUCUUUUGGCACACUAACCAUACAUAUUUCUCAUGAAACACCUUUCCCCCACAUUGAUUACUGCAAUAAUGUUACCCAAAAGGAAUUCUUUCUAAGUCAUGCUCCACUAUACUUCAAGAACAAGGGUAUAGAAAGUCCUAUUCUAGGCUAGGUAGGGAUAAUGUGGUUAACAAAGAAAAUAGGCUAAACAAGGCUCAAUCUACAAAACAAAUGACAAGGGUGGAUUCGGCUAUUUGGCUUUGGUUCACUAAACAACUUCAUCUUGAAUAUGUGUUACGCAAAUCAAUGUCAUGCUUUGAAUGGAACGAGCAUGAGUUCUAGUAUUUUGAUCUAUAAUGAUGAACGCAUUCUAAGUAGCAACCAAGCAAAGAAUAAUGAGAUCAUGCAACGACUUUAGAAAACAAGAAUGCACAGAUUAAUAACUCUCCAAAUAAACGUUUAGGCUCAAGUCUCUCAGGGAUGUAGCGUUUGUUUGAGUUCCUUCCUUCAAGCAUGUUACAAAAACUUAUUUUAUCCUUUGUGAUUACAUGUGAAUUCGUAAACUAUAACUACAACCAAGCAUAAACCAAAGAGCAUAUCAAACUUCCAUCCAUGUUUGUAACUUUCUUUAACAGUCAUGCACUUAAAAACUAAAUUCUCAUCAUUGCAUUGGAAGGUACCCUAAGACACAAACAAUCACACAAAAUAACUCUUUUUGGCUUUUUCAAAACACUUUUUUCAGAAUUUUUUUUCUUUCAAAUUUUCGGAUUUUUACUUCAACACACACCAAAACAGCUCAAAAUGCACUAAAAACACUUAAAAACAGUGAGAAACAACAUUGUAAGUGAUAGGUGAUAGAGUCCCACGAAAUUGAAUAAAAACAUUUGUUUACCCCCCACACUGAAAUCAAACAUUGUCCUCAAUGUUGCAAGCAUAAACUCACUGAUGUGAAAAUUAUGUUGACACACAAAUUAACCCUCUUUUUAUCGAUUGUAGUAAGUAUGUAAGUAGGGAUCGUUCUAGGCUGGGGAUUAGGAGGGAUUGCUAAAUCACUUGAAAACUGACUCAAAUACGUAAAAACAAGUUUAAAACACUAAACUAGACUCAAACAAUGCAAAACUAAACUUUAAAACACCAAAACAAACAAAAAGACUUAAAACAGCAAACAAACACUCAAAACUGCCUUAAAACACUUUCUGGGCAGUUUCUGACACUCAGGAAGAAUUUGGACGAAAAUUGAUUAUAACUUGACUCAAGACACUUAAAAACACAAACUAAAUUGAUUUCUAACUAGUAUGACUCAACAAAGAAAAGGGGGAUUGAUUUUGGACGAAUUUAAAAACAAAACAAAACUUUGUAAACUAAAACAGAUUUUAAAAACGAAUUUGGAUGAUUUGAAUGGAUGGAAGGCUAGCUAAGGGGGUUCAUCUCCACACAUGUCACACUUGCAUAUAAAACGAUUUCCAAUUGCUUUUCAAUAAACCAUGAAUUCUCAACGCCCCAAGUUAAUUAGGUCCGCUUAAAUUAACCCUCAGAUUUUCCUUAAGUUAUUGAAUUGGAUGAAUUGCAUACGACAACCCAAAGCAUUCCCCACAAGUCCCCUACAUGAUUGCAUAAUAGAGAUACAAGCAAGAAUCAUUAAGUUCUAUGAAAACCAUAAGCAUUGACGAAGUACUUGUUACUAUGAUUGCAUGAAACUUAUGCCAAGAAUUUACUUAACACGAUUGUGAUCAACAACCUUUACUACUUGUGAAUAUAAGUUCAUAACGAUUAGGUGAAAUUCCCUUAUAUCCUAGCAUCAAAUUCAUGCAUGCAAACUAAGUGUCGACCCUCAAUCAACAUACAAGAAUAAGUUUUAAUUCACAUAGAUAAGCAAAUUGAACUCACAACUUAUGAAACGCAAUUAGAAGUAAUCAAAUCAUAUAGUAAGCAUAAACAUGGUUUCGAAUCCCCCCUAGCCAAGGGGGGUUUAGUUCCUCAUACUCGCAAAUAAACAAAGAUAAAUAAAUUUAAACAUUAAAACAAAGAUAGAAAACACCUAGAAACGCUCCACAAUCCAAGCUCCUUGAAUGGCAUGCACGGCUCCAAGAGUUCUUCCUUCUUCUCCUUUGCAAACUCACGGCACAAGAGGUAUAUUUGGGUGAAUGCUGUAGUGAAAAUAUGGUAGAGGAUGGUGACUAAAUGGUGCAGCAAAGGAUGGUAUUUAUAGGCUGAGAUUCGCAGCCCCUAUGUAGCAAAGGAAAAGGAUUUAAAGGCCUAAUUUGUAUAGGAUAAUAACACACAAUCCUUGAAGGAAAAGGCUAAGUCUUUUAGGAACCAAGGGGGAAAGGCAUAAUCAGGUUUCUAGAAGUUCCAGAAAGGUUUAGGGCGCCAGAUUUUUAGGAGAGUAGAUAAGGCCUUCUAGAAAGCUUGUUUUGUGGCUGAUUUCCUAGAAGAACAAGGGAUAAGGUGUGGCACCUUUGUAGGAAGGGAUAAGGCUUCUAGAAAUCCCAUUUUAAGCAUCCUAAUCUAAUUAGAAACCCUCCUAAGUGGCUGAAAUGUGGAUAGUUUAGGAUAAGGAUAAGAUAGGAUAGGAUAAGAUUUGAUUGGAUAAGAUAAGCUAAGAUAAGGUUAUGGAUGAGGUUUUGGAUAAGAUUCCUUAUCUUGAGCUGAUUCUUUGACUUUACUCUUCUUCUUCACAUAGGAAACCUUGCUUGAGUAGGAAACUUUAUUCGUCUAGGAAUCCAUCUUCAAUUAGGACUCCUACAUUGAUUAGGAAUCCUUCUUCAUUUAGGAAUUCUUCGUUUAAGCCCUUUCCUACUUCAACUAGGAAACUUUGUAUCUUCAAUUCUUCAACUUUGAAAAGCCUUUCUAGCUUCAUCAAUCCCUCAAAUUCGUCCAUCCCUUGUGCCUCAUGUGCAUGAACUCCAUUUUAGCCCAAUUUUGCUCCAAAAUGCUCCAAAUUGCAUCCUUUUGCUCACUUUGUCUCUAAAACCUGAAAACACAUAAAAAUAGCUUAAAAGACUAACUUAACUAAGAAAACAGAACAUAAAUGCAUAAGAACUAACUAACUAAGGCGCAUAAAUAUGCUCCUAUCACUCACACAAAAGGAAACAAACAAACAACAAAUUAAAUACACUAAACAUUGCAGAAUAGAAACAACAAAGAAAAGGGUUUAGGAACGCAAAUCUGGAAGUGGAGUGCUUCCUAGGGCUUCCUUUGUUGAAUGCAUGGGUUGCCUCCCAAUAAGCGCUUGCUUUAACGUCUUGCAGCCGAAUGAAGAAUUCCAUUCACUCCCCAUUGGAACCCACGGCCUGAAGAGGGAUCUCCUCCACGACAUGCUCAACAAAGCUCUGAUAGUAUGGCUUCAAACGAUGCCCAUUCACCUUGAAUUCUUGCCCAGUUUUCAAGCUUUUGAUUUGGACUGCACCAUGAACAAGCUAACUAAGUCGCAUAAAUAUGCUCCUAUCAAAUUCCCCCACACUUAGCUUUUGCUAGUCCUCGAGCAAAACAAAACAAACAAAACAAAAUAUAACAUAACCUAAACCUUGACACACAAAUUAAACCCUCUUUUUGUCAAAUUGUAGCAAAGAUGUAAGUAGGGAUCGUUCUAGACCGGGGAUUAGGAGGGAUUGCUAAACGCUUGGAAACUGACUUAAACACUCAAAAACAAAGUUAAAAACACUAAACUAGACUCAAAGAAUGCAAAACUAAAAGUUAAAACACUUAAACAAACCUAAAAACCAAAACAGCAACUAGAAGGCUCAAAACUGCCUAAAAACCACUUUCUGGGCAGUUUUGAGCACCUACACUAAUUUGGACGAAAUUUGAUGAAAACUUGAAUCAAAAUACUUAGAAACACAAAUCAAAAAACACUUUCUAACUAAUCUAAGACUUCAAAUUAAAGGGGGAUUUUGUUUUGACGAAAAUUAAACUAAAGAAAACAGAUUGGAAAUAGGGCAGAUUGUAAAAACGAUUUUGGUGAAAUAGAUGGUUAAAAGGCUAGUUAGGAGGUUCUUCUCCACACAUGUCACACUUGCAAACAAAACGAUUUUCAGUUGUUCUUCCGAUAAACUAUGAAUACUCAACGCCCCAAGUUAACCGUGAAUUGCACUAAUUAACCCUCAGUUUUUCCACAAGUUAUUAAGUUGGAUGAUUGCAUACGACAACCCAAAACAUUCCCUACAAGUUCCCUACAUGAAUUGCAUAAUAGAGAUACAAGCAAGAAUCAUUACGUUCUAUGAAAAACAUAAGCAUUGACGAAGCAUUUGUUACUAUGAAUUGCAUGAAACUUAUGCUAAGAAUUCAUUCAACGCGAUCGUUUUCAAGCGAUCUUCACUACUUGUGAUUAUAAGAUUGUAACUAUUAGGUGAAACUCCCUCAUAAUCUAGCAUCAUAUUCAUGCAUGAAAACUAAGCGUGCACUCUCAAUCAACAUAUACACAAAUAAGUUAUCAAUCAAAUAGAUGAACGAAUUGAAUCCAUAACUUAUGAAAUAACAACUGAAUGUAAUCGAAUCAAAUUGCAAGCAUGUACAUGGUUUCGAAUCACCCCCCAACUAAGGGGGUUUUAGUUCCUCAUACUCACAACACACAAAGUUUAUUGAAUUGAAACAUCGAAGACAUAAGAAAGAUUACACCUAAAAUGCCAAAGAAUUCCACUUUGAAUUCUGCACAGCAAGCUCCUCUUUCUUCUUCUCCUUGCUGCGGCAGAGAGGGUUUAGGGGAUUUUUGGGUAGUUUUGGAUGAUUUUGGACGAGGGAGAAUGGUGGAAAAAAUGUCUAGGAUGGGUGUAGGGCACGGCUAGGAAGGUUUGGGGUCAGAAAAUAUGGAGUUGGGUGAAGGUUGGGCUCGGCAAAGGUGAGGGACAGGUUCUGGCGUGAAUGGAGUUUUCUGGAUGUGUUUUUGGGUUUUUGAAGGUAGAUAGGAUAGUAUGGUGGUGCGGCAAGGUGUGGGAAUGGUUUAUGGAGGUGGAGAAUGGUGUAUGGAUGUGUGGAAUGGUGCUGGAAUGGAUGGAAGCUGCGGCAAAAGGUGGGAAAGGUUGCUGGAAUGGGUGGUGGCUGCGACAAGGAGGGGAUUAGGGUGAUGGUGAUUUUCUGAUUUGUGUAGAGGGAAUGAUGAUGUGCGGCUAGGGUUUAGAAAUAUAUAUAUAGGCAUUUAAAAACCCUAGCAAAUCAGAUUAGGGCCUCUAAAACACAAAUCCAUCAGAAAUUAGGUUGAAACAAUUAGACAUUUAGUGGGAAAAAGGGCCUAGGGUGCGGCUGGUAUGUGGGCUAAGGUUAGGGUUUCUAGAAACCCUAACAAGGCAAGGCAAAGUGAUUCUAGAGGGCCCAGGUGCGGCAUAGGAUGAAGGUCCAUAAGGAAUUUGGGUUUAGGUCAUCUAAAAGCCCAAAGCCAAGAAUAGAAACUCACGAAAAUGGAAACCUCCAAGAAUAGAAACUUCCAACUUUUAGAAACUUUGGUUGCCAAUUCCGGUUUAGGAAAGAUCAACCCAAAAUGGAAACUUUUAGGCUUAGCUUUCCUACAUCAAGUAGGAAACCUCAAAUCUUCAACUCUUCAAUUCCAUCCCAACCUUGUGUAGCAUGUCCUUUUCAAUCCGAGCUCACUUUCUUGCUCCAAAAGCUCCAACUUGCAUCAUUUCAUGUAAUACGUCCUUUAACCUGAAAACACAUGAAAGUAGCUUAAAAGACUACUUUAACGAAGAAAACAUAACAAAAAUGCAUAAGAACUAGCUAACUAAGGCGCAUAAAUAUGCUCCUAUCAAAUUCCCCCACACUUAGCUUUUGCUAGUCCUCGAGCAAAACAAACAAAAGAAAGAAAACAAAACGAAACAAACUAACCAAAACAAAACCUAAACCUUCCAACGUUUGCCUCAGGGAUUUCCAAUGCACAUGACAUGUUAAAGGUUGUUAUCCCCACAAAUUUGAGUCAUCUUUACACAAGCACAUACUUAAUUAAAGCCACUACUCACUAGUUCACAAGUAAUCAAUUAAAACAAUGCUUUGAAUGUAGUAACAUGCCUUAGAAAGUUCCCUCAAUUCCUUACAAGAUAUACACUCUAUUUUCACUCAGAUUUUCUAACUCCACACCCUACACUAGUCAUAUGUGAGAAGAUUGAUGUAAAUAUGGAAACGAAUGCUCACAUAUAUGUAUCACAAAGAACGCAAUUUCUAGAGUUAAGAAGCAUGUUUAGAUAUGAUCUCAUGAAUGGAAUGCUACUACUUAGAUGCGAGAACCAGUGACACCAUAUGCUCAUACCAAAUUCAAACUCCACAAAUUGAAACACAUAACACUCAAGAUAGAAGUUAAGGGUUGUAAUGGGGCUUGGGGUGUUGGUUAACAAGGAAAGGAUAGGGAAAACAAACGUUCUUCAAGCAAUAGUAAGCACAGCAAUGAAAUUGAGACUUAGAAUUCACUUAGAUUGCAGAAAUUAACUUUAAAACACAAGGGGGAGACUUAAACAACUCCUUAGGGUCAAAUUCAUUGUUUUGGACCCUUACUUCAACAAACAAUACUUUGGAACUCUUUUUCUCAACUUUUCAACUUUUUUUUCAUUCUUCUCGUAUUUUUUUUUUCUUCAAUUUUUCUUUUCUUUGCCGUGCCUAUGGCACACAAUUCCUCAUGAAAAACACUUCCCCCACACUUAUUUUCUGCUAACAUAGAUCACAAGGAAUUCAAUUCGAAUCAUGCUUUACUAUGCUUUAAGAACAAGGGUAUGGAUAGUCCUAAUCUAAGGCUAGGUGAGGGUAAUGUGGGUUAACAAAGAAAAGGCUAAACAAGGCUCAACGGGGUUAAACUUAAACAUAUAAUGGAGUAGGGCACACGGCUUUUUGGCUAAGGUGGUGGUCACUACACAACUUCAUCUUGAAUAUGUGUUAUGCAAUUCAAUGACAUGCUUUGAAUGAAAUGGGCAUGAGUUCUAGCAUUUGGAACUAAAUGAUGAAACGCCUUCUAAGUAGUAACCAAGCAAAGAAUAAUGAGAUCAUGCAACGACUUAGAAAACAAAGAAUGCACAGAUUUUAACUCUCCAAAUAAACGUUUAGGCUCAAGUCUCACAAGGUUGUAGCGUUAGUUUGAGUUCCUUCCUUCAAGCAUGUUACAAAAACUGAUUUUUUUCUUUUAUGAUUGCAUGUGAAUUCAUAAGUUAUAACCACAACUAAGCAUACACAAAGAGUAAAUCAAACUUUCAUCCAUGUUAAUCACUCUCUUUAACAGCCAUGUAAUUACAAACCGAAUCCUCAUCAUUGUGUUGGAAGGUACCCUAAGACACAAACAAACACACAAAAACAACUCUUUUUGGGUUUUUAAAACAAAUUUUUCAAAUUUUUAUGUAAUUUUCGGAUUUUUACUUCAAAACACAUUAAAACACAUCAAAACUGCUCAAAAACACUUAAAAACAGCAAGGAACAAGUCUUCAAGUUUAGGGUGAUAAAAUCCCACGAAUUUGCAUCUAAAACACUUAGUUACCCCCCCACACUUAAAUCAAACAUUGUCCUCAAUGUUUCAAGCAUAAAAUCACACUAAAAAAAAAGAAACACACAAACAGCAACUAAAACAACUAAAUAGGCAGAUUCGAAAUAAAUAACAAAGGGAAGAGUUUAGGAACGCAAAUCUGGAAUUGGAGUGAUUCCUUGGUCUUCCUUUGUUGAAUUGCAUGGGUUGCCUCCCAAGUAGCGCUUUCUUUUACGUCUUGCAGCCGGACGAAAAACACAAUCAUGCCCUAUUGGAGCCCACGGCACUCUCAUACAUUGCAUCUUUGAACGGUAAUGGAUAGUGAUGUUCGUUGAUGGGUGCGUUGUGUUGCCUAAGGUUCACGUACAUGCGCCCACCAUCGGGGAUUUGCUUGGGUACCUGCACCAUAGAAGGGAACCACCUCUUAAUUUUAAUGGGAAUUGGAUUUGGACUAGGUGCCUUACCUUGGUGUUGUGAUGAAGUGGCAGCAACAUGAACUGUUUUCCUCAUGGUAUUCUCGGCCACAUGGGGUAUCUUAAGGGCAGUGGCCGUGGGGUCCUCAUGCUCCACUCCAAUUCCCUCAUCUUGCAUGGUUCUUGAAGCAACCUUUGUGUUAGGGGCUGAAUGAUCCGUCCCUAUCUUUUCUAUCGUAUCAAUAACACAACAAGAACGAACAACGUUAGGAGUCUCAAUGGAUUCAGGAAUUUUAAAACAAAUCAUAUCACCACCAAAUGCCAUAGUUACUUCUCCUUUGGCUACAUCAAUCUUGGUUUGAGCCGUUUUCAUGAAAGGCCGUCCAAGGAGAAUGGGCAAUGAAGGAGCAUGGUCCGAUUCAUCCAUUUCGAGGACAUAGAAAUCCGCCGGGAAGACUAAAUGAUUAACCUGCACAAGAACAUCUUCCAAAACUCCCUUUGGAUAGGCGUUAGAUCUAUCAGCCAAUUGUAUUAUUACACCAUCCUGUUUAAGUGCUCCUAGAUUCAUAGAUGCAUAAACAGAAUAUGGCAUAACAUUAAUAGAUGCUCCUAAAUCUAGCAUGGCAGAUUUGAAACGGGUAUUACCAAUGACACAUGGAAUUGUAAAGCUCCCCGGAUCUUUGCAUUUGGGGGGUAGUUUACGUUGCAAGAUGGCGGAGACAUUCUCGCUUACAUGUACCACUUCUUUCUCCCGGGCACGUUUCUUUGUCGCACAAAGCUUCUUUAAACACUUGGCAUACUUCGGGAUUUGCUUUAUUGCAUCAAGGAGGGGAAUGUUGACAUUGCACCUUUCCUAAACGUCUCUAGAACAUCUUUUUCCUCCUCUUCGUUCUUGGAUUGCAAAAAUCUACUAGGAAAGGGGACAUUCAAAGGAAAAACAUUAGUAGGACUUGAAUUUAACACAUUCUUACCCUUAUUGGACAGAUUUGCAGGUUUAGGGUCAUUGGAGGCUUGCGGCAAAGGUGGAACCACCCUUGCCGUGGGUUGCUUUGAUUCCUCCUCUUCCAUUUGCAAAAUUUCAUCCUCGUUAUGACCUGUUUUUGAUGAAGAACCUGCCCCAACUUCUUUUCCACUCCUUAGCAUGAUUGCAUUUGCGGUUUCAAAGCCUCCUUUUGGAUUCGCAAUGGUUGAACUAGGAAGCUUUCCUUGUUCUCUAAACUGCCCAACAAACUCGGCAAUCUGCCCAAUUUGUUUCUCAAGUUGAUCCACCCUUUUGUCUUGGAUUUGCAUAGCCUUAGCUUGAUCUUCCUGUCCAUUAGACAACUUAGUUAGUAUCUUAAGAAGUGCAUCAUUGUCAAGAGACGUACCUGAGGCACUUGGGCCGGAUUGGGCUUGAUUUUGGGGUGGGCCGUAGGUUUUGGGAAAGAACCCCGGGGGUUGUUGCCUAAAGCCUCCUUGGUUCUGAGGUUGCUGGGGCUCCCUCCAUUUGAAGUUUGGAUGGUCCCGCCACCCCGGAUUAUACGUGUUGGAGUAUGGAUCAUGCCUUGACUGAUUUUGGCUUUGAAACCCAAUGGCAUUCGCACUCUCCCAUUCGCCAUUCUCGAUGAGUUGAGGACAUUUUUCGGAGACAUGUCCUUGGAUAGAACAUACGCCACACACCACAGGUCCUUGUAUCUUCAUUCCCUCGGCCAUCUGUGAAACAAUAGAAGUAAGAUUAGCCAAUUGUGAAUGAAGAUCGGAAGUUGAACUUACCUCAUGUACUUGGUGCCGUGGGGGUCCCCUUUGGCCUACACCCUCGUAUUGUUGAGCGUUCAACGCUCUAUUAGCAAUCAAGACCUUGGCAGCCAUGGGUGUUUUGUCCACUAAUGCCCCCCCCGCCGAAGCAUCAAGCAUUUGACGUUCUAGAGGUAAUAGACCCUCGUAGAAAUAUUGCAAAAGCAACUCCUCCUUCAUCUGAUGCUGUGGACAAGAAGCAACAAGUGAUUUAAAUCGUUCAUAAUAUGUAGAGAAAGACUCACCUUCUUCUUGCUGAAUUCCGCUUAUCUUUUUGCGUAGGAGGAUGAUGCGAGAAGUUGGAAAGAACUUCUCCAAGAACGCUCUCUUCAUACUCUCCCAAGAAGUGACAGUGCCGGGAGCUAACUCAUAUAACCAAUCCUUGGCUUUAUCCAUCAAAGAGAAUGGAAAAGCCUUCAUCUUCAAGAUAUUUCCGUCAACAUUGACGGGAGUCAUACUAGAGCAAACUACUUCAAAUUCUUUCAAAUGUUUGUUAGGAUCUUCCAUGGACAAGCCAUGGUAUUUAGGAAUAUGAUGAAGCAAACUUGACUUUAAUUCAAACUCAUCCGUCUUACCUUGGGCAGCCGCGGGGUAUUGGAUGCACAAGGGUGUGCGGCAUUAUCCAAACCCGAGGCGGAAAGCUCCUUGAGUGUACGAUUGUCCAUGGCCAUGCCUUGGACUUCUUCAAAUAUCCCUGCCGUGGCUUCCUCCUCCUCUUCUUGUAUGUUUUCUUCAAGGUCAGAUUCGGAAUUGAGUGGAGGGUGUUCUUGCUGAUUUCUAGCUCUUCUCAAAUUCCUCUCAAAAUCGUCGUCAAAAUCCAAGAUGUUCACACGAAUCGGUUGAGAGCUUCUAGUCAUACAUUAGUACCUAAGAACAAGAAACAAAAUUAGGUCAGAAACUUAAACAAAGUCAGAAACAAAGUGAAAUAAAAGAAACAAAAACAAUCCAAGGGAUUAGCAAAAUUGCUAAUCCCCGGCAACGGCGCCAAAAAUUUGAUGUGAAAAUUAACUUGACACACAAAUUAAACCCUCUUUUUGUCAAAUUGUAGCAAAGAUGUAAGUAGGGAUCGUUCUAGACCGGGGAUUAGGAGGGAUUGCUAAACGCUUGGAAACUGACUUAAACACUCAAAAACAAAGUUAAAAACACUAAACUAGACUCAAAGAAUGCAAAACUAAAAGUUAAAACACUUAAACAAACCUAAAAACCAAAACAGCAACUAGAAGGCUCAAAACUGCCUAAAAACCACUUUCUGGGCAGUUUUGAGCACCUACACUAAUUUGGACGAAAUUUGAUGAAAACUUGAAUCAAAAUACUUAGAAACACAAAUCAAAACACUUUCUAACUAAUCUAAGACUUCAAAUUAAAGGGGGAUUUGUUUUGGACGAAAAUUAAACUAAAGAAAACAGAUUGGAAAUAGGGCAGAUUGUAAAAACGAUUUUGGUGAAAUAGAUGGUUAAAAGGCUAGUUAGGAGGUUCUUCUCCACACAUGUCACACUUGCAAACAAAACGAUUUUCAGUUGUUCUUCCGAUAAACUUAUGAAUACUCAACGCCCCAAGUUAACCGUGAAUUACACUAAUUAACCCUCAGUUUUUCCACAAGUUAUUAAGUUGGAUGAUUGCAUAUGACAACCCAAAACAUUCCCUACAAGUUCCCUACAUGAAUUGCAUAAUAGAGAUACAAGCAAGAAUCAUUACGUUCUAUGAAAAAACAUAAGCAUUGACGAAGCAUUUGUUACUAUGAAUUGCAUGAAACUUAUGCUAAGAAUUCAUUCAACGCGAUCGUUUUCAAGCGAUCUUCACUACUUGUGAUUAUAAGAUUGUAACUAUUAGGUGAAACUCCCUCAUAAUCUAGCAUCAUAUUCAUGCAUGAAAACUAAGCGUGCACUCUCAAUCAACAUACACAAAUAAGUUUAUCAAUCAAAUAGAUGAACGAAUUGAAUCCAUAACUUAUGAAAUAACAACUGAAUGUAAUCGAAUCAAAUUGCAAGCAUGUACAUGGUUUCGAAUCACCCCCCAACUAAGGGGGUUUAGUUCCUCAUACUCACAACACAAAGUUUAUUGAAUUGAAACAUCGAAGACAUAAGAAAGAUUACACCUAAAAUGCCAAAGAAUUCCACUUUGAAUUCUGCACAGCAAGCUCCUCUUUCUUCUUCUCCUUGCUGCGGCAGAGAGGGUUUAGGGGAUUUUUGGGUAGUUUUGGAUGAUUUUGGACGAGGGAGAAUGGUGGAAAAUGUCUAGGAUGGGUGUAGGGCACGGCUAGGAAGGUUUGGGGUCAGAAAAUAUGGAGUUGGGUGAAGGUUGGGCUCGGCAAAGGUGAGGGACAGGUUCUGGCGUGAAUGGAGUUUUCUGGAUGUGUUUUUGGGUUUUUGAAAGGUAGAUAGGAUAGUAUGGUGGUGCGGCAAGGUGUGUGGAAUGGUUUAUGGAGGUGGAGAAUGGUGUAUGGAUGUGUGGAAUGGUGCUGGAAUGGAUGGAAGCUGCGGCAAAAGGUGGGAAAGGUUGCUGGAAUGGGUGGUGGCUGCGGCAAGGAGGGGAUUUGGGUGAUGGUGAUUUUCUGAUUUGUGUAGAGGGAAUGAUGAUGUGCGGCUAGGGUUUAGAAAUAUAUAUAUAGGCAUUUAAAAACCCUAGCAAAUCAGAUUAGGGCCUCUAAAACACAAAUCCAUCAGAAAUUAGGUUGAAACAAUUAGACAUUUAGUGGGAAAAAGGGCCUAGGGUGCGGCUGGUAUGUGGGCUAAGGUUAGGGUUUCUAGAAACCCUAACAAGGCAAGGCAAAGUGAUUCUAGAGGGCCCAGGUGCGGCAUAGGAUGAAGGUCCAUAAGGAAUUUGGGUUUAGGUCAUCUAAAAGCCCAAAGCCAAGAAUAGAAACUCACGAAAAUGGAAACCUCCAAGAAUAGAAACUUCCAACUUUUAGAAACUUGGGUUGCCAAUUCCGGUUUAGGAAAGAUCAACCCAAAAUGGAAACUUUUAGGCUUAGCUUUCCUACAUCAAGUAGGAAACCUCAAAUCUUCAACUCUUCAAUUCCAUCCCAACCUUGUGUUCCAAGCAUGUCCUUUUCAAUCCAAGCUCACUUUCUUGCUCCAAAAGCUCCAACUUGCAUCAUUUCAUGUAAUACGUCCUUUAACCUGAAAACACAUGAAAGUAGCUUAAAAGACUACUUUAACGAAGAAAACAUAACAAAAAUGCAUAAGAACUAGCUAACUAAGGCGCAUAAAUAUGCUCCUAUCAAAUGCCGUGGUCUUCUCUUUGUAAAUUCGAGCAUUCUCAUAAGCUUCAUGCCUAAUCUCUUCAAGUUCACUCAAUUGAAGCUUUCUAUGAAUUCCAGCUUGGUCCACAUUCAAAUUGAAUGUCUUGAUAACCCAAUGUGCCUUGUGUUCUAAUUCCACGGGAAGAUGACAUGGUUUGCCAUAAAUGAGCCGAAAUGGAGACAUACCAAUGGGUGUUUUUAAGCCGUACGAUACGCCCGUAGUGCAUCAUCUAAAUGCAAGCUCCAAUCUUUUCUAUUUGGCCCAACGGUCUUCUUCAAAAUCUGUUUGAUUUCCCUAUUUGAAACCUUGGCUUGGCCAUUUGUUUGGGGGUGAUAAGGCUUUGAAACUUUAUGCGUCACAUUAUACUUCUUAAGUAGCGCCUCAAUGGUGUGAUUGCAAAAAUGAGACCCCCCAUCACUUAUGAGCACCCUAGGCAUCCCAAAUCUGGAAAAGAUGUUAGAUUUCACAAACUCUGCAACAACUUUAGAAUCGUUAGUUCGGGUGGCUUUUGCUUCCACCCACUUCGAAACAUAAUCAACCGCAAGUAAACCAAAAGAUGAAGGAAAAGAACCCAUAAAAUCGAUACCCCAAACAUCAAAAAUUUUAACAAGGAUGGGAACCUGCGACAUUUGGUCUUUUUGGCCUAUAUUUCCUGUCCUUUGGCAACGAUCACAUGUUAAGCAAAAGGUUCUAGCAUUUUUAAACAAAGUAGGCCAAUAAAAUCCACAUUCAAGAACCUUAAAAGCUGUCCUUUGGGUGCCAAAAUGACCCCCACAUGCAUAGGUGUGGCAGAAACUUAAAAUUGAAUGAAAUUCGGACUCAUGCACACACCUACGUAGAAUCUGAUAUGGGCAAUAUUUCCACAAGUAUAGGUUAACCCAAACAUAAAAUCUGGCAUCCUUUUUAAGUUUAUCACGUUGGAACUUGUUAAGAGUGUUGGGAACUUGUUUAGACACCAAAUAAUUGACCAAAUCAGCAUACCAAGGCUCACUUACCUUAAUGGACAGUAGUUUCUCAUCUGGAAACAUUUCUGGAAUGGGAAUGGACUUCUCUUCACCCACCAAUCGACUUAAGUGAUCAGCCACCACGUUGUCACUCCCUUUCUUGUCUUUAAUUUCAAUAUCGAACUCUUCAAGAAGAAGCAUCAGACGAAUGAGUCUUGGUUUUGCUUCUUUAUUUGUGAACAAGUACUUCAAGGCUGCAUGAUCAGUGAAAAUAAUGACUUUAGUGCCAAUUAAAUAAGAUCGAAACUUAUCUAAUGCAAAUACAACAGCCAAUAGUUCUUUUUCAGUUGUGGAAUAGUUCAAUUGAGCAUCAUUUAAAGUACGGGAAGCAUAAUAAAUAACAUGUGGCUGCUUGUUUUUCCUUUGUCCUAAAACAGCUGAUGCGAAAUAUAUAAGCACACAAAUUAAACUCUCUUUUUGUCAAAUUGUAGCAAAGAUGUAAGUAGGGAUCGUUCUAGACCGGGGAUUAGGAGGGAUUGCUAAACACUUGGAAACUGACUAAAAAACUCAAAAACAAAGUUUAAAACACUAAACUAGACUCAAAGAAUGCAAAACUAAAGGUUAAAACACUUAAACAAACCUAAAACACAAAACAGCAACCUAAUGACUCAAAACUGCCUAAAAACCACUUGCUGGGCAGUUUUGAGAACCUAACAAGAACUUGGACGAAAUUGGGUGAAAACUUGAAUCGAAACACUUAGAAACACAAAUCAAAACACUUUCUAACUAAUCUAAGACUUCAAAAUAAAGGGGGAUUUGUUUUGGACGAAAAUUGAAAACAAAACAGAAACUUAAAACUAAACAGAUUGUAAAACGUUUUUGGAUGAAAAGGAUGGAUAAAAGGCUAGUUAGGAGGUUCUUCUCCACACAUGUCACACUUGCAAACGAAACGAUUUUCAGUUGUUCUUCCAAUAAAUUAUAAAUACUCAACGCUCCAAAUUAACCGUGAAUUGCACUAAUUAACCCUCAGUUUUUCCACAAGUUAUUAGGUUGGAUGAUUGCAUACGACAACCCAAAACAUUCCCUACAAGUUCCCUACAUGAAUUGCAUAAUAGAGAUACAAGCACGAAUCAUUACGUUCUAUGAAAAACAUAAGCAUUGACGAAGCAUUUGUUACUAUGAAUUGCAUGAAACUUAUGCUAAGAAUUCAUUCAACGUGAUCGUUUUCAAGCGACCUUCACUACUUGUGAUUAUAAGAUUGUAACUAUUAGGUGAAACUCCCUCAUAAUCUAGCAUCAUAUUCAUGCAUGAAAACUAAGCGUGCACUCUCAAUCAACAUACACAAAUGAGUUAUCAAUCAAAUAGAUGAACGAAUUGAAUCCAUAACUUAUGAAAUAACAACUGAAUGUAAUCAAAUCAUAUUGCAAGCAUGUACAUGGUUUCGAAUUACCCCCCAACUAAGGGGUUUAGUUCCUCAUACUCACAACACAAAGUUUAUUGAAUUGAAACAUCGAAGACAUAAGAAAGAUUACACCUAAAACGCCCAACAAUUCUACUUUGAAUUUCUGACUUCAAGCUCCUCUUUCUUCUUCUCCUUGCUGCGGCAGAGAGGUUUUAGGGUAUUUUUGGAUGUGAUUUUGGUUUUAGAAGGGAGUUAGGAUGGUAUGGUGGUGCGGCAAGGGGUAUGGAUGGUGUAUGGAGGUGUAGAAUGGUGGCUGGAGGUGUAGACUGGUUGCGGCAAGGAGUGGGGAGUGGCUGGUUUGGAUGGAGGAGUGGCGGCUAAGGGUGUAAGGAUGAUGGUGGCUGCGGCAAGGUGGGGAAAUAAGGUUGGAAUAAUUUCUGAAGUAUGGAGAGGUGAUGUGUGCGGCUAGGUGUAGAAAUAUAUAUAUAGGCACUUAAAAAUCCUAGCCAAUCAGAUUAGGGUUUCUAGAAACCCAAAUCCACCAGAAAAAUAGGUUAAACAAUCAGAAAUUUUGUGAGAAAAGGGCCUAAGGUGCGGCAAUUAAGUGGGCUAGGGUUAGGGCUUCUAGAAAGCCUUGCAAGGCAAGGAAAUAUGUGUUCUAGAAGGGGAAAGGUGCGGCUGGUUAGUGGGAAUGUGGAUAGGGCUUCUAAAAAGCCCAAAACCAAGAGAAACUAAGCCCUAACCCACGGCAAGGAUGACAAAAUAUUCUAACACCUUUCUUUGUGUCUUCCAACGCUUCGGAACCUUCUAAUGUUGCUCAAACGCAAGGCCAUUCCGGUUUAGGAAAGAUCAACCCAAAAUGGAAACUUUUAGGCUUAGCUUUCCUACUUCAAGUAGGAAACCUCAAAUCUUCAACUCUUCAAUUUCAUCCCAACCUUGUGUUCCAAGCAUGUCCUGAUGUGUAAAUUAACUAGCACUCAAAUUAAACCCUCUUUUUAUCAAUUGUAGCAAUGUAUGUAAGUAGGGAUCGUUCUAGACCGGGGAUUAGGAGGGAUUGCAAAAUCACUUGGACAUGACUCAAAAACGUAAAAACAAGUUUUAAACACUAAAAUAGACUCAAAGAAUACAAAACUAAACUUUAAAACACCAAAACAAACCAAAAGACUCAAAACAGCACCAAAACACUCAAAACUGCCUUAAAAACACAAUCUGGGCAGUUUUGGACACUAAGCACCAAAUUGGACGAAUUUGGGUUUUAACUUGAAUCAAAACACUUAAAAACACAAAGUAAAACACUUACUAACUAAUUUGACACUUUAAAACAAAGGGGGAUUGGUUUUGGCCGAAUUUAAAAACAAAACAAACUUUGUAAAUUAGAACAGAUUGUAAAAACGAAUUUGAUUUAAAUGGGUGAAUGGAAGGCUAGCUAAGGGGUUCAUCUCCCCACAUGUUAUACUUGCAUACGAAACGAUUUCCAAUUGCUUUUCAAUAAACCAUGAAUUCUCAAUGCCCCAAGUUAAUUAGGUCCGCUUAAAUUAACCUUCCGAUUUUCCUAACGGUAUUGAAUUGGAUGAUUGCAUACGACAACCCAAAACAUUCCCCACAAGUCCCCUACAUGAUUGCAUAAUAGAGAUACAAGCAAGAAUCAUUAAGUUCUAUGAAAACCAAAAGCAUUGACGAAGCACUUGUUACUAUGAUUGCAUGAAACUUAUGCCAAGAAUUUACUUAACGCGAUUGAGAUCAUCAACCUUUACUACUUGUGAAUAUAAUUCCAAACGAUUAGGUGAAAUUUCCUUAUAUCCUAGCAUUCAAUUUAUGCAUGAUAAUUAAGCGUGCACUCUCAACCAACACACACAAAUCAAUGUAAUCCACAUAGAUAAGUAAAUUGAAUUCACAACUUAUGAAACGCAAUUAGAAGUAAUCAAAUCAUAACGCAAGCAUAAACAUAUAUUUCGAAUCCCCCCCUAGCCAAGGGGGGGUUUAGUUCCUCAUACGCACAAAACAAAGAGAAUUGAAUUUAAACAUUGAAAUCAAAGGAAAAGAAACACCUAGAAAUUCCAGCGACGCGAACUUGAAUUGCAUGAACUUCCGAGCUUCCUUCUCCUCCUCCUUGGUGCGGCAAGGGUCUAGGGACAGGUUUUAGAGCCUUAGGGGUAUGGAUGCAUGGUUAUGGAGGGAUGUAGUAGUGUUUAGGGAAAGGGAAAUGGUUGCGGCAAAGGUGUGGAGAGGGUUUGGACGAAUUUCUGGAGUGAUUUGUGAAUUGUGGCGAGUGGUGAUCUGAUUUAGGGGUUAAUAGGAGUAUAUAUAGGCACUUAAAACCCUAGGGUAAUCAGAUAUGGACUUGGAUAACCCAAAUCCACAAGGAAAUAGGUCUAAACAAUCAAAUUUUGCAAGGGAAAAGGGGUCCUAGGUGCGGCAGGGAUAGGAUAAGGUGAUAAGGUUUCUAGAAUGCCUUGCAAGGCAAGGAACUAGGCAUCUAGAAGCUAGGGUGCGGCACCAAUGUAGGGAUUUAAGGAUAGGGCUUCUAGAAAGCCCCAAAACUGAUAGGAAUUGCAUGAAACCCACGGCAAAGAUGUAAACUUUCUAGAAACUUCUCAUUUGUGUCCUACAACACUUUGGAGUCCUUCUAGCACUAGGAAAACAUGUCUCAAUCCUCCCUUGACUUGGAAUUCUUCUCCUUCUUCAUCUUGGAUUCCUUUUCCUUCUUCAUCUUGGAAAACUUCUUUGUUGCUGAAACUUGAUGCCAUUUGGAUUUAACUUUCCUACUUCAAGUAGGAAACCUUGUUUGAGUAGGAAUCUUCAUCUUCAAGGAAUCCUAAUUCAACUAGGAAACCCAUUUUGACUAGGAAUCCUAAUUCAACUAGGAUUCCAUCUUCACUUAGGCGCUUUCCUACUUCGACUAGGAAACCUUGUUCAAGUAGGAAACAUCAUCUUCAAAUCUUCAAUUUCGUCCAUCCUCUUGGCUCCAAGCAUAUGACAUUCAUUCCAAGCUCAACUUUGCUCCAAAAGGCUCCAAAAUGCAUCAUUUUGCAUACUUUGCCCUUAGAACCUGAAAACACAUAAAACUACCUUAAAAGACUACUUUACUUAAGCAAAAACACUAUAAAUGUACAAGAACAAGCUAAACUAAGGCGCAUAAAUAUGCUCCUAUCAUCUGGGAAUGUCUCUAUGAUAGGCACGACAUCCUCCUCAUGCACCAUACGGCUUAGGUGGUCAGCCACCACGUUUUCACUUCCCUUCUUGUCCCGGAUUUCGAUAUCGAACUCUUGAAGAAGAAGCAUCCAACGAAUGGGUCGUGGUUUGGCCUCCUUCUUGGUGAACAAAUACUUCAAUGCUGCAUGGUCCGUAUAAAUAAUAACUUUAGUACCAAGCAAAUAAGAACGGAAUUUAUCUAAAGCAAGUACAACAGCAAGAAGUUCUUUUUCAGUGGUAGAAUAAUUCAAUUGUGCAUCAUUUAAAGUCCGAGAGGCAUAAUAGAUAACAUGCGGCCUCUUGUCCUUCCUUUGCCCCAAAACAGCUCCUGAUGCAUAAUCGGAAGCAUCGAACAUAAGCUCAAAAGGAAGGCUCCAAUCCGGUGGAACUAUGAUAGGUGCCGAAGUUAGCAUGUCCUUGAGGUGAUUGAACGCCUUCUCACACUCCUUGUUGAAGAUGCCACAUCUUUCUGGAGGAGACGGCAAAGAGGGUUUGAGAUCUUGGAGAAGUCCUUGAUAAAUCGCCUAUAAAAUCCUGCAUGACCAAGAAACGAACGAACCUCUCGAACCGAAGUAGGAGAGGGUAAGUAGCGUACAAGAUCUAUUUUCGAUUUAUCCACUUCAAUUCCUCUUUCUGAAACAAUAUGCCCUAGAACUAUGCCUUGUCUAACCAUAAAGUGACAUUUUUCCCAAUUAAGCACAAGGUUAGUUUCUACACAUCGUUUCAAAAUUAUUGUGAGAUUUUCCAAACAUCCAUCAAAUGAAUCACCAAACACACUGAAAUCAUCCAUAAAUACCUCAAUAAUCUUUUCCACAAAAUCUGAAAAGAUACUUACCAUACACCUUUGAAAUGUGGCCAGAGCAUUGCAUAACCCAAAAGGCAUGCGACGAUAAGCAAAGGUACCAAAGGGGCAUGUGAAAGUUGUCUUUUCUUGGUCAUCCGGCGCUAUGACAAUCUGAUUAUAUCCAGAAUAACCAUCAAGGAAACAAUAAAAAGAAUGACCGGCUAACCUUUCAAGCAUUUGAUCAAUGAACGGCAAAGGGAAGUGGUCCUUCCUUGUGGUGGCGUUGAGCUUCCUAUAAUCAAUGCACACUCGCCAACCUGUUUGGAUGCGGGUUGGCACAAGCUCAUUCUCGGCAUUCUUCACCACUGUCACUCCGGACUUCUUUGGAACACAUUGCACCGGUGACACCCAACGACUAUCAGAGAUCGGAUAAAUCACUCCACAAUCAAGAAGUUUGAUAAUCUCCUUUUUCACAACUUCCAUCAUUGGAGGGUUGAGACGGCACUGAGCCUCUCGAGUUGGUUUAGCCCCCUCCUCUAGAAGUAUGCGAUGCAUGCACGUAGUCGGGCUAAUUCCCCUAAUAUCGGCCAAAGUCCACCCAAUGGCCGUCUUGUGCUCUUUCAACACUCGGAUCAACUUCUCCUCCUCUAGGGCCGUGAGUGAUGAGGAGACAAUGACGGGCAAUGUCUCGUUGUCUACCAGAAAGACAUACUUUAAAUGAUCGGGCAACGGUUUAAGCUCAAGUACGGGUGCCUGAAUCACUGAGGGUAACAACUUAUUAGUGGAAACUGGAAUUGAAAUUGGGUUAGAAGGCUUACCAUGGUGUUGAGGUAGUGACUCAAGGGCAGCCACUAUCUCGGCCUCCUCCUCACUUCUAGGCACGGGGAUUAGGAGGGAUUGCUAAACACUUGGAAACUGACUUAAAAACUCAAAAACAAAGUUUAAAACACUAAACUAGACUCAAAGAAUGCAAAACUAAAGGUUAAAACACUUAAACAAACCUAAAACUCAAAACAGCAACCUAAUGACUCAAAACUGCCUAAAAACCACUUUCUGGGCAGUUUUGAGAAACCUAACAAGAACUUGGACGAAAUUGGGUGAAAACUUGAAUCAAAACACUUAGAAACACAAAUCAAAACACUUUCUAACUAAUCUAAGACUUCAAAAUAAAGGGGGAUUGUUUUUGGACGAAAAUUGAAAACAAAAACAGAAACUUAAAACUAAACAGAUUGUAAAAACGUUUUUUGGAUGAAAAGGAUGGAUAAAAGGCUAGUAAGGGUCCAAAACAAUGAAUUUGACCCUAAGGAGUUGUUUAAGUCUCCCCCUUGUGUUUUAAAGUUAAUUUCUGCAAUCUAAGUGAAUUCUAAGUCUCAAUUUCAUUGCUUUGCUUACUAUUGCUUGAAGAACGUUUGUUUUCCUUAUCCUUUCCUUGUUAACCAACACCCCAAGCCCCAUUACAACCCUUAACUUCUAUCUUGAGUGUUAUGUGUUUCAAUUUGUGGAGUUUGAAUUUGGUAUGAGCAUAUGGUGUCACUGGUUCUCGCAUCUAAGUAGUAGCAUUCCAUUCAUGAGAUCAUAUCUAAACAUGCGUCUUAACUCCAGAAAUUGCGUUCGUUGUGAUACAUAUAUGUGAGCAUUCGUUUUCAUAUCUACAUCAAUCUUCUCACAUAUGACUAGUGUAGGGUGUGGAGUUAGAAAAUCUGAGUGAAAAUAGAGUGUAUAUCUUGUAAGGAAUUGAGGGAAUUCUCUAAGGCAUGUUACUACAUUCAAAGCAUUGUUUUAAUUGAUUACUUGUGAACUAGUGAGUAGUGGCUUUAAUUAAGUAUAUGCUUGUGUAAAGAUGACUCAAAUCUGUGGGGAUAACAACCUUUAACAUGUCAUGUGCAUUGGAAAUCCCUGAGGCAAACGUUGGAAGGUUUAGGUUUUGUUUUGGUUAGUUUGUUUCGUUUUGUUUUCUUUCUUUUGUUUGUUUUGCUCGAGGACUAGCAAAAGCUAAGUGUGGGGGAAUUUGAUAGGAGCAUAUUUAUGCGCCUUAGUUAGCUAGUUCUUAUGCAUUUUUGUUAUGUUUUCUUUGUUAAAGUAGUCUUUUAAGCUACUUUCUUGUGUUUUCAGGUUUAGCGGACGUAUUACAUGAAAUGAUACAAUUUGGAGCUUUUGGAGCAAAAAGUGAGCUUGAAUUGAAAAGGACAUGCUUGGAACGCAAGGUUGGGAUGGAAUUGAAGAGUUGAAGAUUUGAGGUUUCCUACUUGAAGUAGGAAAGCUAAGCCUAAAAGUUUCCAUUUUGGGUCGAUCUUUCCUAAAUCGGAAUUGGCAACCAAAGUUUCUAAAAGUUGGAAGUUUCUAUUCUUGGAGGUUUCCAUUUUCGAGAGUUUCUAUUCUUGGCGUUGGGCUUUUAGAUGACCUAAACCCAAAUUUCCUUGUGGACCUUCAACCCAUGCCGAACCCUAGGGCCUAAUCAUCUAAAAUCUGCCAUGUUAAACCCUAGUCCAUUUCUCCUAAACCCAAGCCGCACCUUUCCACCUAGAAGCCCUAUUUUACAAACCCUAAACCCUAGUCCACUUAAGUGCCGCACCUAACCCUAGCCCAUUGUUAAAAAUCUGAUUUCAUUAGGGUUUCUAAGUGCCUAUAUAUACCACCCUUACACCCUAGCCGCAGAUAUCAUUCCCUCUACACAAAAUCAGAAAAUCACCAUCACCCUAAUCCCCUCCUUGCCGCAGCCACCACCCAUUCCAGCAACCUUUCCCACCUUUUGCCGCAGCUUCCAUCCAUUCCAGCACCAUUCCACACAUCCAUACACCAUUCUCCACCUCCAUAAACCAUUCCCACACCUUGCCGCACCACCAUACUAUCCUAUCUACCUUUCAAAAACCCAAAAACACAUCCAGAAAACUCCAUUCACGCCAGAACCUGUCCCUCACCUUUGCCGAGCCCAACCUUCACCCAACUCCAUAUUUUCUGACCCCAAACCUUCCUAGCCGUGCCCUACACCCAUCCUAGACAUUUUUCCACCAUUCUCCCUCGUCCAAAAAUCAUCCAAAACUACCCAAAAAUCCCCUAAACCCUCUCUGCCGCAGCAAGGAGAAGAAGAAAGAGGAGCUUGCUGUGCAGAAUUCAAAGUGGAAUUCUUUGGCAUUUUAGGUGUAAUCUUUCUUAUGUCUUCGAUGUUUCAAUUCAAUAAACUUUGUGUUGUGAGUAUGAGGAACUAAACCCCCUUAGUUGGGGGGUGAUUCGAAACCAUGUACAUGCUUGCAAUUUGAUUCGAUUAACAUUCAGUUGUUAUUUCAUAAGUUAUGGAUUCAAUUCGUUCAUCUAUUUGAUUGAUAACUUAUUUGUGUAUGUUGAUUGAGAGUGCACGCUUAGUUUUCAUGCAUGAAUAUGAUGCUAGAUUAUGAGGGAGUUUCACCUAAUAGUUACAAUCUUAUAAUCACAAGUAGUGAAGAUCGCUUGAAAACGAUCGCGUUGAAUGAAUUCUUAGCAUAAGUUUCAUGCAAUUCAUAGUAACAAAUGCUUCGUCAAUGCUUAUGUUUUUCAUAGAACGUAAUGAUUCUUGCUUGUAUCUCUAUUAUGCAAUUCAUGUAGGGAACUUGUAGGGAAUGUUUUGGGUUGUCGUAUGCAAUCAUCCAACUUAAUAACUUGUGGAAAAACUGAGGGUUAAUUAGUGCAAUUCACGGUUAACUUGGGGCGUUGAGUAUUCAUAGUUUAUCGGAAGAACAACUGAAAAUCGUUUUGUUUGCAAGUGUGACAUGUGUGGAGAAGAACCUCCUAACUAGCCUUUUAACCAUCUAUUUCACCAAAAUCGUUUUUACAAUCUGCCCUAUUCCAAUCUGUUUUCUUUAGUUUAAUUUUCGUCAAAACAAAAUCCCCCUUUAAUUUGAAGUCUUAGAUUAGUUAGAAAGUGUUUUGAUUUGUGUUUCUAAGUAUUUUGAUUCAAGUUUUCAUCAAAUUUCGUCCAAAUUAGUGUAGGUGCUCAAAACUGCCCAGAAAGUGGUUUUUAGGCAGUUUUGAGCCUUCUAGUUGCUGUUUUGGUUUUUAGGUUUGUUUAAGUGUUUUAACUUUUAGUUUUGCAUUCUUUGAGUCUAGUUUAGUGUUUUUAACUUUGAUUUUGAGUGUUUAAGUCAGUUUCCAAGCGUUUAGCAAUCCCUCCUAAUCCCCGGUCUAGAACGAUCCCUACUUACAUCUUUGCUACAAUUUGACAAAAAGAGGGUUUAAUUUGUGUGUCAAGUUAAUUUUCACAUCAGUGGGGAAAUAGGGUUGGAUGAAUUUCUGAAUUGUGUAGCAAUGAUAUCCCCGCGGCAAGGAUGUAAAACACAUAUAUAUAGGCACCUAAAACCCUAAAGAAAUCAGAUUAGACUAUGGGCUAGGGUUUAGGUGCGGCAAAGGGCUUAAAGUCCAUCAGAAAAUAGGGUUUCUAGAACAUUAGGUGCGGCCCAAACCCUAGGGGAGAUAGAUUAGGGUUUAACUUGGCAGAAAUUAGGUGAUUAGGCCCUAGGGUGCGGCAUAGGCUUAGGAUCCACAAGGAAUUAGGGUUUAGAUCAUCUCAAAGCCCAAAGCUAAGAAUAGAAACUCACGAAAAUGGAAACCUCCAAGAAUAGGAACUUCCAACUUUAGAAACUUUGGUUGCCAAUUCCGACUUCUUUGUUCUUCACUUUUAUUUCUUCAUUUCUUAAGCUCCUUUGACCUUCAAACUCGUCCAUUCCUCGUGCUCCAUUAGCAUACACAACAUUCCGGCUCAAUUUUGCUCCAAAAAGCUCCAAAUUGCAUCAUUUCAUGUAAUAUGUCCUUUAAACCUGAAAACACAUGAAAGUAGCUUAAAAGACUACUUUAACGAAGAGAACAUAACGAAAAUGCAUAAAAACUAGCUAACUAAGGCGCAUAAAUAUGCUCCUAUCAAAUUCCCCCACACUUAGCUUUUGCUAGUCCUCGAGCAAAACAAAGAAACAAAAGAAAAACAAAAUGAAACAAAACAAACAAAACACAACCUAAACCUUCCAACGUUUGCCUCAGGGAUUUCCAAUGCACAUGACGUAUUAAAGAUUGUUAUCCCCACAGAUUUGAGUCAUCUUUACACAAGCACAUACUUAAUUAAAGCCACUACUCACUAGUUCACAAGUAAUCAAUUAAAACAAUGCUUUGAAUGUAGUAACAUGCCUUAGAGAAUUCCCUCAAUUCCUUACAAGAUAUACACUCUAUUUUCACUCAGAUUUUCUAACUCCACACCCUACACUAGUCAUAUGUGAGAAGAUUGAUGUAGAUAUGAAAACGAAUGCUCACAUAUAUGUUUCACAAAGAACGCAAUUUCUAGAGUUAAGAAGCAUGUUUAGAUAUGAUCUCAUGAAUGGAAUGCUACUACUUAGAUGCGAGAACCAGUGACACCAUAUGCUCAUACCAAAUUCAAACUCCACAAAUUGAAACACAUAACACUCAAG
rnacentral:lncRNA from 1 species